UUAUCCAAUUCUUGUGGCCAUGCAAAGCCCUUGUCUUUCUCUGCCCCACUUUCCACCCACACCUCUCACUCCACCCCCUCACCUCUCCUCUCUCUCACCUCCCACUUCUCCACGGCCACAGCCGCUGCCGACAAGCACACGCCCCAUCUCCUUUCUCUCUCCUCCCCCCUCCGUCGCCGGAAACCCCUGCUGCACCACCUCCCUCCGCCGCUGCCCCGGAAUGACCGUUCUGCUGCCUUAACACUGGGACUCUCUAGCCGGAGAAUUACUUGCAAGGCGACGGAAGUGUCGGUGGCGGAGGAGCCGUCGGCUGCGGGCGAUGGCGAGAACUGGGUGCCAGUGGUGCCGCUGUCGGCAUUGCCCAAGGGGGAGCGGCGCGUGAUUAUACAGGACGGAGAGACGAUUCUGUUGUUGUGAUUAUACACGAAAUUUAUGUGAAGAAUGAAAGGCUCUUUUGAGGCUCAUGCAAGCCAUGUAAGAAUUUUAUGUGGCCUUGGUGUAUAUUAUUAUGUGAUAUUCCUUUAAAUAUUAUGGUCUAAUAAAUAAUAAAACUAAAAUUUUAUUUCCUAAAUUAAAGGUACUUUGAUGAAAAGCAUACUCCUCAUUCUAUAUGGAAAUUGAUCUUCUCUCCAUCCUAUAAAAUAAAUGUUCAGAAAACCUAAGGAUAAAAGGGUUUAGGGAGAACAACACAAUUUCUACUUGGCUUAUUGUUUGGUCUCUUCAAGACUUCUAUAUAGUUUAAAGGUAUGUCUUUUCUCAAUAAUGGAAUUGUGAAAAUCAUAUUAUUCUAUAAUUCUUGACUAUUUUGAUUUAAGUAAAAUUAGGAUUUGAUUUACAUAAUUAAAUAAUUACUUAUGAGUUUCAUUGGUGAGCAUAUAAUACCAUUGACAUAUGUUGAUUAAGUGACAUGUAUACCUUUGAUGCUACUGUAAUGAAGUUUAUGAUAAUAAAAGUUUAUUUUAUCAAUUUUCGAUAUGUUAUAUACAAUGUAUGUUUAUGGCUAAUAUAUAAAGUGAAUGACUUUCUUGAUUUAUGAAAUUUAGUGAAUCGAUUUAUGCAUCAACCGCUUUUGAUUGAACCAAAAGUAUGAUUUUGUUCAUGGUAUUGCAUCUUCAUCAUCAAAAUAGAUAUCUAUAUGUAUGUGAAAUAAAUUAUGCUAUAUAUAUAUGUCAAUAGUGAAUUUUGUGUCUUCAAUGGUAAUGUUUUAACGAUAUACAUAUACUAUAUAUAAAAAACCAAGAAAAUUCUAUAAGAGUAAACACAUUGAGAGGAAGUACCACAUAAUCUAUAGAUAGUACAAAAAGGUGAUAUGGUAGUUUAGAAGAUAUCUUUCGGAAAGAGCCUAAUAGAUUCAUAUACUAAGACAUUGACUGGAAAAGUCUUUGAUUGUAACCGGGACAACAUAGGUGUCAGAUAUGCACCUAAUUUACUUUUAUUGCAUUAUGUUUUGAGGGCUUAUGGAAGAUUGUUAUGAUAUCAUCCUACAAAGCUUUACAUGAUAUAAGACAUUUGGAUUUAUCAUUUAUUUAAUUAUAUUCUAAUUGCUCUUUUAUCUAUGCUUGUAAUAGAGAGUUCCCUACGCUCAGAUCCCAACACUUAUAUCAUAUAAAAUAAAGUUUCAUGCUAGUAGAAUAUCUAAAUAUAUUCUUGGUAGUUUUUGGUCAUGCAUGCAUUCGCAUAACUUUGGGCUAUGCACAAUAAUUUUCCAUAUAAUUGGCUUUUAGGUAUAAAUUUAAUUUCUAUAUGAAAUCGUUCAAUAUAUAACUUUCUGCUACAUGAGUCUAAAAGUUAUUAACUUCCAUGCAUGGUGCGACUGGUGGGGUUUCCAGUCACUUGGAAACCAUGUCCAGAUACAUAUGAAGAGAUCAAUAAAACCAACCUUCCACUUCCUACAAUAAUCGUUUACCAAGUGUAUCUUCAAUCCUAAGCCAGUCUGGUAUUCGUUGUUGCAGCUCCUGUAAACUGGCCUCUGCUUGGUCCAGCUCCAGAUAUAGCUGCUCUACUUCAGCUAUCUUCUCAUUCAAGCGCCUACGAAUCACGUCCCUCUUGCCCUCUGCUUGUGCAUACUCAACUAAAGGUUGCACUCCAACAAAUGGGCUUCUUAACCAAUCAACCUUAACCUGAGCCCUCUCCAAAUCACUCAAUGUUCUAUCAAUGAAGUAGGUGUCUGCACCAGACAGGCUACGGGCAGUAUUCUUCUGCAUCAGCUCCACAAUCUGCAGUAUGGAACCUUUGAUUAUCUCUACAAACUGGGGUGCUGUAAAGGAGCAAUUGGCAGUUACGUCUCCAUAUUUGGUCAAUAUUUGCUGCCAAAUCGACUCCCUGGUAUUGGAAGUUACACCAGAUCCCUCAACCAUCUCAAGAAGCCCUGCAGCGGCUGUGUUAGGAUCUGUGAGAGUUUUGUCUGUGUCCUCAGCUUCAGUUGGAGCGAAGGUAGUUUGGAUCUCCUAAAGCCCAAAAAAGAGAAGGAAAAGUAUAGAACUUGUGCUUGGAAUUAACCAACAAAAAAGAUUAAUUUUGAUGUAAAAGUGCCCAAGGAAAAAUAUUUUGGUAGUUUCAGUUGAAAAUUUUGACAAACCUUGUCAGCUCCCGAAGCACCUUCCACUUCAUCUGAAGGCCAAUUAAGUGUAUCUAGGCAUUGCAACCUGUGAUUAUGCUCAAGAUGAAGUUUUGUGAUCACCCAUUGUCCAUUGUCAAGUUUGACUUGGAUCUGGACAUUGCAACCUGUUCUUGUUUCUGAUCUCUUAUACUUUGUUCCCUGGUUGGGAUGCUUCUUGGUCCGGAAGCCUUCACAUGAACAAAGAAAGCAUCGCCCUUUCAGUGUACCAUUUGCUUUCCUUUGUACCUUUCCUUUUCUUACUGUAAAACCAAUUCUCUUGGCAUACUUUUUACAAAAUUCUUCAGCUUCUAACUCAGAAGAAAACGCCAUCCCUCUCCGUGGUAUCUGAUCAUCGUCUUCAGGAUUUUUCUCAUUUACAUUAACCAAUGUUCCAAUCUCAUCACCAUUUACAUUAAUAGCCAUUUCAGUCUCACCACUAUAGAACGAACUCCACCAAGAAUCAAAAUUAAGCUCAUCCUGUACAAAGUGAGAUAGAGAGAGAAGUUUUCUAUGAGAAAAAUGAGAAGCAAAAAGCGGUACAAUGCAUAACAACAAUUUUCUUCUGUUACACCAACUAUUGAUUCAAACUACAUCUUAUCCUGUAACUCUUGUAGAACAAUGAAUUAAUAUAAGAAGAGUGACACUGUAAGACGGCUUAUAGACAAGUAGAUGGAGCAACAAAUUCUUGAUUUGCUGGUUGCAGCUUUAUUUGGGCAGAAAAGUUCAUGAAUUAUUUAUCUUUAAAAUUAACCGUUGUUCUAGAAAAUGGAUCGAGCUUACCUGGAUAGUGAGGCCCCUGAAGGAACCGCCAACUCUGUGGUGGUUUACUAAAUCAUCAGAUUCCUGUAUGGCACCCCAAACAUCUGGGCGUGAACCGAUGGAACUAUACCUGCCAAGAUGAUAGGGUUCGAUAGACAUUCUGGUGCAGUUGAUGGGUGUGGAUCCAGAGGAUCGGUGCUUGAUUGCUUUGCUUCCGGCUGGACCUUGGGAUCUCGCCUUCUCAAGACAGGACUCGUUUUAUAGCUCUCGCAGCCUGCUGUGUGGGACAGCGUCCCUUUUUCCUUGUUUGCUUUGCUUCCAUUUCCAAAUUCCAACCCACUGCGCUUUGACCAAAUGGUCCAAAUCUCCAUUUCUCGGCGACGUCGGUGCGUUCGGUUCUCUUUUCCCUUGUUUUAUUUCCUUCAGUGCCUCUUUCCUCCCAAGAGGCUACUACUCGCCCUCUCAAAAAGUCAAAACUUUAGAAACAUUAAAUAUAUAUAUUUUUUUUUAAAUAGAGAACUAUCAAAACGGUGGGCGGAAAGUGAUAAUCCUUUUUAAAAGUCAUCAUGUUGACCAAUUCUACUCUUCGAGUAAUCAUUUGAAAGCUUAACCAUUCGAAAUUUUCAAUUAUAUCCUAUUUAAACUUUAUUUUUUUAUUUUUUUUCUUUUGUAUUAUUAUUAUUAUUAAAUAUUAAUAUUACUCUUAAUAUUAUUAUUUAUGAUAUUAGUAUUUUAAAUUAUUCAUAUUAUUAUUAAUAUCAUUCUUAUUAAUAUUAUUUAUUAUUUUUUUAUUAUUAUUCAUAUUUUUAAUAUUAUAUUAAAAAUAAUAUUAUUAUAUUUUUAUUACUACUACUACAAAGAAACCUUAGGAGAUAAUUUAUAUUUUUUAGUUCUUAAAACUUGUAAACUUUAUUAAAAAAUUAUUCUUUUUUUUCAAUUUAUACUUUAUAUGUUAUAUUAAGAUUAAUUAAAUUAUUAUUAUUCUUCUUAUUAUUACUAUUAAUAUUUAUGAUAUUAGUUUUAUAUUAUUAAUAUUUUAAUAAAAUAAUAUUAUAUCCAAGUUAUAGAUAUAAUAAAAAUGCAUUGAUGUUAAUGAUAUAGUAGAAUAAAACAAUGUUUCUAAUAUAGAUAAAUACAACAUUUAUCUAUUGAAUUUAUAACAUAAAUACAUUAAAAAUACAAUAUAUUACAACAUUUUUAAUAGUUUUCAUGUAAAAAUAAAAUAAAAUUUUAUCAUUCAAUGCGCUUUUUCUAUUUGAGUCGUAACACCCGACUUUUUCUUUUCCUCUUUAUCAUUCAACGCGCUUUUUCUUUUCUUUGUUGCGUAAAAUAUUUGAAGUUUUGUUGUGAGACUUGCUUCGAUCACAGUUGUAUUCUCAAUUUUGCAAUUAAGCAAAUUUAGCUUUAUUAGUCAGUUGUGGUUGAUAUAAAUGAACUUUUUCUACUGCAAUUAAGUCAGGACUCAUAUCUCAGACUUGGUGUCUCUACUGCUCAGUAAUGGCUGCUGCUGCUGCUUCUUCUGCGUCUUCUCAGGGGCGCUAUGAUGUGUUCCUGAGCUUUAGAGGGGAAGACACCCGCAAUAACUUCACUGCCCAUCUCUGUGAGGAGUUGCACACCAAAGGAAUCAACACUUUCAUAGACGAGGAGAAGCUCGAGAGAGGGCAAGCCGUAUCUGCUGCACUUGUUUCUGCUAUUGAAAACUCCAUGUUUUCUAUCAUUGUUUUAUCAGAAAAUUAUGCAUCUUCUAGAUGGUGUUUAGAGGAGCUGGUGAAGAUAAUACAGUGCAUGAAAAACAGGGGGCACAGGGUUCUCCCAAUUUUCUAUAAUGUGGCUCCCUCGGAUGUGAGAAAUCACAAGGGAAAAUUUGGAGAAGCCUUGGCUAAACAUGAAGAGAAUUCCAAGGAGGGUAUGGAGAGGGUGCAGAUUUGGAAGGAUGCUCUCACUCAAGUCACCAAUUUCUCUGGUUGGGAUUCAAGGAAUAAGUAAUUAUUUAAAGCUUUUUUUCACUCUUACUUUUAUUUUUUAUUUUUAAUAUUGCCAUUUUAAAUGCUCUUGCUAAUUCAACUAUUAGUUAUUACAACACAAAGGGUAUGAUAAUAUAUACCAUGUUAACAUUAUCUGAUUAAAGGACUGGGUUCAUAGGAUUUAGAAAUAUUUUACUGGACUUUUUUAAAUUAGAUAUAAGAUACCAACCAUAUCUUGACACAUAUUCUCAUAUUCUCUUUAUUUUUAUUAUCUUUUUGUAGAUAGCUGGACUUAUUAUGUGUUUAUGCUUUAAAUAUGACAGGAAUGAGUCUCUACUAAUCAAGCAAAUUGUUAAAGAUAUUUUGAAUAAAUUGUUAUCUUCAUCCGGUAGUGAUACCAAGAAUCAAGUUGGAAUAGAUGCUCACAUACAAGAAAUGGAAACCUUAUUAUGCUUGGCGUCAGAUGAUGUUCGAAUGGUAGGAAUAUGGGGCAUGGGUGGAAUAGGGAAAACAACCCUUGUCAGAGCUGUUUAUAGUCGAAUCUCCUAUCAAUUUGAAGGUUGCUCCUUUCUUGAAAAUGUUGCAGAGGGUUUAAAAAAGAAGGGCUUAAUUGGGUUGCAAGAGAAACUUCUUUCUCAUCUAUUAGAGGAAGAAAAUCUAAAUAUGAAAGAACUCACAUCUAUAAAGGCAAGGCUCCACUCAAAAAAGGUCCUUAUUGUUCUCGAUAACGUGAAUGAUCCAACAAUAUUGGAAUGCUUAAUUGGAAAUCGGGAUUGGUUUGGUCAAGGAAGUAGAAUUAUUAUAACGACUAGGGAUAAACGUUUAUUACUUUCACAUAAAGUCAAUCUUUAUAAGGUUCAUAAAUUCAAUGAUGAUGAAGCUCUUGAGUUUCUUGCACGUUAUUCAUUAAAACACGAACUCCUUCGAGAAGAUUUCCUAGAGCUUUCAAGAGCUGUGAUAUGUUAUGCUCAAGGCCUUCCAUUGGCUCUUACGGUUUUGGGUUCUUUUUUAUUUAGCAUGAGCAAAGAAGAAUGGAGAGAUCAAUUAGACAAAUUAAAAAGUAUUCCUAAUAUGAAAAUUCAUGAAGUUCUUAAAAUAAGUUAUGAUGGGCUAGAUUUUGAGGAGAAGAAUAUAUUUUUGGAUAUUGCAUGUUUCCUUAAAAGAGAGGAUAAAAAUUACAUUAAGGAAAUACUAGACUAUUGUGGCUUCUUCUCAGUUAGUGGUAUACGAGCUCUCGUUGAUAAGUCACUCAGUAAGUUUUUUUCACAAUAGGAUAAUGAUGCAUGACUUAAUACAAGAAAUGGGUAUGGAAAUUGUUCGCCAAGAAUCUCAUACUCCCGGCCAGCGUAGUAGAUUGUGGCUCCAUAAAGAUAUCAACGAUGCAUUGAAAAAAAACAUGGUAAGAGCAAAAAAAUGAAAUUUAUUUUAUGCAACACAAGUUAAGAUUUGAAAUUAUUUUGGCUUAAGUAGUUAUAUGCUAAUAAAAUUGUAGCAGACAUAUAUUUAUUCACUAUGCAUGUUUUUAACUUAGUCUCCUUCUUGGUAUGCAGGAAAAUGAAAAAAUUGAAGGCAUAUUCCUCGACUUGUCUCAUUCACAAGAGAUAAUAGACUUUAGCACUCAAGCCUUCCCAAGGAUGUAUAAACUAAGAUUGCUCAAAGUCUAUGAAUCUAACAAAAUUUCAAGAAACUUUGGAGAUACCUUAAAUAAGGAGAAUUGUAAAGUGCAUUUUUCUCCGAACUUAAGAUUUUGUUACGACGAAUUGAGGUACUUAUAUUUGUAUGGAUACUCUUUGAAAUCAUUGGACAAUGAUUUCAAUGCAAAGAAUCUUGUUCACCUCAGCAUGCAUUAUAGUCACAUUAAACGACUUUGGAAAGGAAUCAAGGUAUGAUUAUGAUGUAUUGAUAUUAUUUUCUUUAAAAAGCGUUUAAUGUGCAUGAAAGCUAAUUUUUAAGUCAACUUUCUUUCAUGGUAGGUUCUUGAAAAGUUAAAAGUCAUGGAUCUCAGUCACUCCAAGUCCUUAAUAGAAACCCUAGAUUUCUCAAGAGUCCCCAAUCUUGAACGAUUAGUUCUCGAAGGUUGUAUAUCUUUGCAUAAGGUACAUCCGUCUCUUGGAGUUUUGAAUAAACUCAAUUUCUUGAGUUUGAAAAAUUGUGAAAAGCUCAAAAGUCUUCCAAGCAGCAUGUGUGAUUUGAAAUCCCUCGAAACAUUUAUUCUUUCUGGUUGUUCGAGACUCGAAGAUUUUCCUGAGAACUUUGGGAACUUAGAAAUGUUAAAGGAACUUCACGCAGAUGGUAUUCCUGUAAGAGUACUACCCUCCUCUUUUUCGCUCUUGAGAAACCUUGAAAUAUUAUCCUUUAAGGGAUGUAGAGGACCCCCAUCUACCUCAUGGUUGUUGCCAAGAAGAAGUUCAAGUUCUACUGGUUCCAUACUGCAUCAUUUGUCUGAUGUAGGACAACCCUAGGAUGGUUGCCUACACUCAAGGGUAGGUGGGCUAGGGUUUUAUUUUUAGGGUGUAAGGAGGGGAACAAGGAAUAAACUUUAUGGUAGAGAAAAUUAUAAGAUAAGAAAAAGAGAGAAAGAAGAAACAAUGAAGAAAAGAUGGAAAACCUUAGAGUCUCACUAAGGCCUUCUAGGAGUCUCACCUAGAAGAAAAUCAAUGGAGUCUCACCAUUGAGGGUUGCAACCUUGCAAUGAAAGAAAGUAUAAUAUUAUUCAUCAAAAAUUCAUUCCUUUGAUUUACAUUGAUUAGCCUAUUUAUAGGCUUCUCUAAGAAAUCCAAAGUCUACUAGGACUCUAAUAACCUAUUCUACUAGGACUCUAAUAGGACUCUAAUAACCUAUUCUACUAGGACUCUAAUAACCUAUCAUGACUCAAAUUCUAAUUAUAUUAAUCCUACUUAAAGUUUACUUAGGUCUUCCCUUUCUUCCUUGAAUAAACUUUAAAAGGCUUUCCCCCAUCAUUGUCAGGUCUAUAUUCUUUAACAAGGCUAAACCUAGGUUAUUGUAAUUUAUCAGAUGAAACAAACCUUAGCAGUCUUUGCCUCUUAUCUUCAUUGGAAGUGUUAGAUCUAUCUGGGAACAACUUUGUUACUUUGCCAAACAUCAGGGGACUUUCUAGCCUAGAAGGUCUGUUGUUGGAGAAGUGUAAAAGACUGCAAGUACUGCCAGAACUUCCAUCAAGCAUAUAUAGUUUAAUUGCGCAAGAUUGCAUAUCAUUGGAAAAUGCCUCAAAUCAAGUACUCAAGUCACUCUUUCCAACUACAAAGUCCCCGAAGAAAACUUUCAAGGUGGGUUCUAUUUGUAUACGAUGUAUCAUAAUUUUAAUUAUAUAUGCAUAUAUAUAAUUAUUUCGAUUCUAUCUCUCUAACAUCCUAAUAAUUUUGAUUCUACAGCGUAAUUCGGGUGCACACUUGAUAUAUGUGAUGGUUUAUGGGAGUAGAAUACCAGAUUGGAUAAGGUAUCAGAGCUCAGGGUGUGAAGUAGAAGCAGAUCUACCUCCAAAUUGGUAUAAUUCCAACUUGCUGGGUCUUGCUUUGAGCUUUGUCACUUAUGUUUUCGCAUCUAAUGUGAUUAUUCCAGUAUCGUAUACCUUGCGCUAUUCAACAUCCAGUUACAUUGCUAACCGCAUUAGUAUCAGAUUUGAUAAGGAAGGUGUAGGGUUAGAUCACGUGUGGCUACUUUAUAUAAAACUCCCCCUCUUCAGCAAUUGGCAUAAUGGAACUCCCAUAAAUUGGCAUGAAGUGACUCACAUCAGUGUAUCAUUUGGGACUCAGGUCAUGGGGUGGUAUCCUCCGAUUAAGAGGAGUGGGUUUGAUCUAGUGUACAGUAAUGAUCAAGACGUGAAUCCCCCAGUGAUCCAAUUCAGUUCUAUCUCCUCUCCUCCUCUUCCGAACAAGUCAACAGUAGUCCUUAAAGAAAUCCAUAAGAAGGAGGAACCCAGUGGAAGUGAGUUGUCGAAUGUUGAUGGCUCAGAAUCAGACAGCUCUGAUUACCAUACUGCUGAUGAGGAAGAACCCACAACUGCAAAAGAAACUGACCGCUCAGAGGAUCACUCUGAAUCAGAGAUGCGGCCGCAGAAACGUUUGAAGUGCAGGCAUUAUGAGGGCAUCCCUUGAUGAUCGGAGAAACAGACCUAAAACUCUUCCCAUAACAUCAUCUCUUGGUAAUGGUAGGUUGUGUGUUUCUUUUCUUUCUGCCUUUCUUUCUUAAUCUGAUUUUCAACAUUUUUGCUUGGGUAGAUGUCUUAAGAUCAUUUAGAACUGUUUAAAGCGGGAACUAAAAAAUCCCAUAACACUGUUUGAAAUUAGAGUACUCUCACAUAUCGUCGAUUUCAUGCUUAAUCAUCCCGGGAUACACAUGGUUCCAUAUCAUUAGAAUCAUUUGUAUUAAUAAUGCAUUCUCAGUUUACUAAUUGUGGCAACUAAACAGAGUCCCAAAAUCUCUCUCGGGGUUGAUCAUCUUCAAUAGAUACGCAUUGUUUUAGCAGUGAUAAUGUAUUUUGUGAAUUGCAGUCGCAUGAUCUCCAUUCCUGUGAGCAUUGCAAUUAACUAGGGAGAUUAUUUUAGUGGGGGUGAUGCUACAGCACCAGCGAAGGAGCAGAAGCAGAAGCAGAAGAGAGAAAAGAUCUUGUAACGGAACCCAAUCUUCCAUAAACUAACUAUUUUUGGAUUGUUUUUCAUUUCUAGAAAUGGAACGACUAUGUAAAUUAAAGGAUUACUGGAUUCUUCAAUUCAAAGAGUCAUCACAAAUUUGAGUCACUACUCACCUACAUUUGAUUUCAUUCCUUCUACUAUCUCCACCUUGCUCCUUAAUUCUUAUAAUGAUAAAUGUGUUAUAUAAAAUUUUGAUUAUAUUUCAUUUAACCAUUUUUGCAUUAGGGUCACAUCUCUUAGUCGUAUAGAUAUUGUUUACUUUAAUCCAAAGGACUCCCACGAUUUUAAAACGCACCUAUAAGGUUAAAAGGAAUCCAUGCAUAUAUAGAUAUAUCACAUCCAAUAGGGUGAAAAAGCUUUUACUCUCUUACGCCAUCCCUUCCCAUGAAACCCUCUAUUUUGUGCCCACCUAUACCUAUCCUUUCCCUCUUUCUCUCAUGGGCAUAUCCUUUGCAUGAUACACAUUUUAAUCAACAAAUUAUAAUUAAUUUGUUCACUAAAAUAUUUCUUUAGGUUGUAUUUGGUUCCAAAAAUUACUAAGAAAAAAAAAGAAAAAUAUAAAGAAAUAUUAUUUUUUCAUAUUUGGUUAUCGUAUGAAAAAUAUAUAAAAAAUCAAAUAUAAUUAAAAUUAAGUAAAAUUUUUUGUAUGUUUAAAUUAUUUAAUUUUUAUAUCGAUGAGUUAAAAUAAAUAAAGUCAGUUUAAAGUAACAAAUAAAAAUAAAAUUUCAAAUUUUAAUCUAUUUUUUUAUUUUUCUUUAUUGUUUUUUUCUUUUACUUUUUCUUUCUAUUUUCUUCCUCCCAUAUUUUCCCCUAAUUUUCCACCUUAAAAUUGUAUUUUUGUGAUAACUUUCGAAUAUAUUUGACAUAGUGGUUGCCUAGGGUUCAUUCUAAACCAUUUGUUUGGAUUUCGAAUAUAUUUGACAAUUUUUUAAAUCCUUCCUCCCACCUAUACCUAUCCUUUCCCUCUCUCUCACACACACAACCAUCCCGUUCGGGCCAUUCCCAUGAAACCCAUUUUUUCUCUCUUUUCUCAUCCCUCUCACAAAUCACAACCACUUUUUUCUUCCUUUCUUCUCAUCAUUUCAUGUUCUUUAUUUUUUUUCUCUCUCUCUCCCUCUCUUUCUUUUUUCCAUAGCCAUUUUCAUCUGCCCAUCACCGACGCCACCAUCCAUUGUCCGCCGCGACGUGCCACUACCGACGCUGGCGUCACUCUUUCAUGGCUUCCUCCUCUCUCAUCUCAUCAUUUCUCUCUUCUUCUCUCCCUCUAAAAUACCAAGAGCAUGGCAUGGAGGGAAAAUGGGAAGUUCGGGUGAGCUAAACACCAAGGCAACUUGUAGAGUCAUUGCUAUGGCUACUUUCAUCUUGUUUUCAAGACAUGCAUGGGUAUACUCUUUGAUCUCUACACAGUAGAUGUUAGUAAUUUGUGGGUUUUGUUUUCAUUUGAUGUUUUGUUUAUUGAUUUAUAUUUUUGAUGUUGGGUUUGGACUUGUUGGAUUUUGUUUAAUUCUUUUAGGCGUCAAUUAUUAAUGUUAGGCUUGGUUAUUCCAUGCAGACUUGGGCCUGUGCGUAUUGAAUAUUUAGGUUGGGCCUCAUUCCUUGAUUUGAGCCUGGUAGGGAGGUUUUGGACUUGACCUUGGGUUAAUUUUAUCCUUUAUAGUUCAUUUAUGAUUCAUUGUCGUGUUUAGAUCAUUCAAAAAAUUUGUUUUCAACUAUGUUCUUGAAAAUAAUUUCACUAAAAGUAUCAGAAAUCAGAAGGUGUCCAAUUAGUCGAGUUUUAAAAAUAUUGUUGACAAAUUUACCAAUAAAUUCUUAACAGCCCAACCACCCAAAAUAUAAUUGCCUACUUGAAUGAAAUAAAUAAUAAACUUUAAUUUAUACAAAAUAUUUAUUAUUAUAAUUAAUAUUUUAAUAUCCUUCAUUUAAAAAUAAAAUGAAUAAAUAAAUAAAUAAUCAACACAGACUCUUCUUCAAUGAUCGCAUUUAAUUUACUGCAAAUUUUGCUAAGAGUAUAUUAUUCCCAAUUCUCAUUUUCAUACAUAUUCUAUUAUUUUUCUUUUGCAAAUAAUCAAAUAUAGUUAUCUGUUUGUUUGAUUUGUUCAUCAAUUUGGAAUUAUAUGUAUCUUUUUGUUUCCCACUGGAUAAUUUAGGAUUCACAACUCAAAAUUUCUGAAUCCAUCUUCUCCACUCCUCAUAAUGGCUGAUCCUUCUUCUUCUCCCUUUCUUUACAACAGGGCUAUAACGUGCUCUUGAGCUUUGGAAGAGAAGAGAAGACACCCACAAUAGCUUCACUGCUCAUCUCUAUAAUGAGCUUGAAAAGGUGUUUAUACUUAUGAUAUCUUAAUCUAAUUUCUAGAUUUGGACUCAAUUUUUCGUAAUCAUGUUUUUUUUAUUAAAAAAUGAGUUACAUUAGAAUUUUAUUUCUUAUAUUAUUUUUCUUUAAAAACAAAUAAAAAUAAGUAAUGGCUCUAAUUUUUAAAAAUUAAUAUGUUUUUUAAUAAAAAUGAGUUUCACCAUUAAAUGGAAAUACAAGUAAAACAUACAAAUCAUAGUUUCAUUGUUGUUUUCCUCUUAUGAUCUUUUAUGUUUAUAAAGAGAAAUAUGAAAAAAGUAAUACAAAAGGUAAAAUUAAGUCCUUAUACAAAUUCUAAAAACUGAUGACCCCAUAGACUACUUAUCCUUGCCAAUUCACACUGUUCCACAAUUUUGCAUGUUCACAUUGCUCAAAAUAAAACUAUUAUAGAUCAAAAGAUGCGUCUAGGUUCAAAGAGUUUAGCAGAUUUUUAGGAAUGCUAGUUGAAGGGUGAGAUGAAGAAAUCUACUUGUUGCUGAGUAAGUUGAGGAAAAUGGUCGAAAGCAGGACAUCUUGCAAAGGAAGGAAGAAGAAAUCGGUGUCCGUUUCUCACUUUGAAAUGGAGCUUAGAAGGUUGGAUUGUUCGAUUAGUUAUGGAGAUUUUGUGUUCACUUCCAAAAAGGGUGGCAAAAACUAUUGGGAGCUAAUUUUGGUGGAUUGAUGAAGAUCAAAUCCUCUCUUGGAAUGUUAGAGGGCUCAAUGACAGGGAGAAAUAAAAACUGCUUAAGUCAGUGAUUAGGUCUCAGAAGAAAGAUUUGGUUUGUCUUAUUGAGAUGAACAUGCAGGAGAUGUUGUUAAAGGUGGUGAAAAGUCUGGAUGUUGGUAGGUUUUUGGACUAGGGUGUAGUUGAUGCUAGGGGAGUGUCCGGAGACAUCUUGAUUUUUUGGGACAAUAGAGUUUUGGAUCUUCUAGAGCUAAAAUGUGGAGGUUUCACCAUCUCGAGUAGUUUUAGGAAUGUGGAAGAUGGUUUUGUUUGGGUAUUCACAGGUGUCUAUGGUCUAGUCCUCUCAAGGAAGAGAAAAAAAAAAAGACUUUUGGGAUGAGUUGGGUGUAAUUAAAGGUAUGUAGAACGAUCCCUGGUGUGUAAGAGGGGAUUUCAACUCUGUUAGAUUUCCAAGGGAAAUGAGGAAAGAGGUCAGUUUAACGGCAAAGAUGAGAAGAUUCUAUUAAGUCAAUGAGGAACUAAGACUAAAAGAUUUACCCCUUUCUGAUGGUCAGUUCACGUGAUGUGGUGGCUCAAACUCUCAAGCAGCGUCAAGGUUGUAUCAUUUUUUAGUUUUUAAUGAAUGGGAGGACCACUUUUCAAGUGCCUUCCAAUGCGCUCUUCCUAAGAUCGUCUCUGAUCACUAUCCUAUUACACUAGAGGGUGGAGGGGUUAAAAGAGGUAAGACUGUGGACCCACAUUUUUCACGUGCGUCCCCACUCGAUCGGCGAGACUCGCUUUUUAUUACUAGUGAAAAAAUAAUUUUGGAAAAAGUCGGAAUCGCCACUUAUUUUAUUUUUAUUUUAAAGGGAAAAUAAAACAAAAAAGAAAAACCUUAAAAUGUGACUCCAUAAUUUUUGGAAAAAACAUGUCUUUGAAAAACCUGAGUUUAGGUCCAGGGAUCAAGUUACUUAUUGGGAAGGUACCUCUAGGAGGUAGCACCCCUCUAAGCCUAAAAGAGGUCUCUACUUACUAAGUUGGGGGAAGUGUGGCAAUUAAUUAAUUAAUUGAGGAUACCUAGAUAGGCUAAGGUGAUUUCAAAAAUAACAUGCCAAACAUGAUCAAAUUACAAUAAAUGAGAGUUAGGGUGCAUACCUGGACUGCUUCUUAAGCGCCAUCUAAAGACAUCAAUGAUUAGUUUGGAAAAUAAAACGCACAACAUAUAUUUUAUCCUAGUCUCUUAAUCAAACAUGGCAAGCUAAACAAACAAUAAAAAAGAUAUGUUGAAAAAUUUGAGAAUCGCAUACGAAGCAAUACAUAACGAUCAUAUAUAAAGCAAUACAUAAUUUAUGGAAUUAAGAUACGAAGGUAAGAAGCAUACCUGAAUAGCAUGGGUAACUCAUAAUGCUCUUCCACAAGACAUGAGGGGUUAGAUAAUAAAUAAUGAGAUAAAUUCUAGCAUGCUUGUUAUCUAAUUAGCAUAGCAAAAAUUAUCAGAGUAUACUAAUUCAUCAAUUAUCACAUAGUCUUGUAUAUAAUUCCUAAAAAAAUUGAUAUGAUUGUAACAACCAACAAAGGUGGUAGCAAAAAUAAGUUUUGAAUAUAUUUUUUUGUGUAGGGGUUUCACCAAUUCCCCAAUUGAUAUACACAAAUCUAACCUAGAAUUAUCCCAUUUAUGUGGGACCACAAGCUUGGAUUCGUGUUUGAUUUAAAACCAAAAUUUUCAUUAAAAAAACCGAGAAAGAUGCAAACCAAUAAAAAAAAAUGGUUGCAUAUUAUUUUAAGAAAAUGGGGUUUUUGAUUCUAAGGACUCUAAAUGAAUUUUUAAAAUAGGUUUUUAUAAGGAACAUUUUGGGAAAAGUAUUUUAUUUUAAAGGGAAAGACAUUAUUCACAAACAAACGAUUCGCAAAGGUCAAAUAUAGGCAACCCAAAAUAAAACAAAAUCACAAAGUAAAAUUUUCUCAAUAAUCAACAAAACUAAUAAAGGUGAGGGUAGAGGCCAAUCUUCAUGAUUUGCCAAUGGCCUCUAAAAAUUAAUCUUCACAAAAAAAUAUCAAAGCAAUAAACUAAAUGAUUUUAGAUCAGAUAAGAUUAGAAGAUAUUAAUCAGGAGUUAAAAAUGGGGAAUCAAACACAGAAGAAUAAUAAAAAAACUAACAUAAGAUCAAUUAAGCUAAUUAACUAAAAUUUUAGAGAAACAUAUGAACUAAAUUAUGAUUAAUCCAAGAAUGAAAAUUUAUACAUUUAAGAUGAAAAUAAUACAACUUAAGAUCAAUUAAAACAGUUAUCUAAAGCUUUGAAAAAACAUACAAACUAAAAGUGGACCAACCAAGAAAUAAAAUUAACAAGUUCAGAAUAUGAAAAUGACAUGGAACCAAUCAACUUAAACAACCCCAAGUCUUAAAAACUCACGUACUAAAAGAUGAAAUAAAAAAAUAAGAUUAAUAUUGGAAAACAUAAAUUCAAUUGCAUAGGAUCAAUUAAACUAAUAAACUAGAAUUCUAAAACCACUUAAACUAGAUAACAUGAAUCAAAACAAGGAUAAACAAUUUUAAAAGACAUGAGAUUAAUUACAUGGAUCAGCCAAAUUGAUAAACUAAAAUUAAAAAAAAAAAAAAAGAACCUAAACUAAAUAGAUAAAUCAAAACAAAACUAAAGCAAGGCUAAAAACAUGAACUUUAUCAAUAGAAUUGGUUAAAUUAAUGAACUAAGAUUAUAUAAAAAAAAAAAUGCAAACCAAACAAAUAAAUUGCAAUUAAACUAAAACAAGAUCAGAAGCAUAAAUUUUAUCAAUAAAAUUAAUUAAUCUAAUAAACUAAACCAAGAUUAUAAAAAUACAUCAACUAAAAAGAUGGGACAAAACAAAAUCAAAACUCGUUUUAAAAAACAUAAACCUUAUCUAAUAAAAUUAUUUAACUAAUGAAUUAAAAUUACUAUUACAUUCAAACUAAAACUAAACUAAUGUGGAAUUAAAAAAAUAAACUUUACUUUACAAAUUACUUAAACUAAGGAAUUAAAGUCACUAACACACUCGAAUUAAAUCAUAAGCUAAAAUUAAGUUAAUCCGGAAUUUUAAAAAAUAAACUUUACUUCACAAAUUACUUAAACUAAGGAAUAAAAAUCACUAACUCAUUUAAAUUAAAUCAUAAGCUAAAAUUAAGUUAAUCCGAAAUUUAAAAAAAUAAACUUUACUUCACAAAUUAUUUAAACUAAGGAAUUAAAGUCACUAACACAUUCAAAUUAAAUCAUAAACUAAAAUUAAGUUAAUCCAGAAUUUUUAAAAACAAAUUUUAUCUCUCAAAUUAUUUAAACUAAGGAAUUAAAGUCACUAACACAUUCAAAUUAAAUCAUAAACUAAAAUUAAGUUAAUCCGGAAUUUAAAAAAAUAAACUUUACCUCUCAAAUUAUUUAAACUAAGGAAUUAAAGUCACUAACACAUUCAAAUUAAAUCAUAAACCAAAAUUAAGUUGAUCCGGAAUUUAAAAAAAUAAACUUUACUUCACAAAUUACUUAAACUGAGGAAUAAAAAUCACUAACUCAUUUAAAUUAAAUCAUAAACUAAAAUUAAGUUUAAAAAAUAAACUUUACCUCUCGAAUUAUUUAAACUAAGGAAUAAAAAUCAUUAACACAUUCAAAUUAAAUCGUAAACUAAAACUAAAAGGUGGAUUAGAACUAAACUAAUUGAGAAUUUAAAAAACAAAAUAAACUUUAACACAAAGAAUUAAUCAAAAACUGAAAUUUGUUUUAAAAGAAAUCUAGACUAAAUAAGAAUAUUAUAUGGAAAACUAACCUGUGAAGUGAAAGAGAAAAUCCCUUCUUGGUGACUAAGGUGAUAGCCCGGUCUCUGCCUGAAGUCCCUUGCUCUCCUCUAAAGUUCCGCGUGAAAAUUCUUUCUGUCUCUUCCCCUCUGAAAAAAAGUUCCUUAUGCUUGGAUUCUCUCCUUUAUUUAUAAGGCAACCCACUCCUUAUGGAAUAUCUUAUUUCCAUUUUUUCUACAUGCCCGUGGAUAUGGGAAGUCCAUUAUGUGUGGCUCACUUGGACAUUUCCCCAAGGAUGCAGCCGUAUCUUGUUUGGUAAGUGAUCAGAUCCCUUUUAAUCUUCUUUCCAUAUGCUCCCGGAUUCCUUCUUAAAGCAAAUCAUAUGCAGCCCGGAUUGUUCUUAAAGCCGUGAUCUGCCCACUUUCUAUAUGCAGCCCGGAUUCCUUCCAAGUUUCCCUAUUUGGCCGUGAUCUCCUCUCCUUGAUGUCUUCAAUUGUUUCCUUAUCUCCUAGAGCCACCUUUCCUUAAACUCUCCCAAAACGUAUCUUCCAAUCUCAAUAUGGUAUCCAUUCCAUCUCCAAUGAUCAAGCAUCCAAGGAAAUCCCACAUUCCAAAUAUCAAUACCGUGCACAUCUUCCAUACAUUUCCUAUAAAAUUUCAAAUAAAUAAGGACAAGUAAUAAAAUAAUAAUAAUAAUAAUAAUAACAAUAACAAUAAUAAUAAUACUAAAAAAAAUAAAAAUAAAAAUAAAUAAAAAUAUUUACACAAAAUUAUUAAAUUAAAAUAGAUAAGUAAGGACAAGCAUUAUGGAAAAAGUGACAAAAUAAUAAGGAAAUAAAAUAGAUUAAGAAAUAGACAAGAUAAUAAAUAAAAUAAAUAAGAAUUAAAUAAUAAAAAGUCAAGUCAUGCAACUUUAAAAUAAACAAGUCAUGCAAGUCAUGCAAGCCAUACAAAAAAUGCAAUCAUGCAAACAUGCAAAAAAUUGCCUGAAAGGUGACCUAAGUGGGCCUAAAUGAGCCUAAGUAGGCCAAGUGUAUCUAAAUGGGCUUAGGGUGUCUAAAUGGGCCUAGGGUGCCUAAAUGGGCCUAGGGUGCCUAAGUGGGCCUAGGGUGCCUAAGUGGGCCUAGGGUGCCUAAGUGGGCCUAGGGUGCCUAAAUGGGCCUAGGGUGCCUAAAUGGGCUUAAAGUGCCUAGGUGGGUCUAGGGUGCCUAAAUGGGCCUAGGGUGCCUAAAUGGGCCUAAGGUGUCUAAAUGGGCCAAGAGUGCCUAAACGGGCCUAGAGUGUCUAAGUGGGCCUAGAGUGCCUAAGUGGGCCUAGAGUGCCUAAGUGGGCUUAAGGUGCCUAAGUGGGCCUAGGGUGUCUAAGUGGGCCUAGGGUGCCUAAAUGGGCGUAGGGUGUCUAAAUAGGCCUAGGGUGCCUAAAUGAGCCUCGGGUACCUAAAUGGGCCUCAGGUGCUUAAAUGGGCCUUAUGUGCCUAAAUGGGCCUAGGGUGUCUAAAUGAGCCUAAGGUGCCUAAAUGGGCCAAGAGUGCCUAAACGGGCCUAGAGUGCCUAAGUGGGCCUAGAGUGCCUAAGUGGACUUAGGGUGCCUAAAUGGGCCAAGGGUGUCUAAGUGUGCCUAGGGUGUACUAAGUGGGCCUAGGGUGGUGCCUAAUGGGCCAAGUGUAUCUAAAAACUAUCCUAAAAAUGAAUGAAAAGCCUAAGUCUAAAUUAGGGCUGCCAAGGGUCACAAUAAGGGGUCAGAUAAUCCCUAAACCAAAGUCUCCGAGGUGGCUAAAAAAAGGUAAGUAGUGUGAGUAGCUAUGGGCCACCAAGGAACUACUGUAAAGUAUCGAAUAAGUAUCUAAUAGGACAUGUGCUAGGAGGACAAAAUUGAGGGUCUACAAAGACCCAUUUCCGUUUUGAGAAUAUGUGGCUAUUAUCGAAUGGUUUCAAAGUGUUAGUGAGGAAGUGGUGGACCGAGUACUUGAUUACAAGGAGUAGUAGUCAUUGUCUUGAUGAGACAUUGAAGGGCUCUUAAAAAGGAUCUCAUAGUGUGGAAUAAAUAAAUUUUUGGCAACCUCUUCUUUAAAAAAUCAGAAGCCUUUUCUCGAGCUCAUUUUUAGGAUUCCAAGAGAGAGUUAAUCCCCUCUCUAUUAAGGAGGCAAAGGCUAGAAAAGAGGUUGUCAAGGAGUAUAAGAAAUGGUUUUUAUUGGAAGAAGCUUCUUGGAGACAGAAAUCUAGGGAAAUCUGGUUAAAGAAGGGCAACAAAAACACCAGGUUUUUUCACAAGGUGGCCAAUGCUCGGGCAAGAAGGAAUCUAUUAUCCAAGGUGAAAAUUAAUGGGGUUAUUUUAACUAACAAUGAGGAUAUCAAGGCUAAGGUGUGCAGGGCUUACCAAACUCUACUGACUGAAAAUGGGGACUGGAGACCAAGCCUUGGGAAUCUUCAAUUUAGAGUGUUGGAAAAAGAUAGGUCCAGAAGUUUAGAGGAGCCUUUUUGGAAGAAAAGGUGUUUAAAGCCCUUUCCAACCUUUGUGGUGAUAAAAAGUCAAGUCCAGACAACUUCACCAUGGCGUUCUGGCACUUCUGUUAGGAUUUCACAAAAGUUGAGAUUAUAACCCUCUUUGAAUAUUUCUUCUACCUUGGCACAUUCCAAAGGAGUUUAAACUCCACUUUCCUAGUUCAGAAAAAUGGGUGCAGAAGAGUUGAAAGACUUCAGACCGAUUAACCUGGUUGGUGGACUAUACAAGUUGUUUGCCAAAGUCCUGACAAACAAGUUAAAGUCAACCAUGGGGAAGUUGGUUUUAGACAGUCAACAGGCCAUUAUGUGGACCCGCAUUUUUCACGUGCGCCCCCACUCGAUCUGCGAGACUCGCUUUUUAUUUGUGAAAAAUUAAUUUUUGGAAAAAAAGUUGGAGUCGCCACUUUUUUUAUUUUUAUUUUAAAGGGAAAAUAAAACAAGAAAGAAAAACCCUAAAUGUGACUCCAUAAUUUUUGGAAAAAGCAUGUCUUCGAAAAACCCGAGUCUAAGUCCGGGGAUCAGGUUACCUAUUGGGAAGGUACCUUUAAAAGGUAGCACCCCUCUAAGCCCUAAAAAGGUCUCUAUUGACAAAGUUAAGGGGAGUGUGGCAAUUAAUCAGUUAAUUAUAGAUACCUAAGUAGGCUAGGUGAUUCCAAAAAUAGCAUGCCAAACAAGAUCAAAUCACAAUAAAGGAAGGUUAGGGUACGUACCCGGACCGCUUCUCAAGCGCUAUCAUAAAACAUAAGAGAUUAGUUUGGAAAUAUAACACAUAAUAUGUAUUUUAUCAAAGAUGAUCAAACAUCAAGACAAUCAAUUAUGGCAUUAGACAUGGUCAUGAUUCAUGAUAACAUAUAGAAUUUUAGAGUUGAAGGGUAGAAGGAGCGUACCCGUUUAGCGAGCAUCCACACGUCUAUGGGAACAAGGGUAUCUCAACAAUAGAUAUAAAGUGAAUUCAAGUAUUGCAUCAAGAAGAAAAAAAAUCAACAUAUCAAGCAAACAGUAUUGAAGUGAGUGUUAUGAAUGUUGGGCCCCCACCAAAGCCCUAAUUAAUUUCGCAUGAGUUGAUCCCAUAAAUUCCAUGACUUGAAAUUAUGGAGUUUGUUCGUGCUUAAGAAAAUCGAGAAAAAUCAAGAAGAUCGGUUGAAAAUCAAAUAAAAUAGUGAAAGCGCAUGCCAGAAGAAAAAUGGCAGCAAGAGUAUGUUAGAAUAUGGAUUUUAUACCUAGAAAGGAUCUAAGAUGAAUUUUUCAAAGCCAGGAAUGUUUAGUUGAACAAUGAUUAAAAAAUUCAAUUUAAAAAAAUAAGUUCCCAAUCAAGGAAGCAAAUAGAGGAGAAGAUGUGUAUAGCAAGGUUGCCAUGAAGUGAAGCCAGGGAAAUUUUGGAUAGAAGGGACCAAUUCACUGCAAGAGCGUUCAACUGUCAAAUGCUUCAACGAGCCAAGCUAUCCAGGUGGAGUGUUAAUCGUUGGCCACAAAUGCUAUCCGAAUAAGCGUUAUCGAAGGAUCCGGACAUGUCUGUCCAGGGGAAGUUGAAUCGUCCUCAUCUCCCAUCUGGUGGCAGGCGCCGGAUGUGAAAUAUCUGGAGAAGGUGGAACGUCGGUCGGAUAGAAUUGCGGCGGUGAGAUAUCCGGAGAAAGCGGGGUGUCGGCCGGAUAGAAUGGCGGCUAUGAGACAUCCGGGUGGAAUUGGGAUGUUGGCCGGAUAGAAUGGCGGCUGUGAGACAUCCGAAGAAAGUGGGAUGUCAGCCGAAUAUAAUGGCGGCUGUGAGAUAUCCGGAGAAAGUGGGAUGUCUGCCGGAUAGAAUUGCGGCUGUGAAACAUCCGGACAAGGUAGAACGUUGGCUGGGCAGAAUUCCGGAUGUGAGACAUCCGGGUGGAAUUGGGAUGUCGGUCGGAUAGAAUUGUGGUUGUGAGAUAUCCGGAGAAAGUGGGAUGUCGGCCAGAUAGAAUUGUGGCUGUGAGAUAUCCGGAGAAAGUGGGAUGUCGGCCGGAUAGAAUUGUGGCUGUGAAACAUCCGGACAAGGUAGAACGUUGGCCGGGCAGAAUUCCGGAUGUGAGACAUCUGGGUGGAAUUGGGAUGUCUGUCGGAUAGAAUUGCGGCUGUGAGAUAUCCGGAGAAAGUGGGAUGUCGGCCGGAUAGAAUUGCGGCUGUGAAACAUCCGGACAAGGUAGAACGUUGGCCAGGCAGAAUUCCGGAUGUGAGACAUCCGGGUGGAACUAGUGAGAAUUUCCGUCCGGGUGGAAUGAGCGAUGCCACAAACCAAGAACCCUCAAGAACUAUGGUAACCUCUGCAUCUGUUUAACCCCAAGAAAAACCCGUUUUACACAGCCUUUAUCAAGUUCCCAUCUUUCUUGGAAUGCUCAUGGUCUCCAUAUCCAAGAAUACCAAGGUAAAGAGAGGAAAGAAACGUAGAUACAGAAGCACACAAAAAGACCAAGAAAGAAAAGAAAAGAAAAAACAGGGGAAAAGAAGACCACCAGUGGGUAUUUUGAAGCCAGAUUGGGACAUAAAUGGGGGCAAGACCCAUAACAUCAAAUUCAAAGGUAAACCUAUAUUCAGAUUACUUUCAGAGGAAACCAAAGACAUUAAAAGGAAUAUUAAAAUAGCAUAAACAUGCAAGUAAACCAGUCUCAACUAAUCAAAUUGUGGCCCUUGCGUCCACACCAAACGACGAGAAUGAAUCUUCAGAAAACUAAGAAGUCAGGAAAGAUUGAAACCAAAUGGUGAUAUAGCAAAAAUCUGGAAACAUACCUGCACGUUCUCCUCUCCAAUUGCUUGGUUCCAGGCUGCUGCACCUUUUCCCGACUGAAAAAUCUGCUCCCCAAACCUUUUUCCAUCCACCAAUCUUCUCCCUCUCUAUACAUGUUCCAAGUCCCUCUCUUCUAUGCUUCCUCUUCCAAACCCCUCUCCUGCCCCCCAAACCUUUUUUCGUCCGCCAAUCUUCUCCCUCUCUACACGCGUUCCAAGUCCCUCUCUUCUAUGCUUCCUCUUCCAGACCCCUCUCCUGCUUUCUUUUCUCGCUAAUGCCCCACUUGUUCUUUUUCUUUUCUCCUUAUAUUCGUAUCAGCCUCUCAAACUCAAUCUGCUCAAGAGAAUCCACUUUCCUUUCUUCUAUUUCCCUUCAUUUUUUCAAAAAUCAAAAUGCUUCUCUCUUCUCAUGCAGGAUCUUCUCUUUCCAUAUGUAUGCAGCCACAUUAAUUCCUUUUUCCUCACAAAAUAUUUCUCUUACCUUUUUGAGUGCACAUACCUUAGUGAGAGUUGAAUAGCAACCCCUAUUCUCUUAUCAAGUCAUACAAAAAAGUGGGUCUAAAAGUGCCUACUGGGCCAAGUGUGUCUAAGUGGGCCUAGAGCGAUGCCUAAUGGGCCAAGUGUACCUAAAAGCUAUCCUAAAAAUAAACGAGAAAGCUUAAGUCUAAAUUAGGGCUGCCAAGAGUCACAAUAAGGGGUUAGAUAAUCCCUCAACCAAAAUCUCCGAGGUGACUCAGAAAAAGGUAAGUUGUACGAGUAGUAAUAGGCCACCAAGGAACUACCGUGGAGCACUGGAAGUGAAUUUAAAGACAUGUGCUAAAGGGACAAAAUUGAGGGUCUACACAUUAUUCAAGGUAGGCAUAUUUUCGAUGUUGCCCUUAUAGCAAAUGAGGUUGUGGAUUCUAAGUUAAAGGUCAACAUUCCUGGCCUUCUCCUAAAAUUGGACAUUGAAAAGGUGUUUGACCAUGUCAAUUGGGACUAUCUUCUUUUUAUUAUGGCUAAAAUGGGGUUUGGGGAAAGAUGGAUUAGCUAGAUUAGUUAGUGUAUUUCCAUUGCUAGCUUCAGUUUUAAUCAACAGAACUCCAUUCGGCUUUUUCCAUAACACUAGAGGCUUGAGACAAGGGGACCCGUUAUCUCCCUAUUUUUUCAUUUUGGUCAUGGAGACUCUCAAUCAAUUGCUAUCUAGAGCCAGUUGUGGGGACUUCAUUAAGGGGUUUAAGGUGGGAAGAAGUAGUGGGAAGGGAGAGACUUGCUUCAUUUCCCAUUUGCUAAUGACACUCUAAUUUUUUGUAAUGUCAAUAGCAACCAUCUGAGAUACUUGAGUUGGGUGUUUUUGUAGUUUUAGGCAAUCUCGGAUUUAAAAGUGAAUAGAGAUAAAAGUGAGGUUAUUACCAUAAGAAGGUUAGAGUCUUGGGAGGAUGUUGCUUCGGUGAUGGGGUGUAGAGUUGGGAAGCUUCCCACUUCUUAUUUGGGACUCUUUUUGGGUGCCUUUUUCAAGUCUUCAAGGGUAUAGGAUGCAAUGGAUGAGAGAUUUAGAAAAAAAUUGUCUCUAUGGAAGAGGCACUAUCUCUCUAAGGGGGGAAGGCUCACCUUGAUAAAAAGCACUCUAUGAGGUCUUCAAAUUUAUUUCCUUUCUCUCUUUGUUAUUCUGCGGAAGGCGUGUGUAAGACUUGAAAAGAUUCAAAGGGACUUUUUGUGGGGCGGUGGUGUCUUAGAGAAAAAACCCCACUUGGUGAAUUGGAGCUUGGUUUGUACUUAUAAAAGGAGGGGGGCUUGGGAAUUUGUAGACUUGUGGUUCUAAACAAAGCCUUACUUGGGAAGCGGAGUUAGAGAUUUGCAGUAAAGAGUGAUACCUUUUGGAAACAAGUCAUAAUCAACAAAUUUGGGUUAGAGGAAAGAGAGUGGUGUUCGAGAGUAGCAGGGAGAGGCUACGGUGUGGGGGUGUGGAAAGCCAUUAGAAAAGAAUGGAAGAGUAUUUGUUGCAGAUAUCGCUUUAUUGUUGAGAAUGGGAAGAAGGUCAAAUUUUGGAAGGACUUGUGAUGUGAGGACUAAACAUUGAAAGAAGUUUUCCUUAACUUAUACUGGUUGGCUGUUAAUAAAGAUGAGUGGGUGUCAAAUGUUUGGGAAGGGAGUGAGGAGUUGGGUUGUUGGAAUCCUCACUUCCCCAGGCAUUUUAAUGAUUGGGAAUUGGAGAAAGUGGAGGGUUUGUUCCUGAAACGGCAUCCUUUGGUAGUGAGAAGAGAAGUGGGGGAUGUAUUGAGUUGGAAAGAAAGUAGGGAUGACAUUUUCUCUGUUAGAUCCCUCUACCAUUCCUUCACAAGGGCCUCUAGUGAUCCUUUUCCUUAGGAUAUUAUUUGGAGGUCUUGGACUCCAAUGAGAGUACACUUUUUUUCUUAGGAAGCAUCUUGGAACAAAAUUUUAACCCCUUGAUCAGUUCAAAAGAAGGGGAUAGAAUAUGCCGAAUAGGUGCUACUUGUGUAACGAGAAAGAGGACACUAACAAUAAUUUAAUCUUAUUUUGUGAAAAAAUUACAAUGCUUUGGAGUUUGAUUUUCUCCAUUUUUGGUGUGUAGUGGGUUUUGCAUUCUUCAAUUAAAAGGAAUUUGCUUAAUUUGCAUGAUGUCUUUGUGGGUAAGAAGAGGGAGAAGGCUUGGAAGGCUGCCCCUUUAUGUUUAAUGUGCACCUUAUGAAAGGAAAGAAAUGAAAGAGCGUUCAAUGAUAUCGAACAAUCAAACCAAGCUAUAAAACAUUCAUUUUUGUAUACUCUUGUAAAUUAGGUUAGGGUAUUUAUAGAGGAUCAUACUUUGUCUAUGAUUGAUUUUAUAAAUUGACUAUGUCUAGUUAGGAGAAGGUUUUUUGGCUUCUUUGCCUAAUUUCUUGGGCGUUCUGAUUGUAUACUUCAUUUGUACUUUUUUUUUGCCACUUCUAGGCGUUUCUAAUACAAGCUUUAUUUACCUAUAUAUAUAAAAAAAAAUGCUUCCACUCCUUUGCCUUGCUUUUGAAGUAAACUAGUUUUAUUUUGACCAAUUAAUGUCACACGGCUUUUAUCUUACCUUCUAUCCUUCAAGCUUUUGAAGCAAAUAGUUUGACCAAUGUCACACGACUUUGACCAUCUCUUCCAGCCUUCAUUGUGCUCUCGUCCACCUAAAAAUGGGAGCAUUUUCUUUACCUGUUGUAGAAGCAACUUAUUCCCCUCGUUUACUGCAAGUUUUGUAGUAAAAAAGCAUCAUCACCAAACACUUGUCACUGUUUUUAGUUAUUACUAUUGGUCAUGAUUCUCUUGUGUUUAGAUUUCUUAGUCGUAUUCUUCAGUUAUUAUUAUUAUUAUCUGUUUGUUCAUGAAAUAUUCAUCUGUAAUAUCUAAUAUUAUUUUAAUAGAUUGAUCAAAGCACCUUUUUUCUGCAAGUUAAUUAUUUGAAGUUACAGUUGAAGUCUUUAUAACUUACAUCUCUUCGUCUCUCUGCUUCUCGAUAAUGACUUCUUCUGUUUUUUUUCCUUCUCCUUCUUCCUCAUCUCUCUACUUAUUGACAAUGGCUAUAUAGCUCACAUCUCUUCAUCCCUCCACUUUUCCACGAUGGUUUUUUCUUAACUCAACUCCCUUCAUCUCUCUUUCUCAACAAUGGCUUCUUCUUCUUCUCGACAAUAACUUUAUAACUCGUAUCUCUCUACUUCUCAAUAAUGGCUUCUUCUUCUUUACUCAAAUCUCUUCAUCUCUCUCCUUCUUGACGAUGGCUUUUUCUUCUCAAUAAUGGCUUUAUAAUUCAAAUCUCUUCAUUUCUCUACUAAAUUCCUGAUAAUGGUUUUUUCUUAACUUAAAGCUUUUCAUUUCUCUCCUUAUCGACAAUGUCUUCUUCUUCUUAACUCAAAUCUCUUCAUCUCUCUACUUCUCGUAAUGACGUUUUCUUAACUCAAAUUAUCUUCAUCUCUCUCUUUCUCCUAACUCAAAUCUCUUCAUCUCUUUCCAUCUCGACAAUGGCUUCUUCUUCUUCUUCUUCUUCUUCUUCUUCUUCUUCUUCUUCUUCUUCCCACUAUGAUGUCUUUCUCAGUUUUAGAGGUGAAGACACUCGUAAUUCCUUCACUGCUCAUCUCUAUAGGCAGUUGUGCCAGAAGGGAAUCAACGUUUUUAUAGAUGAUGAGAAGCUUAAGGGAGGGCAAGCCAUAACCCCUGCACUUGUUACAGCUAUCGAGAACUCCACUGCUUAUGUCGUUCUUUUAUCAGAAAAUUAUGCGUCAUCUAGCUGGUGUCUAGAGGAGCUUGUGAAUGAGUGCAGGAGAACAAAGGGACAGAGGGUUCUUCCAAUUUUCUAUAAGAUCGAUCCAUCAGAUGUGGGGAAUCAAAGGGGGAAAUUUGGAGAAGCCUUGGCUAAACAUGAAAAGAAUUUGGAGGGUAGGGAGAUAGUGCGGAUUUGGAGGGAUGCUCUUACUAAAGUUGCCAAUUUAUUUGGUUGGGAUUCAAGGAAUUGGUAAGUUUUUAAACCCUGCAUGUAUUUUUAAUAUGUUUCUAUUAUUAUUAUUAUUAUUAUCAUCAUUAUUAUUAAAAUGAAAAUUGGUUAAGGAAAUAUUAUGAAUGUAUUAUGAUUGUCCACUUAGACUUAAAUAUAGACUUUCAUAAUUAUAGAAUUACAUCUAUUAUGUGAAACCUUUUAUCUUUAAGUCCAAUCUAAAAUUUAAAAUAGAAUAUGAAGAUUUAGAUACUUAGGUGGUGUUUGUUUUUUUACUCUAACUCUAAAUAGAACUUUAAUGCUUAGAGUGCAUUUUGUAGUGAUUUUAGGAAGUGUUUUUACUUUUUUCAACACUCAAAAUUUUUUAUCUUUCAAAUAUCAAAAAUACUAAAAACAUUUCUUAAAAUCACGGUCAAAUGCACUCUUAAUAAUGUUAAGUAUUAGACUAUUUAUUUUUGUAAUAUUUUAUAUCUAUUAAAUAUUAAAAAGUAAAGAAAAAUCAAUAUGAUACUUUUUCUAUUUUUAAAAAAUUAAAUAUAUUGGUUUUUGUACCUAACAAAAUGUUUAUAAUAAGUUAUAAAAAGUAAAAAAAAAAAAAACAAUUUAAAAUUAGAAAGAAAAUUAUUUUUAGCAAAAAAUUAAAAAACCAAACACUCUCUUAGAGUUGGCAUAAGUCAAACUCCUUUUUGAAUGUUUUAUUUAAACAGUGAUUAGUAAAUUUCUAAACUUGUUUCCUUCCCGAAAAAUAAGGAAAAGAAAAAAUUACUAAAGAAAAUUGCAAUACUAGCGGUCACCAUUUAAACCAACGGAUCAUGCCUAUUAUUCUUUGUUCUGCAAUCAUGGCAGGAAUGAGGCUAAGCUUAUUGAGAAAAUUGUCCAGAGCAUUUUGGAAGGCAUGGACGAGCCUUUGAGAAAAUCAAUUGAUGAUGGUAGGGACCCAGUGGUACGAUUUUUUUAAGAAAAUGAGCGAAUUUAUUCUGAGAACUUUGAUACAAUCGACUAGUAGAAUAACGGCUCGUACUCAAUUAACUAGUCGCCAUGGUAGUGAUAUCGUGAGAAAUUUGAUACAGUAGCUAAUUCAAUAAGGGCUUCUAUACAAUCAGCUAAUCCCAAUGAUAUCAUGAAAGAUUUGAUAAAAUUAACUGCUGAAAUAAGGGCUCUUAUAGAAUUAAUUGGUCCUGAUGAUGAUGCUAUCGUGAGAGAUUUGACACAAUUAGCUAGUGAAGUAAGUGCUCUUAUGAAAUUAAUUGGUCCCCUCGAUGAUGCUGUCGUGAGAGAUUUGAUGCGAUUAGCUAGUGAAGCGGAGGCUCGUAUACUAUCAAUUAUUCCCAAUGAUAAUGGUAUCAUGAGACGUUUUGUAGGUGAAACUCAUCAGGUACCUUCGCGAGCAGACAAAAGGCUUCAAAGGCGCAUGGAGCAAGUGCGUUCCAUCUCUUCUGACCAUGUUGGAGAAGAUUUGAAGAGACAAGGAAAACUUCUUUCAAAAGUAUCAGGGUGUAAAAAUCUAGGUUUGAAAUUCCUAUAAGGGCAAGUUUUCUGGGUUUAACACGGAGCACUACGAUAAAGGCAAGACUUCGUGCCAAACAAGUCCUUAUUGUUCUUCACUACGUGAAUGAUUCAGUAGUCAGCAACUAUGCCAAUGCCUCCAUAUUGAUUUUAAUACUAGAUUCUUGGAAUCUCCUGUAUGUGCUGCUUUUGCAGUCCUGUGAUGAUGUGUUUCAUGGCAGCCCUGCUACAAUAUUUUGUGAAUCGAAGUUGAGUGAUCUUCGUUCCUGUGAGGUGGCCGCAUUGGCAAUCCACUGAACUGGGGUGAUGGAGGUCGUUCUAGCGGAAGUGGUAGGAGAAGAAGCAGGAAAGGGAAAAACCCUAAGAAUGGAAGAUUUUGAAGAUAGGAGGUGAUAGAUAAGGACUGACUCCCACUGCUUGCCAAGGAGCUGAAGCUUUUGAAUUAAAAGGCAUUUUCUUGUAAUAUAAUAGUAUGUUCUUGGACUGAUUUACAUGCUCUAUUUUGACUUCAUCUGCACGGUUCUAAUCAAUAUUAAAAACUUGAAUAUUGUUUUAUUCUAUAAUUAGCUUCUUUUAUUUAUGAUCAUAUUCACUUAAGUACUACUUUAUUCUCUUAUUCAUGUUCACAUAUUAGUAUUCAUAAGAUUGAAAGGAUCCACUUGAUAGUUUUAUUAGUAUAAGGAAAGUCGCAUUGUUCUCCCAUGUCUUGAAAAAUCAUUUGUAUUACUUCCUAAAAAAGCACUUGAUAGACGAUUCUCUGAAAAAUACUUUCAUUAAAAGCACUUUAGAUAAAAAUACUAUUAAUUAAUCGCACUUUACAUGAAUUUGUGGUUCUAUGGAAAAAUAUAUCCAUGUAUAUUAGAACAAGCAUAAUUAUGAUGCAUAUUAAAAGAAAGGCAUGUUUCCACAGUAGUGGAGAAGAAAGGAAAAGUAGUUUGUAUUUUCUUAAAGGAUUCGUGUGAGCAAGUUGUCCACCAAACCUUAUAAAAAAAUGGUUAAAAUAAAAGUCAUUUAAGAAAAAUAGUUUAUUUCUAAAUAUGCUUUCAUGAGUAAAAGUAGUUUGUAUUUUCCUAAAAGAUGCAUAUGUGAGCAAGUUGUCCACUCAACCUUAUAAAAAACGGUUAACAUAAAAGUACCUUAUAUCAAAAGAUGCCUUCACGAGGAAAAGUAGUUUGUUUUUACCUAAAAGAUCCUCUCCUAUUGUUAGAAGAUUCUUAAAAUAAAAAAAUCCUCCACGAAGUUGCUUCUCACUACCGGGCAACCUCCUCUCAUCUUGUUUUAGUUGUUUCAAGCUCUUGUUAGAAGAUUAUUAAAAUUAUCUUUCUUUAAUAUUGCUGCUCAUGAAUGGAACCUACCAAAAGACUUGUGUGUGGACAAUAUAUUUGUUGUUUUAGGAUUUCUUUUUAAUGAUGAAGCAUUUUCUCAAACCUUGGAAUCAAUCGAGCUAGCCUAGUAUGAAGUCUAAAAAAAUUUGAACAAGCAUAAAUUCUACUUUAACCUAAGGUUGGUUAGGGAAUGCUUGGGUCCUUGUUUUAACCAUCUACAACCUUCAAAAAACAAAUUUGAUAUCAUUCAUUUCAAUUCCUAAUGUCCUCAUGUUUACUCACUUUUUUUUACCAAUCCUACUAUAUAUAUACCCAAGUUGAAAAAGUCCAAACUAACUUGCUAUUGACCUAGGUACCUUUUCAAAAUAUUGGUCCUUAUUUCUCAUUCUAUAAUUAUUAAGGAAAAUAAUUAAAAAUAUGUACAAAAUCAAAAUCAAUCAUGACAUAAUAGAAAUUAUAAAGAACAUGUACACAAUCAAAUGCAUAAUGAAAAAAAAAACUCACUCCAAUUUGCAUUUUAAAAAAUAAGUUAAUUUCAUUCACCUCAUCCAAAGUUUUCACUAAAUACACCUAACCUCUAUCGAUUUGAAAUUUCAUCAAGUUUUCAUAAAUCAACACCCUCUCCAUGUUCCUCAAGUUUUCUUCAUGUUUAGUCAAUGCUUCUCCAAAAUUUCCAUUUGUGAUAUCUUACAUGUGAGGGAUCCACAUUGUAGAAAAUAGGGAGAACCCUCUGUCCCUUGGUUCUCAUGCACUCUAGAAUCUUCACCAGCUCCUCCAAACACCACCUGGAAGAAGCAUAAUUUUCUGACAAAAUGAUGACAGAAAACUUGGAGUUUUCAACAUGGUUUUGAAAACCGAAUCGGACUGGCCGGUCAUGGUUUCGGUCCAAUCAGGUCAUGAAUUAGACCGGAAAUAGGUUGAACUAGGAUCGAACCUAUUGAACUGGUGGUCCGACCAGUUCACCGGACAAACCGGUCUGUUCGAUUAAAAUUUUUUUUUUUUUCAGCAUCAAAACGAUGUCGUUUUGAUGUUUCUGGAGUCAAAACGAUGUCAUUUUGGAGGACCUUCUUCCAAACCCUCCAUCUCCGACAAUUGCCGCCCACCCCCAACGCGCUGCAACAGGCUCCCACCAUCAGCCAUUUCACCUCAAUGGCAACCAAAGCUCUACUUCCUCCUCCAACAAUGGCAGCAAGAGCAUCAAGUUCCUCAAGAAGACUCUCUCCUGCACAGACACUAGUUCAAUGCUUUCUACUGAGGUCGUCCCAAAAGGGUUUCUGGCCGUGUGUGUUGGGAAGGAGCUGAAGAGGUUCAUCAUCCUGACAGAGUAUCUGGGUCACCAAGCAUUUGGGGUUCUGCUGAGGGAAGCCGAAGGAGAAUUCGGGUUUCAGCAGGAGGGUGUGCUCAAGAUCCCAUGUGAAGUGGCUGUGUUUGAGAGGAUCUUGAAGGUGGUGGAAGAGAAGAGAGAUGUGUCCUUCUUGUAUGAGUUUGGAUUGAAUGCGGAGAAGGAGAUGAUUGGUUGUUGUUCAUCCUCAGAUUGUGAGCUCACACCUUCUCACCAUCCUCAAAUGAGUAGGUGAUCAGAAGAUGAGAAGAUCAGAUCAUAUCAGAUUUCCUCAAAUUGUUGCUUGUCCCACCCAAUUAGUGAUUUAAAUUUCAAUUUGUAAUAAUAAAUUGGCCGAGAAGAAAAGAAAUAGGCACCGGUUGUAGAUCGCACAACCCCCCUCCCCGACUAGUGGUAGUAGCUGCUCCAACGAUUUAUUUUUAUAUAAUUUUUUUUUUAUGUUUUAUUACUUUUAUAUUUAUUAUUUAAUGUGUUAUUUUUAUUUAUUGAUCAUAAUUUUGAUAGAUAUCAUAAAAAUUUAGAUAGAAUUUAUUUUUUUAUUUUUUUUAUUUUAAUAAUAUAUAAAAUGAUAAAAUAUAAAUUUAUGACGUCACCGAUUCGACCGUCGGUCCAAUCAGUGAACUGUGAACCGGGAACUUUUCCGGUUCAAUGACCGGUCCGAUUAUAAAAACAUUGAUUUUCAAUAGCCACAACAAGCGCAGAAGCUAUGACAUCACCCCUCUCAAGCUUGUCAUUGUCGAUGAAAGUGUCGACUCCUUUGGUGCAUAGCUCCUUAUAGAGAUGGGCAGUGAAGCUAUUGCAGGUGUCUUAUCCUCUAAAGCUCCGGAAACAUAUCAUAACUAUUAGAAUUUUUGGGUUGUGUAUUAAUGGUGUUACUGACAAGUUUUUGAAGAGUGAUGGAUGUUGGGUUAUUGUUGCUGGUUUAUGCUUCUAAUUUGCUAUGAAUAUCUAUACCUACAUACUUACAUUCAGUUCAUAAAUGCAGUUUCUUCUUUUAUUCUACAGAAAGGUUGCAGUCUUAUAUGUAGUUCUAAGUGUGGUUGUGAGUUUAAACCAGCCAUGAUUCAAAUUAUUUGAUACUUUCUUUUCAGGGAACACACUAUCCAAACUAUUUUCGUAACUUCAAAAAUAUGAGUAAAAUUGGGCUACAGCCAAUAAAACUGAAUGAAUUUCUCAAAUUAAAUCAGAAGUAAACAAGCUUAUAAAGUCAUCUUCAUAGAGAGUAGAUGACAAUUGGAGACUCUUCAUUCUCAAAGUUUUUGAACAUCAUGAAAAAUUAUUCUUGGAAAAUCACUAGUGGAAUGCGAUGACCAGGUCAAAUGCUCACUACCAAUCAAAUAAAAAAUUCAGGAACCAAAAAUACAAAUUCUACUUUGCCUUAUUCUAAAACCUAAUUCAUUAGGUACGUUAUAAUUAUCAAAGGCAUUAAAAUCAAUACCAGCAGGGUUCGAAUCAUAUACUCAGAAAAAUGGUGACAAAUAGUUUAAUGAUAUAUGCAUUGUAUAAAAGUUUUAAUAAGUUUCUACCCAAUUUAUCACAUAAAAGAAACCAACUAGGUUCAUAAAUAACAUCAGACAAGUAUAUAAAAUAAUUCAUAAGAAAGCAAGAUUCCAAGCUCCUGGAAUCGCUGCAUUUGCAAAGGAGUUGCUCUGCAGAAAGCAAGAAAAUUAACUCCCUCCAUGGAAAUUCUGAUUCUGGCCUCUGCAAAAGAGGAACAGCUUGUCACAUGGUGUAACUCAAGAUUCUUAUCAUUUCCACCCAAAGAAAGUUUUGAAUGUUACAAUUUGCCAUGAUUGUCAAACUCGUGUUAAACAAAAUGUAGAAGAACCGGAUUUUAUGACUCAAACAUCAUAAAUGUUAGCAAAUGUUCCUGCAGUUUUUAUCCUAGUACUCAACAUCAUAAGUUUCUAAUGCUUAUAACACAAGCAAAACUACUACUAUUAAAAUUGAAUCAUUCACAGUCAGAAAAGAAGUAUGCUGGGUGAUUCAUCAGGCAACUUGCAUUCAUCACCCAACACCAACUUUGCUUCAUUUUCUUAAUCAAACUCCCCAUAUUCGCCACCAAGUGCUAAAUAAAACUCAACACUGUCAACAACUAAUUUUGAAGGCUUAAUAACAAAUUUCAGCAUAAUCAAAGGUCAGAUUCAAACAAAAAUAUCUGCCUAAAAUAUCAAAGAAUACAAGAAAAAAUGACAAAGAGAAUUUCAGUUGCUUCAAUCAAUAUAUCUCAAUAAGAGAAAAGUUGAUGACUCACCGAAAAGUCAGACAGAGAUAUAAUAUAUAGACAUGAUUGGAGGAGUUCGCUGAGAAUUAUUGACGAAAAAUAUCAUCACUGAUUUUGAGAAUGCAUGACCAAAUCAACAGAAAAGAGAAUUUUAUUGGAAAAAAGACCUGGAUGAUGGUAGUCAUUCUUGAGGACGUUUGCGCUUGAGCUUGAGCGUGGGAUCAUUGGUGGGUCCAUCACUGCAGCCACUAGAACUAGAGUCCAUUCCACUUCGAUUGAGUCCUGCUCUGUCACUGCUUCUCUCAACUACAUUACACCCCCUACUCUUAAGCUGUUUUCUAUUUUGUGGAUGGAUUCCUUCAAGAUCUUCUGCAUAUAUAAGACAUACGCCACACUUCUUCACCACAUUGGAUGCACUUGAGUUGAAUCUGUGGGCUGCUUCAAAAGAAAUCUCAAUGUGAUUCCACUCAUUGGGGUCAUUGAAUUGAAACAACCUCAACUGGGAACACGGUUGAUAACCCAGCCAGACAUGUUCUGACCCAACAAUGUUGCCUGUCCAAUGGAAAUCAUGGCCGAAGUCUUUCAAGUCCCCAUAAUUAAAAACAUCAGAAUUCAAAUGGCAUAUAAUUCUCUCAGGAAGAUGUUCAAGAACAGAGCAGAGAGCAAAUCCCAAGAAGUCAUCACUAUACCAAUUUGUAGGUAGCUGAAUUUUUAUAGAAGAUCCCACAUUCUGAUGCCAGAUCCACUCAGGAAUCCCAGUGCCAGGAAAAACAAUACUAAAUGCAAUAUUUUCAAGCAAUUUCUGCAUCAUAACAGGUGAAGUAGUCACAGAGGAAUCAGAAGCAGUGGAAGACACAUAAAUAUGUGGAAAUAUUUGUAAUUCUGUCCUCUUAUCAUCACUGGAUUGGUCCUCAACUGGUUUGGAGCAAUUAUAGAAUAGGAACUGUAGCCCUUGCAAUGUGCUUACACUUGAUGAGCCUGGCAAAAGAGACGUGCAAUUGUGUGCAUCUAUGUCUCGGACACUUGGUGGAAGCUCCGGAAUUCCUGUGAGACUCUGGCACUGCGCCAAUCGAAGGUCUUUUAGGUUUGUAAGUUCACUGAUGCCAGCAGGUAUGCUUAGAAAAUUGUUCCGGCUUAGAUCUAAUUUCUUCAAUGAGAUUAAGGAGCAAAUACCGUUGGGGAUUGCUCCUUCUAUUAGUUUGCAGUCACUUAUGUCUAAAUUUGAUAAGGACCUGAAACUAGAAAAACUAGAAGGCAAGCGCAAACCAAUCCCAUUUGAACUGUUUCCAUGCAAUAACCAGAAUGAAAAGAGCGAACCCAAUGAGGUAGGUGCUAAUAUUUUACAUCCAGGAUAGAUCAAUACUUGCAGGUUUCUCAAAAGAACAAUUGAGUCAGGAGGUUGUGCUAUAGCAGUUCCAUCUGCAUGGAGCUGUGCUAGACGUUGCAGGCUCCCGAGGUUCCUCGGCAAAUUGUUUAAUUAUGAACAACCAGAGACAAUGAGUGUUUCAAGAGAUGUCAAAUUACACAUGCCGUUUGAAAGACUCAGAAGGUUUUUGCAUUUCCUCAGAUUCAAUAGAACGAGGCCUUUGAGACGUUCAAUUGAUGAGGGUAGCACUUCGAUAGGUGUCCCAUCUAAAAGAAGCUCUUUCAAAUUGUCCAUAUUCUCCGUCACUUCUGGAAAACUUUCAAGUUGUGAACAUCCAGAAAGAGAGAGAUUUUCAAGGGAUUUCAACUUACAAAUACUUGUCGGAAGACUCUUAAGAUUUUUGCACCAUUUCAGAUCCAAUAAAACAAGUCCAGUGAGAUGCCCAAUUGAGGAGGGAAGUUCCUCAAUAGCAGUUGAAGCUAAAUAAAGCUCCAAUAAAUUUUCCAUGUUACCUUGAAUAUUUGGAAACUUCUUGAGCCCUGAGCAGCCAGAGAAAUUGAGAAUUUCAAGCGCUUUCAUGUCGAUGAUGCUUGGAAAACAAAUAAGCUUUUUGCAAUUUUUCAAAUUCAAUAAAAUAAGCUUGUUCAGCUUUCCAAUAGAUGGGUGAACCUCAAGCAAACUUGAACAACCAUCAAGAAUUAGUUUCUCCAGAUUGGGCGCACUCACUGUGAUGUCUGGAAUUUCAAUGAGGUGUUGAGAGCAACUAACUCUUAUAGUAUUUAACUUUUCAAGAAGCUGUAACAGGAAAAAAAAAAAAAAUUACUUUGAUAUAUUUGCUUUCAUGGACUUUAGAGUUUAACCAAAGAAGAAAUAUGAAUAAAUAAUCAAUCAUCAUACCAAGUCACCUUCCCAAAGUCGUUUUAAGCUGCUAUAACACAUGUCAAGUUCAACAAGGUCCUCUGCAUAAAAUCCUAAUGGCAAAGAUUCCAAAGGAUAACCAUGCCAAUGGAGAUAUCUUAGCUCAUGAGAAGGGAAUUCAAAGUCUUUAGAUAGCUUUACUUUAUUAUCCUCCCUCGUAGAAGCAGAUUCUAGAUCCCAAUGGAUUUUGAGUAGUCUAAGAUUCUUCAUCAUUGCAAAAGCUUCAGUAGUAAUAUGUAUCCGCGUCAAUCUAGACAAGUUCAGAAGUAUGCCUUCAAUUGCCUUUGUUCCCUGGUAAACAAGAGUAGAUGAUGAGUAGAGCAAAAUACAUAGAAGUUAAAUAAGACAUGUAACUUAAACAAAAAUGAUAUUGUUGAAGCUUAGGUAUUUUGAAUAACCUUAAACAUGAAAGUAUAUUCAUUUGCAUUUUCUCUUACCAUUUUUCUUGUCAAUACACGAUUUACAACCUCAGGAUAGCACAAUCUGCUCCAUUUUCCAGGGUCUCUAGGACAUUCUUGUCGAACAAUUUCUCGUCCCAUUUGUUGUAACAAAUCAUGCAUCCAUAUCUUGUUGUCUAAAAUAGUUACAAAGCACUUAUCACCAAGGACUCCUAUUCCACUCUCCGCAUAGAAGUUGCAAGCAUCUAGGAUUCUAGUAACAAAAUCUUUCUCCUCUCCAUUAAAGAAGCAAGCAAUAUCUAAGAAUAUCUGUUGUUGUGUGUCAUCUAAUUCAUCAUAACUUCUCUUAAGCACACGUUGGAUUUCUUGGUUAGGUUCCCUCUGCAGUUUUUGCAAUUCACUUUCCCAUUGACGUACUGUCUUGCCAUAUAGGAAACAACCCAAAAUCUUAAGACCUAGCGGAAGACCAUUAACAUAAUGUACAACAGAGUUUGAAAGUGUUUCAUAGUCUUCUUUGGGAUGGUUCUGUUUAAAUGCAUUCCAACAAAAGAGUUCAAUAGCUUCCUUGUGAUCUAAUUUCUUAGCCUCAUAUAAUGCAUCCAUUCCAUGCAGCUCCAACAAAUGCUUAUCUCUAGUUGUUACAAUAAUUCUACUUCCUGGACCAAACCAACUAUGGUCACCAGCUAAGGCUUCCAAUUGGUUCAAAUCGUCAACGUCAUCAAGAACAAGAAGAACCUUUUUAAAGCAUAGUCUGUCUUUUAUCAUAUGGACCCCUUCAUCAACAUUCCUUAUAAAGUUCUUCCUUCUUGGCAAGAUAUCAUGAAGAAGUUGUUUUUGUAAAUAAAGUAGACCUCGACUUUUAGAAUCCUCUCUAACAUUAGCAAUAAAGCUAGCAAUCAUGAACUGGGCACCAAUUCGGUUGUAUAAAACUUUGGCCAUGGUUGUCUUACCAAUUCCUCCAAAUCCAUAGAUCCCAACCAUGCGAACAUCAUUUGAUAAUGGAUCUAUUAUUUGUGGAAAAAUUUCUUCCAUUUCUUCCAAACGAUAAUCCAUCCCGAUGAGGUUCUUGUCAACCUGUAAGAGUUUCUGACUAAAUUUCAUCAAAAUAACGCAAGUGAUAUCCUCAAUAAAAUCUGCCUCAGACUUGCUGCCAGAAAGCACAUACAUAGGUGAGCUAACAGAGCAACAAAUGGUAGAAAACAUGAAGUAAACUUGAUUAUGCUUGGUUUAGUACAAAACAUGAAUUAUGGGCAAUUAGAAUUUGUUAAGGGGAUAAGGAUGAAUUAAUUAGAUGUUUCAAGCACCAUUAGAACACUAUAAGAAGAAGAAAGAAAAAAACCUUCUAAAUGUUGCCCUUUAUUUCAUCUUUGCUAACCUCUACCUAUACUGGAAGAUUACUCAACUCCCUUCUUAGAUGAUGUUGGCCUUUAUUUUAAACUUUACACUCUUCCUUUCAUAAGCUUUUUUUUCAUUAGGUCUAUCCUAAGUUAGCAUUUGUAUGUAUCAGAAAACACUAAAAAAUCAAGAAUAGUUGUUUGCCCAUACUAACAUAUUAACCUUAUAAAAGAAUGGAAAGAAAUAGGAAAUCAAUUAAAUUUUAGAUGGGCUUUGAUAGAUCAAUUUAAUGACUUGAUAACUUAAUUUAAGUCAUUAAUAGAUUAAGUAUGUUUAGCAAAAUAACUUAAUAUUAUAAUUUAAAGUAAAAAAUAAUUUUAAAUAUUAAGUCAAAUUAGGUUCUUUAUAAUCUGCAAUCCCUUUUACCUCAUGUCCUCAUGUUUAGUGAGAGUACUACACAAUCAUAACUCCACAUUCACAACCCAUCUUUUAUAGUAAAUAUUUUUUAACCAUUCUAGAUAUCUACAAUAUAUGUUUAACAAAUAAAUUUAUUAUUUAAGAUUAGUCAAAGUAAAUAGGAGUUAAAAUUAGUGAGAGUAAAUAUGAGUUAAUUUGAUGAUUUAGAAUAAAUUUUAAAUUAACUUUAUCAAACAACCUUAAUACUUAAAGUGAAAAUUAAGUAAUAUAUUUUAAGUUAACAACUUAAGAAUAAUUUAAUACUAAUUCCGUCUAAUCUACUCUAUCUAUCGGAAUUCUCCAUAUUAUAAAUUCACUUUAUUUUUUAGGAUAAGAUGCAUGUGCUGAUUAUAAAUUCUAGUAGAUUUCUGAUUUAUCAUUAUGUAUAGAAAGAUAAAAGGAUACUUGCAAAAGAUUAUGCGGAUCGAACAAGCUAUAUUUACCCAUUCUGUAUAUGCCAUCCAGAAAGAUUGCCCACUUCCCUCAAAGCUGCUCUCAACUUCUGUGUAUACUCCAGAGGAAUUUUUCUUUCAUGAUUGGCCAACGCUUCUCCAUAACUCUCCCCCUGAUUUCGCACAUCGGAAGGAUUCACAUGAUAGAAAACUGGAAAAACUAUUUUUCCCAUUUGUCGCCUCGACUCCAUGAUCUCCUUCAACUCGUCCAAACACCACUUGGAAUGAGCAUAGUUUUUCGAGAGAAUUACGAGAAAGCACCUUGACAUCUCAAUAGCUCUCAAAGUAGUUGGCAAAAUCAUUUCUCCCCUGAUAUAAUCCACUCUAAAGGUUCGAAACCCUUUCUGAUACAAAGCUGCAUAGAGAUGAUCUGUGAAAUUUUGUCUGGUAUCUUGACCCCGAAAACUCAAGAAAACUUCAUAUUCCCAUGGACCAAUACAAGUAGAAGUAGAAGAAGAAGACGCCCUUCGAAGAUCCAUCCCAACAAGCUUCUUCUCAACCUGUAAGAGUUCCCGGUUUAAACUCUUCCAAAUAGUGGAAGUAAUCAUCUCAAUAACAUGUGACUCGGGUCUGCAAGUGGCAAAGCAUGACACAUGGGGUGAGUCAAUGGUUGCAAACACCAGCAAAACAUGAAUUAAGUGCCCUGGAUCAUAUAUGCUUUUAGCUUUACUUAGAAAACACGAUUUAUCAUGCAAAGAAAAGAAGUUAUAGUUACCCAUUCCUUAAACACCAUCCGCUAAUCUUCGCCACAUUCCACAACGCUUCCCUCCACCUCUUUAUCUUCGACAUUCCUUCCUCGUCUGCCGUUCUUUCAUGAUCGGCUAAUGCUUCUCCAUAACUCCCCAUCUGUUUUCGCACAUUGGAGGGGUCCACCUGGUAGAAAAUCGGAAACACUAAUUGUCCCAUACACUGCUUCCACUCCAUGAUCUUUACCAGUUCAUCCAAACACCACCUAGAACGGGCAUAGUUUUUGGACAGAAUUACGACACAAAUCCUUGACUCUUCAAUAGCUUUUAAAAGUUCUGCUGCAAUCUCUUCUCCUCUUCGUAGCUCCUCAUCAUCUCUAAAGGUACGAAUCCCUUUCUGAUCCAAAGCUCUGUAGAGAUGAUCUGUAAAAUUAUGGCGAGUAUCUUCACCCAUAAAGCUCAAGAAAACAUCGUAAUUCCAUACACGAGUAGAAAUAGAAGAAGAAGAAGAAGAAGCUCUUUGACUUUGAGGGUCUGCAAAAGCCAUCCACUCUUUACUGUGAGAACUCACUCAACUUAACUUAAAUGGCAGGCAAUUUCUUCAUAAAAGGCGGAAAGAAAUGGCAGGAAAACACUGGUAGGUAGAAAGACAGCGAUGAACUCUGCCUUGGAAGGUCGGGAUGCUGUGUGCUAAAAUUGUUGUGAAGGUCUCCACUGUAUCCCGAAUCUUUUCUAUUGUUUACAAAUUAUUGUCCAUGUAUAUAUCAAAUAUAAAAAUGGAUUACAAUAUUUUUAAUUAUUAUUUUAUUUUAAAUGCAAGAAAGAAGUUUGAUUCCAGCUACCAUCCAUCCACAUACGAUGCCUAAAAAAAAAAUUGAUUGGGUUUAGCUUGACACAUGGGUCUGAACAAACCGGCUUUAGCAUUCAGGUUCUCAUGCCAUAUAUCCAUCAUCGUCUCCGAGGAAGAAAGAAAGCCAUGAAAUCUAGUUUAAAUGAAAUUAACCUUAAAGUAAGUGUUUAGUUUAGAUGUUUGCUAAAAAAUUAAUUUAAAACUUCAUCCGGUGAUAUGAAAUUUAAAUUUUAGAGUUUAUUUACAAAUUAUAAUUUAAAACCAAUUUAUUUUUAAAUAAUUCAGUUCUCUUGGGUUUUGUUUUAUAAAUUCAAUUUAUAUGACAUUAAUUUAAUUUAUAUUAUUAUUGAUUCAAUCAUGGCAGGUGGGGAUGGAGGACGAAAUUUCCUUCCAUUGACCUAAGAAAGAUUCAAGUCUUUUCCUCCCAAUAUUUAAAGACUCAUUGGGAUAUGUAGAUGACAAUGAGAAGGGAAUUAAUUGACUCAUUUUCUAAAAGGAGACACCACAAAAGCCCAAAGUUUAAAAUAAAGUAGCCUUUAUGCUGCCCAAACAAUUCACUACGUAUGACUAGCUCUUUCAACUACUACCACUAUAUGUUUUUAUCAUAAAUUAAUUUGUGGUUGAAAAAGUAUUUUAUGGUGAAAUAAUUUUUUUAUUAAAAAUUAUUAUGGUUAAAAAAAUAUUUUGGGGUAAAAAAGUCUUUUUCAUUAAAAAUUAUUUGUGGGGAUGCUUGAUAUAAGUUGGUGAGUAAUUAUUCUUAGGGUUUUGCUUUGAAAAAACUUGUGUAUAAAAUGAUUAUCUAGGAAUUAUAUUAAGUGAUUAUCUAUAUUUGUCACUUUUAAACUUUAAUAAAAAUUUAGUAAAAGAAUAGUUAUAAUUUAUUUAAUGUUACUAAAGUUAUAACUCUAAGACUGUAAAAAAAUAUUUUUGAAAUACAUUUGUGAAAGUGUUCAUUGGUAAAUUAGAAUAUAGAAUCUACUCUUAAUUUAAAAUAGUAUUAUUAAUUUCUUUGAUUGUAAUUAUAUUGUUAGUUUUUAAUUUAUAGUUGAACUUGUAUAUGCAAAGGAUUGGGUUAAACAUUGAUAGUAUUUUUUUAAUUCAUAAAUUAUUACAAUGUUAAAAUAAAUUUAAAAAUAAAUAAAUAAUGUAAAUUUUGAGGAGGGUACGAAAAAUGUGAUGAAAGUACAAAGAAUAUAAAAAUAGUAUAGGAAAUGUGAAGAAAGUACGAAGAAUUUAAGGAACGUACAAUGAAUGUAACGAGUGUAAGAAGAAUAUGAAGAAUAUACAAAAAAAAUGUGAGAAAAGAACGAAAAAUGUGAGGAAUGGAUAAAAAAUGUGAGGAAUUGAUAAAAUAAUGUGAAGAUAGUAUGAAGAAUGUGAGGAAUGUAUAAAAAAAAUGUAAGAAUGGUAUAAAAAAAUGUGAAAAUGGUAGGAAAGAAUAUGAAGUGAGUACGAAAAAUGGGAGAAAUAUACAAAAAAUGUGAGGAGUGUAAAGAUAAUAUGAGAAGGUAUAGAGAAUGUGAAAAUGACACAAAAAUGUGAGAAGAGUACUAAAAAUAUAUGGUAUGAAAAAACAAAGAGAUAUAUGUUCUUUUCUUAAAUGCGAUGUUGGAGUUAUAUUUUUUUUUAAUUAAAAUGUUUAAAAAUCUUAUAUUUGUUCUUAUCUUUUUAAAAAAUAUUUUAAUAAGAAAAAUGAUAUGGUUCAAAGCAAGCUUGAAAAUGACAUGUACAAAUUUCAAGUCUCCGAAUCAACUAAUUCUCAUUCAAAUUGUCAUUCUCAUGAGCCUUUUAAUCAUCCUAAUGUAGCAACUAAUAAUGCUAUUAUAGUACCUAUGCUACCAACUCUCCUAAAAGCAAUUGUUGUUAGGAAAGGUGUACCCUAACCUUAUAGUGCAUUCACCCAAGCGCCACACAAGGGGAAUUGAUGGAUGCAGCCAACCCUCCGAACUACUAACAAUCCCCCUCCCACCCCCAGCGACACCCCUGGGGUUCAAACCCAUGACCUCGGCUCUGAUACCACUUAUAGGACCUCAGACGCUACCAACUCUCCUAAAAGCAAUUGCUGUUAGGAAAGACGCAUACCCUAGCCUUAUAGUGCAUUCACCCAAGCGCCCACGGCGAACACAAGAGGAGUUGAUGGACGCGACCAACCCUUCACUCUGCCAACAACUAUCUCUAAGAUUUUUUAUAUUUGACAUUCUUGUUUAGGUCACCCUUCUAUUGAGAUUGUAAAGAAGGUGUUCUCACUCUCUAUUUUCUUAGUUGUAUCGUUUGCGUACAAAGGGUCAAGCUUUGUGAUUACUACUCAAAAAGUGCUAUUUCAUAGCUUGUAAUUAACUCUUUUAAACACUUUUGAGUAGUAGUUAUCACCUUUUAACCCAAUUAACAUAUUAAGGACCCUUGCAAUCAAUUCUAAUCAAAUUGUGUUAAGUUUUGGUGUUUUGAUAGCUUUUUGAUCACCAAAGCAAUCCGAGAUUGAGAAGAGUUCUUUGGAAUCCAUGGCAAAAGAUGUCCGGACAGGGCGUCCGGACACACCAUCGGAGGGCGGCGGAACGUGGGUUGUGGCAGGCUAUUGGAAUGACGUAGCAAGGCUUGUGCGCUUUAGCAAUGAUCCUGACAACAUAUCCGGAAUUCUGCUCCGUCGAUAUUACACCCGGAUGUCUCACAUCCGGAAUUCUGCUCCACCGACAUUCCACCCGGAUGUAUCACAUCCGGAAUUCUUCUCCGCCGACAUUCCAUCCGGAUGUCUCACAUCCGGAAUUCUGACGCCGGAUGGGAAAGGAGGGCGUUUCAACUUCCCCGGUCAGACAUAUCCGGAUCUUUUGAUAGCGCUUACCUGGAGAGUUUCGCAGCCAUUUUGCAUAGUGCCGCGGUGUUCUCCUGAAGCUUCCAAAUAUUUGCAACCGACAUUUUGAGAUAUUUUGCUUUAGAUAUUUGAUGUCUAAAUCCCCAAACUCUUCUUAUAACCCACCAAUUAUAGGAUUCCUUAGUUCUUAAGUUUGGAAAAAGGGUGAAUAACCCCUUAUAUAUAGUUUGUAAUCUUCUUUAGAAAAUAUCCAUCUCUCGGGAGCUUGUUCUCAGAGACGGAUCCUUUGUACAGUUUUGCAAGGAAGUAAAAUACAGAGCCUUUGCUCUGCCUUACCUUCUCGUUUUAAUUGUUUUGUAUAUUAUUUACUUUUUAUUUCUAGCCAAUCAAACUCUGAGGAUUUUUCCUCAGAGGAUGAGAGGCUAGGCUCUUCGUCUCUUGGAGUGAAGAAAGCCGGGUAAGUUUCCAUAUGCAUAAAUUGGAAGUUUUGUUGUUUUAGUUUUUAAUGAAGAAAAAGUGUGACCCGUUAAUGGUUUUUAUCUUUUUAGUUAACUUAAAACGCCUUUAAAUCACCUGGGCCAACACUUGAUAAGGCAAGUGAUCUCCAUCCAUUGAGAUGCACUAGUUUAUCUCUUGCGAGCCUUUGGGAAGUGGUUUAAAGGUAGGAUUUUCUAGAAUAGCCAACACUUGGUAAGCUUUUGGACUCCAAGGAGACAUCCAUUAGUUAUCUCUUGCGAGCUUUUGACGGGUAAUCCAAGGUUAAAGAUCACCUUGAAUGGUAAAUGCUAGGUGAGAGGCAUGAGCCAUUGCAAGGUGCAUCAGUGAGAGGGAUUUAAUGUUUGAACCCAUUAAAAGGAAGCAUCUGUACCACACCGGUUAGAGAAUUAACUAUAUGUUAAUUCUCUAAAGCGAGGAAAAGAAACAAGUGACCGGAACUCCCUUUUUGUACAAGGAAUCUAAGCCCAGUGAUCUAAACUCCAAGAAACACUUUUCUUUGUAAUUAAAAUCAGUUACUAUUAUUUUUGGUUAGCUUAAAACCAAUCCUUUUUCAAACAUCUUUAUGUUUUCUUUUAAAGCUAACCUUGAAAUGAAAAGGCACCAAUUCAUCUUUGAAUUAAUAUCAAUUGUGAAAUGAAAACCCAUCCUAGUGAACGAUCCUAGAGCCACUAUGCUAUAGUAGCUUUGUCUUUGCUACCCUAGUUCAUGGUGUAAUAGGUUAUAAAUUUUGUUGAUUACUCCCUGAGAACUACAAUCAAGGGAUACCAGCUGGACACGAAUCAGCUAAGACACCAAUUGGGAACGAAUCACUUUGUCAAUCAAUAUUUGUUCACUUCAAAAAUCUUGUAGAAAACCACUUUAACAUUAAGAUAAAAUUAUACCCAAUUGAUGGUAGGGAUGAGUUUAAACCUUCUCAUUCUUAGUUAAUCAUGACAUUAAACAUUGAUUGUCUUGUCCCAAAACUCCAUAGUAGAAGGCUCAGGUAGUAUGUAAGAAUCAUUAUGUUGUAGGUUAGCCUUGUUUGCUCAAGCAUUUAUGCCUUUCAAAUUUUGGGUGUAUGCAUUUCAUGUUGCUAUUUUUCUCAUAAGAAAAAUGGCUUCUUAUAUGUUAAACUUUCAAUCUCCCUAUCAGGUUCUUUUUAGAUCAAUUCUUGAUUAUUCUUCCUUUAAAUCCUUUGGGUGUCUUUGUAAUCGCUUUAUUCAUCUUUUUAAUAAAUAGAAACUACAAUAUUGGUCUACUAAAUGUCUUUUUGUCAGUUAUCACACUCCUCACAAAAUGUAUCUUUGUCUUUAUUAAACCUUUGAUAAAGUUUACAUCACUCAUCAUGUUGUUUUUGAUGAAUCUUGUUUUCUUGUGGUUGUAGGCACUCUCCCUAGUGUUUCUACUAACUCAUCUCCUUUCCUUAUUUUUCCACUUGCUUUUAUUCAUGUCUUUUUCUUCUCCUUCUCAUGGUUCCUUCAAUACUUUACAUUCUACUCAUCAUUCUUCUUUUGUUUCCCCUAUGUCAUCCCCUAUUCAACUUGUGGUUUUGGACUCUAAGAUGCAUCCAUUACCUCCAACUAUUAAUACUCAUCCUACGCUCACUCAUGUCAAAGCUGGUGUUUUUAAACCUAAGACCUAACAAGCUAAUGCUUCCAUUGAGUUAUCUAAUUUUUAGCAAUUUAUCAAGGAUCUUCAUUGGUAAAAAGCUAUGGAAACUAAUUAUGAUGCCUUAAUGGAGAAUGAUACCCAUACACUAGUUUUUCUACAUUCAAAAGCUAAUAUUGUUGGUUGCAAGUAGGUUUAUAAGUUCAAGUACAAUCCUAAUGGCAACAUUGAACAUUUUAAGUCAUGCUUGAUUGCCAAGGGAUUUCAUCAAACACCUGCCAUUGACUGGUUUUAGUCCAGUGGUCAAAGUGGCUACUAUUUGAAUUUUUCUCAUGAUUACUCUCUCAUUUGGUUGGAUGAUUUGCCAAUUAGAUGUGCAUAAUGCCUUUUUAUAUGGUGAUUUACAUGAGCAAGUAUUUAUAUCCUAGCCAUAAGGAUUUUUUCAUCCCAGUAUCUUGACUAUGUUUGCAAGCUUAACAAAGCUCUCUAUGACCUCAAAUAGGCUCCUCAUGCCUGGUUCACCAAAUUAAGAUUGGCCUUAAGCAGCUUGGGUUUUAGAUGUGUAAGGGAUGAUAAUUUAAUGUUUGUUUAUUAUUUAGCCUCAUAUCUUAUCAUUAUCUUGGUCUAUGUUAAUGGUAUAUUAGUUAUUGGUAGUAGCUCUACUCAAGACCCUCAAUUGAUUGUUUUCUUUAUUGCUUCCUUUCUUUAUAUGAUCUUGGUGUUAUCAAUUAUUUUUUUGGUGUUGAGGUCACUCAUACAUUUGGAGCCCUUCUUCUUACUCAACAUAAGUACAUUAAGGACUUGCUUAAUUGCACAAAGAUUCUCACUUGUAAACCAACUGCUACUCCUAGUUGUGUUAGUCCAACCUUGCCUCAAUUUGAUACUUGAUAAGUCCAUUUAGAGCAACUUAUUAUCUAUGAUUUAACUUGAUAUUUCAUUAGUUUAAGAGUAAUUUUAUCUCAACAAUCAUUAUUUUUAUUGUUUUAGGUCUCAAAUAGCCAAGAGUAUGAAAAGUGAGCAAUAUGAGGCAAAAUUGGAAGAAAAAAUGAAGUUUGACGGCCUCUUACGUGACAAUUUGCGUAACUCACCCGAGAAGAAAGCGCCAUUGCGGGAAGGACUUAAGCGCCACGGCGUACGCAUGUGGAAAAUCAUAGUUGGGGACUCGAGACAAAACCGUCGCAAUUGGAGAAGCUUGUCCGUAGCGGCGCCCAAAGGAAUUUCAGAAAUCCUAAGAACCCGAGACUAAAGCGCCACGGCGGGAGACACUGAGCGCCACGACCUGAUAUUUAAAAUUUGAAAAUUAUUCGUCCUUAUCUCAUUCUGUUCAGAUCAGAAUUAGGUGGGACAUCAGUUUACGAUAUUGGGGCUAUAAAUAGACGAAAGUAGGGUUUAUUUGGGGAUUUUGGAGACUUGGAAGAAUGAGGAUCUUGAAGACCUAGGAGAAGAGAGAGCUUGGAGAACAAGAAGGAAAUUUGUAGAUUUUCUUCUAUUUGUCUGGUUUAUUCUUCCAUUUUCUUUAUGAUUGUAAUUCAAGAUGUUUGUUCUUCAUCUUAAGAUGAACUAAUUUCCUUUGUCUAGGGCUGAGAUGUAGCUCAAUCACGAUUUUUGUUUUUGAUUGGUUUAAAUUAAUUCUCUGUUUUGCAUCAAUUUAUUUGUGUAUCUAUUCUGCGCUUAAUGCUCUCAAUUCUUAAGGGCCCAAGUUUUGAUUGAUUUUAUGAUUUAGGUUGAUAACGAGAGUUAGAAUCUAAAUUAAAUCCAUAGAAUAGAUUACGUUAGAAUGAAUGAAUAGUAGAGAUACAUUACCAUGUUUUAAGAGAUUAAUAGUUAAAUCUAUAAUAAUUCCAUAGAUCGUAAUUACUCCUUUAGACUUAAAUUCACAUAAAGAUAUGUUAGGUUAGUAAUUUAAGGAGCAAUCUGAUACAUUUUGAGAGAAAAUAUUGGUUGGCUUAGGGAAAUAAAUCUCCAAAUAAAGCAUAACAGGAAUUAGGUCAAGCAAUCAAUUGCAUGAAAAGUGUUUGUAGUGAAAUCAAAAGCCCUAGAUCGUUUAAAUCAUAAGAGUUUGAAUUUAUUUUCUUUAAUUGUUUAAGUUGUUUUCUUUUACAACUUUAAAUAUUUGGUUGAUCAAAUAGUAAUAGAAAUAAUAAAUUUUAGUAAUUAGUAGCAUAGUCCUUGUGGGUUCGAUAUCCGUACUUAGGUACAAUUAUAUCACUUGAACAAUUCGUUUACUUACGAACCAACACAUCAAGUUUUUGGCGCCGUUGUCGGGGACUAUUUGUUACUAAUAUUAAUUCCAGUUAUUUAUGUGCUAAUUUGAUUUAUUUUCUUUUUAUUCUCACUCAAUUGUUUUUCUUUUUUUAGGUUUUCUUAAUGUGUGAGACGUACAAGGAGUCUGAACUUAGUACCAAUCGACCUUGAUAUCAACAAAACACUACGAAAACUAAAUCGAAAACGCAAGCAACAAGUAAUUCAAGAGGUUCCUGCAAUGGGGGAUGAGAAUCAUGUUGAUAAUGGAGUCCCAAACAGGGUACUCAAGGAUUAUUAUGUUCCUAAUGUGGGUGUCUCAAGCAUUCGAAGGCCACCCAUCCAAGCUAACAAUUUUGAGAUCAAACCGGUAAUUAUUCAAAUGAUUCAAUCUUCGAUUCAAUUUGGAGGAUUGGCCAAUGAUGAUCCUAAUCUACAUAUUGCAAAUUUCUUAGAAAUUUGUGAUACCUUCAAGCAUAAUGGUGUGACCGAUGAUGCAAUAAGACUUCGAUUGUUUCCAUUCUCUCUAAAUAACAAGGCUAAGGCAUGGUUAAUUUCAUUACCUCCGGGGACAAUCACUACAUGGGAUGGACUAGUUAACGCUUUUCUUACUAAAUCCUUCCCACCAGAAAAAUCUGCAAAAAUGAGGAAUGAUAUAACUAACUUUUUACAGCAAAAUCAAGAGUCUCUUUAUGAAGCUUGGGAAAGGUUCAAAGAUCUUUUAAGAAAGUGCCCACACCAUGGCUUACCAAUGUGGAUGCAAGUGCAAACGUUCUACAAUAGUUUGCACCCUAAUACUCAAACCAUGGUGGAUGCAGCAAGCGGAGGAGCUUUUAUUAAUAAGACAUCGGAUGAGGGAUAUCAACUUAUAGAAGUGAUGGCUAGCAACAAUUUCUUGAAGUCUACGGAUAGAAAUGCACAAAAGAGGACAGUCGGGGUUCAUGAUAUCGAUGCUUUUAAUAAUUUGGCUGCUCAAGUUGCAAUUUUAAAUAAUAAUUUUAAGAAACUGAAUGUUGCUACUGUUUCUAAUCUAGUUUGUGAAAAUUGUGCAGGUAAUCAUCAUAACUUAGAGUGUCAAGUUGGAGGCCCAUAUGAAGCAAAUCCAUCCAAACAAGUGAACUAUGUGACCAAUAAUCAACGUCAAUACAAUCCCAACUCCAAUUAUUUCAACCAAGGGUGGAGGAAUCAUCCGAACUUCUCAUGGAGUAACAACACUCAUGUGCAAAAACCACCUUCCGGUUUCCAAUCUCAAGAUAAUAAGCCAAACUUGGAAGAAGUUUUCACCCAAUUUAUACAAAAGACUAACGAUUUUAUUGAUGAUACUAAAGCAAAUUUCAGGAACCAAGGUGCAAGUAUUCGCAACCUUGAGCAUCAAGUGAGGGAGAUUUCUAAGUUAUUGACGGAGAUAACACAAAGAGCACUUCCUAGUAUCACAAAGACGAAUCCUAAGGAGCAUGUAAAGGUCAUAACUCUUAGAAGUGGGAAGUAGUUAGAACAAUCAAAGGAAGCCGAGUAGCAAGCAAAUAAGGAGAAUACUUCAGUUCCCAAGGAACAAGAUGCUUCCACUUCUAUAUAGCCAUCUAUUCCAAAACCAUCAUCUAAUGCCAUUCUUUUUCCUCAAAGGCUGAAAAAACAAAAUUUAGAUAAGCAAUUUUCUAAAUUUAUUGCUAUUUUUAAGAUCUUACAUAUCAAUCUUCCUUUUGUAGAUAUGCUGGAGCAAAUGCCGAAAUAUGCUAAAUUCUUAAAGGAGGUGUUAUCAAAUAAGAGGAAAUUGAUGGACAAUGAGAAUGUGAUGCUCACUGAAGAGUGCAACACCAUUCUUCAAAGGAAGCUUCCUCCUAAGCUAAAAGAUCCAGGGAGUUUCACUAUACCUUGCACUAUUGGUGAUUUUUAUUUUGAUAAAGUUUUAUGUGAUCUAGGUGCAAGUGUUAAUUCGAUGCCUCUUUCUAUUUUCAAGAAACUUGGACUAAGGGAAGUAAACCCUACUACGGUAUGUUUGCAGCUUGCGGAUAGAUCUAUCAAACAUCCAAGAGGCAUUAUUGAGGAUGUUUUGUUAAAAGUGGAUAAGUUUAUAUUUUUGGCUGAUUUUAUUGUAUUAGAUAUGGAAGAAGACCGGGAUGUUCCACUUAUAUUAGGAAGACCUUUUCUUGCUACAGAUAGAACUCUUAUAGAUUUUCAUCAAGGUAAGUUGAUUUUAAGGGUUCAAGAUGAAAAAGUUACGUUUAAUGUUUUUGAGGCUAUGAAAUUUCCAUCUGAUAUUGAUGCAUGCUUUGCAAUCAGUGUUUUUGAUAGGGUGGUAGCUAAAACAUUUCAUGAAACUUUUCCCACUUCACCUUUAGAAAAUUGUAUAAUGAAUGGUAGAAAUUUAGGAACUCUUUGUGAUGAUGAUGAUGAUAUAAUUGAAUGUGUUAAUAAUCUUGAUGCAUUGCUAACUUAUGAGUUUCCAAGAAAGUUAAAAUUUGAGGAAUUAGAGGCCAUUCAUGUUAACAAUCAUACAUUAAAGAAGAAGCUUCCUAAACUUGAACUUAAAUUGUUGCCAUCUCACCUCAGGUAUGCUUUCUUAAAAGAUUCUAGUUAAUAUCCUUUUAUUAUUAACUCUUCUUUGAAUGAUUUGGAGGAAUAAAAACUAUUAAGAGUUUUGAGGGAGCAUAAGAAAGCUAUUGGAUGGACUAUUGAUGACAUUAAUGGAAUAAGCCCAUCGAUUUGUAUGCAUAAGAUCCUAUUUGAAGAAAGCUACAAGCCAACAGUUCAACCACAACGAAAAUUAAAUCCAUCUAUGCAAGAAAUGGUUAAGAAAGAGGUUGUGAAGCUUUUGGAUGCAGGUAUAAUUUACCCAAUCUCGGAUAGUACAUGGGUAAGUCCAAUUCAAGUAGUUCCUAAGAAGGGAGGUAUAACUGUAGUGAAGAAUGAUAAUAACGAACUUAUCCCCACAAGAAUGAUAACCGGAAGCUUAAUGAUGCCACAAGAAAUGAUCACUUUCCUUUACCCUUCAUUAACCAAAUGGUGGAGAGACUUUCCGGUCAUGAUUAUUAUUGUUUUCUAGAUGGAUAUUCAGGAUACAAUCAAAUCCCCAUAGCACCGGAAGAUCAAGAGAAGACCACUUUUACAUGCUCAUAUGGCACUUUUGCUUACUGACGAAUGCCAUUCGAUUUAUGCAACACUCCGGCCACUUUUCAACGUUGCAUGAUGUCCAUUUUCUCUGAUAUGAUUGAAAAAUGCAUUGAAGUGUUUAUGGAUGAUUUUUAUGUUUUUGGUUCUUUUUUUUAUGAUUGCCUUUCUAAUCUUUCUUUGGUUUUGUAGCGAUGUGUUGACACAAACUUGGUUUUAAAUUGGGAAAAAUGCCAUUUUAUGGUAAGAGAAGGUAUUGUGUUAGGACAUCGAAUUUCUGUAAAAGGAAUUGAGGUGGAUCGUGCUAAGAUAGAUUUGAUUGAGAAGUUGACACCACCUACAAAUGUAAAGGGAGUUAGAAGUUUUCUUGGUCAUGCAGGAUUUUAUAGAAGAUUCAUUAAGGACUUUUCAAAAAAUUUCUAAACCUCUUUGUGAUUUAUUGGCUAAGGAUGCAGUUUUUGAUUUUUCUAAAGAAUGUUUAAAUGCUUUUGAAACUCUUAAGUCUAAACUGAUAUCUUCUCCUAUUAUUGUUGCACCUGAUUGGGAAUUGUCUUUACAUUGAUGUGUGAUGCUAGUGACUUUGCUAUAGGUGCUAUUUUAGGGCAACGGAAAAGUAAAAUUUUUCACGUGAUUUAUUUUGCUAGCAAGGUUUUAACAGAGGGUCAAGUAAAUUAUGCAACCACUGAUAAAGAACUUUUAGCAAUUGUUUAUGCUUUUGACAAAUUUCGAUCUUAUUUGAUAGGGUCUAAGGUGAUUGUCUAUACUGACCAUUCAACUUUGAGGUAUUUAUUUGCUAAGAAAAAGGCAAAGCCAAGGCUACUUUGUUGGAUCUUGCUAAUACAAGAAUUUGACUUGGAAAUCAAAGACAAGAAAGGAACUGAGAAUUUAGUUGCAGAUCAUCUUUCUCGGAUGAAUCAUGUGGAGCCUAAUGAAGAAGUUGAUGAUGAUAUUAAUGAAAGAUUUCCUGAUGAGCAACUUUUUGCAGUUGAAAAAGCGUCAUGGUAUGCAGACAUUGUUAACUAUUUGGCUAAGAAGAUUUUGCCUCCCAAGCUUACUUAUCAAAGGAGGAAGAAGUUUUUCUCAGAUCUCAAGUACCAUUUAUGGGAUGAUCAUUUCCCAUAUAAGCAAUGCGACGAUCAAAUAAUUAUGAAAUGUGUGCCGGAAGAGGAGAUGGAGAGUAUUCUGCAUCAUUUUCAUUCUCGUGAAGUUGGAGGACAUUUUGGAGCUACUAAAAUUGCAGCCAAAGUUUUACAAUCAGGAUUUUAUUGGCCUUCUCUUUUUAAAGAUUCAUUUAAUUUUGUUGCCAAUUGUGAUAGAUGUCAAAGGGUUGGAAUAUAUCUAGGGAAAAUGAGAUGCCUCUAAUAAAUAUUUUAGAAAUAAAAUUGUUUGAUGUAUGGGGUAUUGAUUUUAUGGGUCUUUUUCCAUCCUCUUAUGCUAAUGGUUUUAUUUUGGUUGUUGUAGAUUACGUUUCCAAAUGGGUUAAAGCUGAGGCACUGCAGACCAAUGAUGCUAGAGUGAUGGUUAAAUUUCUUAAGAAGAAUAUUUUUGCAAGAUUUGAUACACCAAGAGCUAUCAUAAGUGAUGGGGGAUCUCAUUUUUGUAAUAGUCAAUUUGAGUCACUAUUGGGUAAAUUGGAGUAACACAUCGUAUAGCUACUCCUUAUCACCCGCAAACAAGUGGUCAAGUUGAGGUAUCUAAUCGUGAGCUCAAGCGAAUUCUGGAGAAAACAGUUAAUUCUUCUAAGAGGGAUUGGUCAAGUAAGUUGGAUUACGCUUUAUGGGCUUAUAGAACGGCAUUCAAGACACCUAUUGGGAUGUCUCCAUAUCAAUUGGUUUAUGGCAAAUCGUGUCAUCUUCCGGUUGAGUUGGAGCACAAAUCAUUUUGGGUUGUUAAACUUUUGAAUUUUGACUUACAAACUGCAGGGGAAAAGAGAUUGUUACAAUUAAAUGAGAUGAAAGAGUUUCGUAAUAAUGCUUAUGAGAAUGCUAAGAUUUAUAAGGAUAAGGCAAAAAGAUGGCAUGAUAAGCAUAUUCAGAAGCGCAAUUUUGAAGUUGGUCAAUAAGUUCUUCUUUUCAACUCACAUCUCAAGCUUUUUCUGGGUAAAUUAAGAUCGCGAUGGUCUGGUCCAUUCAUAGUUAACAAGGUUUUACCAUCAGGAGCAAUAGAAGUUCAUCAUCCAUCAAAGGAGACUUUUACAGUGAACGGGCAACAAUUGAAGCACUAUUUGGGAGGAAAUUUUAGCACCGAACGGGUGUCUGUUGUGCUUUCAAUUCCAAAGUACAAGAGUGGAGAAAGUCUAGCUAACAACUUAAAUUUUAGCGCUUUUCGAAAGACAACUCGAUUUAUUUUGAGCAAUUUUUAUUUUCGAAUCUUGAAUUAUUUUUAGUUGUUAGGAUUUUUAUUAAUUUUGUUUUUAUUUUGUUUCAAAGUUAAUUUAGUUAGUGAAUUUUUAGAGUUAAUUGUUUGGUAGUUUAGGAUUAAUUUUUAUUUUUUUUAUUUUUAACUAUUUUUCCUUUAUUUUCAGGAGAAAAAGGGCUUUUUACAUACCCAGUGAAAGGAGCCGCAGCGGGAGGCAUUGAGUGUCGCGGUUGACUCUUCAAAUGCUACUUAUAAAGGACCCGAGGCUAAACCACUGCAGCUAGUAAGGCUUUGCGCCGAAGCAGUCACCCCCAAUUGAAUUUCUCUUAUAAAAAUUAGGGCUUUGCGCCGCGGCGAAAAGACUUGAGCACCGCUACGCGAUGAGUAAAUGGGAGUUUUAAAAGGGCCAUUUUCCUUCAUUUUUCACAAACAACUUUUCUCAUUUUCUCAUCUUCUCUCCAUUUUCUCUCUAUCCUUCGAUCCUAAUCAUAUUUAAACUCCGAAUUCUUUGUUUUCUUUUGGGAUUACUCAUGGGUUUUGGAGAUUUGGCAAGAUUAAAGCUUGAUUUGGUGUAAUUUUGGAAGGAAAAUUGCAUAUCCAAUCCGUCUUCUUGUUGGGUCACGAUUUGGGGUGAUUGUUUCUACCUUUUUGCUGCAAUUUGGACACUACUAAAUGAUAAAUGAGCGAUUUUUUUAUGUGCCCCAAAAAUUCAUCAAAAAUGGAGUUUUUUCUUUUCCUUACUUUAUUUUCUUUUGUUCAUUGAGGGCAAUGAAAGUAAUUAAGUUUGGGGGGAACGAUUAAUUUCUUCUGGGUUUAGCUAAGUUCAGUUAAAAAUGUUUUUUUCGAAACUUCUUGAUUUUUUAGCAUUAUUUUUCGAGUUGAUUCAUAUAGUCAAUGAUAAUAUCUUGAUUGCUAUGAUGCGUGGUUGUUAAGAUGAAAUUUGAUAUUGCUUAGAUUUUGAGGAUAAUUUGGAUGUUUGUUUUGUUUGGAUUUGAGAUUCAAUGUUGGUCUAGUAUGGUGAUUUUGAUAACAAUCCCAUUUUGCAUGCUUAGAGACAUUUUAUUUAGACAAUUGUGGAUGAUAGAACUUGGCUGAUUGUUACUCAAGGUGAAAUCCUAGAUUUUCAUGUUACUUAGGAGAUGAUUUAGGCCAUUUUUAGAUCGUUUGAGCUUUUCUUACCUUACCCAAAAUAUUUUAUCCGCUAGUUACCUAUUUGAGCCUUUUUAUAUAAUGUUAGCCUUAUUUUUCUUUCUUUAAGCCUAUCUUCCUACCUAUUUUAAGCCUAAACACUUAUCCUUACCCUUGAUGAGAAUAUUUACAUGUUUGUUAUUUAUUUUGUUUGAGAGCAAAAAUAUCUUAUUGAGGAAAAUAUGGAAAUGUGUAUUGUUAACCUAGUUAUAAUAGAGAAAUAAGUUUGGGGGUUUUGAAGAAUAAAAGGAAGAGUGUGCAUAAAAAAAAAAAAAAAUUGGCAUUAGGGUGAAAUAUGUGAAAAGUGCUUAUGAGCACGAAAGAAAGAAAAAGUAUGAAAAGUUUCAAGAAGGUAGGAAGUGAUGUUAAUAUUAAAAGCUCCUUGAGUCUGUUACAUUUUGUUCAAUUGUGAAUGUUCUCAUUCUUUGAAUUUAUCCUUUCCAUUCUUUGUGAGCCAACACCUUAGCCUAACAUUACAAGCUUAUUAAAGACCUUUUGAUCCGAGGUAACAUGAUGAAUAUACAUUAGUGUAGGAUAGCAAGAAAGCCAAGCCUAUGAGAUUCGAUAUCAUACAUUACUUGUUAGAGGUCGACUUUGUCUAUAAUUGUUUUUAUAAAAUCAUUUAGGUAGUAGAAUUGAUUGUUUGAAAGGUUGCUUACUUGGAUUUUUCAUAAGAUUGAAGGUUUGAAUGGAAUGAAUGUCUGAGUAAUCCUUCUUGAUUCGUGCCCCGUUAGUGUACCUUGAUUUUUGGUCCCCUGAUGGGAGUAAUCAACAAAAUUUAUAACCUAUAUCACCAUGCACUAGGAUAGCAUAAGCUAGUAUAGCAUAGUGGCUCUAGGAUCGUUCACUGGGAAGGGUUUUCAACUUACAAUUGAUACCAAUCCAAAGUUGAAUUGGUCCCUUUUCAUUUCAAGGUUAGCUUCAAAAGAAAACAUAAACUUUGGUUGAAAAAGGUUUGGUUUCAAGCUAACUAAAAAGAAAGUAAUGGGAAUUACUUAUAAAGAAAAAGCGUCUCUUGGAGUUUUAGGAUCACUGGGGUCAGGCUCCUCAUGCAAAAACAGAGUUCCGGUCACUUUGGUUCUUUUCCUCGCAUUGGAGAAUUAACAUAUAGUUCAUUCUCCAACCGGUGUUGUACAGAUGCUUCCCUUUUAUGGAUUUUAGUACUAAUUCCCUCUCACUGAUGCAUCUUGCAAUGGCUCGUGCCUUUCACCUAGCAUUUACCAUUCAAGGUGAUCAUUAACCUUGGAUUUCUCUUCUCAAGCUCGCAAGAGAUAACUAAUGGAUGCCUCCUUAGAGUCCAAAAGCUUACCAAGUGUUGGCAAUUCUAGAAAAUCCUACCUUCAAGUCACCUCCCAAAAGCUUGCAAGAGGUAAACUAGUGCAUCUCCAUGGACGGAGAUCAGUUGCCUUACCAAGUGUUGGCUCAGGUGAAUUGAAGGCGUUUUAAGUUAACUAAAAACAUAGAAAUCAUAAACGGGUUACACUUUCUCUUCAUUAACAACUGAAACAACAAAACUCUCAAUUAUUGCAUUCGGGACCUUACCCGGCUACCUUAGCUCCAAGAGACAAAAAGGCCUAGCCACCCAUUCUCUGAGGAAACAUCCUCAGAGCUUGUUUGGCUAGUAAUGAAAAAUAUAAUCAAAUUGAGUAGGUAAGGCAGAGCAAAGCUCUGUAUUUUACUUCCUUUCAAACUAUACAAAAAGUUGUCUCUGAGAACAAGCUCCCGAGCUCCCCUUUUGUAAAGAAAAUUACAACUAUAUAUAAGGGGUUAUUCACCCUUUUUCCAAACUUAAUAACUAAGGAAUCCUAUAAUUGGUGGGUUACAAGGAGAGUUUGGGGAUUUAGACAUCAAAUAUCUAAAGCAAAAUAUCUAAAAAUGUCGGUCUCAAAUAUCUGGAAGCUUCAGGAGAACACCGCGGCACUGUGCAAAAAUGGCUGCGAAACUCUCCGGGUAAGCGCUAUCAAAAGAUCCAGAUAUGUCUGACCGGGGAAGUUGAAACGCUCUCCUCUCCCAUCCGGCGUCAAGUGCUGGAUGUGAAAUAUCCGGAUGGAAUGUCGGCGGAGCAGAAUUCCGGAUGUAAGACAUCCGAGUGGAAUGGCGGCGCACUUUCCUAUCCGGACUCCCUCAGGGAGAAGCACACGGCACUCGUGAUCAUCACACCCCGGACGAUAGCAUAUCCUAUUCGGAUAUGUUGUCCGGAUUAUUGACGCCCAUGUUCCUCCGCCCUCCGAUGGUGUGUCCGGACGCCCUGUCCGGACAUCUUUUGCCAUGGAUUCCAAAGAACUCUCCUCAAUCUCGAAUUGCUUUGGUGAUCAAAAAGCUAUCAAAACACCAAAACUUAACACAAUUUGAUUAGAUUUGAUUGCAAGGGUCCUUAAUAUGUUAAUUGGGUUAAAAGGUAAUAACUACUACUCAAAAGUGUUUAAAAGAGUUAAUUACAAGCUAUGAAAUAACACUUUUUGAGUAGUAAUCACUUCUCAUUUUUGUAAUGUUCGAUAGAUUCUUGACGGCUUUGUGUUAUUAGUAAUUUUUGAGAUAAUAUUAUGAAUCAAACUUGACAAAUGAAUUUGAUUCUAGAAGUUUGAGAAGUUUUGAGUCUUGAUUUAGUUUGUGAUUUAAUUAUUUUUAGAAUAGUUUUAGGUUAGAUUUUAUUUUGUUUUUGCUCGAGGACUAGCAAAAUGUUAAGUUUGGGAGAAUUUGAUAAGUCAAUUUAGAGCGACUUAUUAUCUAUGAUUUAACUUGAUAUUUCAUUAGUUUAAGAGUAAUUUUAUCUUAACAAUCAUUAUUUUUAUUGUUUUAGGUCUCAAAUAGCCAAGAGUAUGAAAAUGGAGCAAUAUGAGGCAAAAUUGGAAGAAAAAUAUGAAGUUUGGCGGCCUCUUACGUGACAAUUCGCGUAACUCACCCGAGAGGAAAGCUCUGCCGCGGGAAGGACUUAAGCGUCGCAGCGUACGCAUGUGGAAAAUCAUAGUUGGGGACUCGAGACAAAACCGCCACGUCUGGAGGUGCUUGUCCGCCGCGGCGCCCGAAGGAAUUUUAGAAAUCCUAGGAACCUGAGACUAAAGCGCCACGACGAGAGACAAUGAGCGCCACAACCCGAUAUUUAAAAUUUGAAAAUUAUUCAUCCUUAUCUCAUAUGUUCAGAUUCGAAUUAGGUGGGACGUCAAUUUACGAUAUUGGGGCUAUAAAUAGACGAAAGUAGGGUUUAUUCGGGGAUCUUGGAGACCUGGAAGAAGGAGGAUCUUGAAGACCUAGGAGAAGAAAGAGCUUGGAGAACAAGAAGGGGAUUUGCAGAUUUCCUUCUAUUUUUCUGGUUUAUUCUUCCCUUUUCUUUAUGAUUGUAAUUCAGGAUGUUUGUUCUUCAUCUCAAGAUGAACUAAUUUCCUUUGUCUAGGGCUGAGAUGUAGCUCAAUCACGACUUCUAUUUUUGAUUGGUUUAAAUUAAUUCUCUGUUUUGCAUUAAUUUAUUUGUGUAUCUAUUCUGCGCUUAAUGUUCUCAAUUCUUAAGGGCCCAAGUUUUGAUUGAUUUUAUGAUUUAGGUUGAUAACGAGAGUUAGAAUCUAAAUUAAAUCCAUAGAAUAGAUUACGUUAGAAUGAAUGAAUAGUAGAGAUACAUUACCAUGUUCUAAGAGAUUAAUAGUUAAAUCUAUAAUAAUUCCAUAGAUCUUAAUUACUCCUUUAGACUUAAAUUCACAUAGAGAUAUGUUAGGUUAGUAAUUUAAGGAGCAAUCUGAUAUAUUUCGAGAGAAAAUAUUGGUUGGCUUAAGGAAUUAAAUCUCCAAAUAAAGCAUAACAGGAAUUAGGUCAAGCAAUCAAUUGCAUGAAAAGUGUUUGUAGUGAAAUCAAAAGCCCUAGAUCGUUUAAAGCAUAAGAGUUUGAAUUUAUUUUCUAUAAUUGUUUAAGUUGCUUUCUUCUACAACUUUAAAUAUUCGGUUGAUCAAAUAGUAGUAGAAAUAAUAAAUUUUAGUAAUUAGUAGCAUAGUCCUUGUGGGUUCAAUAUCCGUACUUAGGUACAAUUAUAUUACUUGAAUGAUUCGUAUACUUGCAAACCAACACAUCAAUAGGGAACCAUUUCUUCAUGUCUUUCUUCAUCGCAAUAUUGUUAGUGUUCAACAAUAUGUCUUCAUUACCCAAACAAACCUAUCUUUUAUUGUUAAUAAGUUUGUCAGUUCAUGUCUCAACUUACUUCUACAUAUUGUUUAUCUAUGAAACACACUUUGCAUUAUUUGAUAGGAUCUUUAUAUUAGUAUCCUUUUACAAGAAAUUGAUCGUCUUCAUUUUCAAGCUUAUUCAAAUUCUGAUACAGUCUAGGCUCUUGUCCUAAUGACAAGAAAAACAAUAAUGAUUAUUGUGUCUUCCUUAGGUUGAAUUUGGCUUCUUAGUCCUCUAAUAAGCAAUGGGUUAUUUCAAGGAGUAGUGUUGAAUUAGAAUAUUGUGGUCUAACUACUACAAUUACUAAACUCACUUAGAUCUACUCUAUGCUUUAGGAACUGUGUAUAGCAUAGGUUACCCCUCCAAUUCUGUGGUGUGAUAAUCAAAAUACUGCUUAUCUUGCUACAAAUCCUAUCUUUCAUGCUCGCCUGAAACAUAUUGAACUCGAUAUCUGACAAAAUGUUACAUAAUGAACUUGUUAUUCAAUAAAUUCCCUCUACUGAUCAACUUACUGAUGUGCUUGUUAACCGAUUGUAGUAAACUUUGUGUUGUUCCCAAAUUGAUUAACUUGCGACGGGAUGAUAAAGAGUAGAUUGCCACCUCAACCUAACUUCUAGAAUAAUCUAUUAGCUGCAACAACUAUUUGUUAUGGAUACUACACACCCAUGUUUUGCUCUUGUUAGAUCUAGUGAAUUAGACAUUAAAGCUUAAAUAAAUAUUUAACAUCACAAGCUCAUGAGUUAGGUGAUUUUUUAGUUCAUUCUCUAGAAUUUUCAAUUUACUUCCAAAGCCUAUAAAUGACCAAUUGUUGAAACAUUGUACUAACAUAUUUUUUUUUUUCCUCAAAGCAUAAAAAUCACAAAUUGUUCGAAUAUUGGAUUGACCUUUUUUUUUCCCUUAUACUUUCGUAGUUGAAUUCAUAAUUUUAGCAAUAAAAAGGGACUAAUUACUUCCAUUAUUGAUAUUGAUGAAACAAUUCCAAUGUAUAUAUAUUGACUAGAUUUAAUUCAGUUGAUUUGAGAUUGAGGAUGAUUUUAUAUGAAUUUAAUGCAUUUUCAAGAUGUUUCAAUGAAGAAUUAAUAGAUAGCAUUUAGUAUGAUUACCAAAUUUGGCUAAAGAAAAAAGGAACUAAUGCCAUUGAAUGAUGACUUAUUCUCUUCCAUUUAAUAAAGGUUAUGUUUUUUAUAUUAUAUAUUUCUUGAUGUAAUUUUCUUUUUUUCAUUCUUCUAGGAUAACUCAUGAGUUUAUUAUUAUUUUUUGGAAUAUAAGAUUUUGCUCAGAGAAUUAGAAAAUGCAAUGAAAUUGAAAAUAUAUAAUUAAAACUUGAAUUUUAAUUUAAAUUUGGGGCUAGAAUAAUUGGCUCUAAUAUUCUAGGCUCCACUACUAAUAACUUUCUCUUAUAGAUUCCAACCAUUCCAAUAUCAUUUGACCAAUUACAUCACUAUGUUUAUCAUUCAAUCUCUUGAAGAUGUUUUCCACAAUUUCAUUGAUGUAUUUGGACUCAUACCAACCAAUUAUAAAUCAUAAUAAAACAUAUGGUGAGUCAAAUGAGCUACAAAAUAAUGAUAAAAGCAACAUGAGGAAAAUUUUAUAAUAUUUUUUUAUAAGCAAAUGGUAGUAAAUUUUAUGCUUAAAUCACAUCAUGACUACAUGAUUAGUAUCCAUGUAAAUGAAGCAAUAUCUUAGUGAGGGCUCCCAAGCUCCUAAUUAAGUAUUAUUAUCAUGGAAAAGAUGAUGUAAGGGUGGUAAUUCUUGAUUAAAUCAAACUAUAAAUAGGAUUUGAAAAUGACAUGAAACUAGUGAGUUCCAUUAAUUGAUGUUGAUCGAUCAUAUUCUAAGUUGAAGUUUUCAACCUGAAUGUAUACUUCAUUUUUUUCCUCUUAGUAUUGUUAUCCUAUGAUUGUCUUCCCUCAUCCAUGUUCCUUCAUUGCAUACAUACUUAGGAUCCUUUUCUAAGUCAUUUAUUGUGUCCUUAUUAGUUGUUCAUUGUUACUCAUCUUAUCACUGUUUUUGGACCUCUUUUAGGGAUAUAUAUUAGAAGGAUUUUGUUUUUCUAAUAUGAUUUUAGUAUCCUUUAGUUUUAGCUUAAGAGUUUGUUUUCAUUCGUAAGUUUUCUUUUGAUUUUGGUUUUUCAACUUGUUUUUAGUUUAGCCCCUUUAUCUUUGUUCUUAGGUAAAUUCAUUUAGUUGCAUUUUAGGAAAAUUCACUCAGUAGUUGAUUACUACUCAAAAAGUGCUCUUUUAUAGCUUGUUAUAAACUCUUUUAAACACUUUUGAGUAGUAUUUAUUACCUUUUAACUCAAUUGGCACAUUAAAGACCCUUGCAAAUGUUUCUAAUCAGGUUUUGGCAAGUUUUGGUGUUUUUGAUAGCUUUUUUAUCAUUAAAACGAGCCAAGAAUGAAGGAGAAUUUUGUAUAGUCCAUGGCAAAGCAAGUUGAAGCUCAAACACAUGAAGAAUUCAAGGUUUGGAGAGCUUCGUAGCCUUUUCCAAAUCAAUCAAGUAUGCAAGGAAGAGAAUCAAAGAAGAAAUCUAACAUCCAACAAUUUCACCUGGCUAUGAGAAAUUUUCGCAUAGCAUGUGAAAUGUCCAAAAGGAGUACAAGCUGCAGGACAGAGAGCAAGACUGUGAAAAAUGAAUUUCGCACCCUAUGCGAAAUUUCGCAAGCCUUGCAAAAAUCCUCCUGUGUAAUUUUCAGAUAUUUUUGCACCUACUCCGUCAGAUUUUUAUCUCGAGAUAUUUUGUGUAAUUACCUAUUUUAUCCUUGUAAUCAAUUAAAGAUAUUUUUAGAUAUUUAGGAUAUCUAAAUAAGGGGUUAAAAUAUCUCUUUAUAUAUGUCUUAAAAUAUCUCUUUUGUAAGCUCUCGGAAGAUUUUCCAGAGAACACUUGUAGAUUCUUGUAGUAAGAAAUACACAGAGCUUUGCUCUGCCUUACCUACUCAUUUUGUUUUUAUUUUCUUUCUAGCCAAACAACCUCUAAUGAUGUUUUCUCAGAGGAUGAGUGGCUAGGUUUUUCAUUUCUUGGACUGAAGGAAGCUAGGUAAGGGAUCCAGAUACAAAGGUGGGAGUUUUCCUUGUUUUAAAUGAGGAGAGUUGUUACCCUUUAAUGGUUUUUAUUUUUAAGGUUUAACUUAAAAUCCCUUCAAAUCAUCUGGGCCAAUACUUGGUAAGCUUUUCAGACUUCCUGGAGAUCCAUUAGUUAUCUCUUAUGAGCCUCUAGGAAGUGGUUUAAAGGUAGGAUUACCUAAAAUGACCAAUACUUGGUAAGCUUUUCGGACUCCCUAGAGAUCCAUUAGUUAUCUCUUACGAGCCUCUGGAAGGUGGUUUAAAGGUAGGAUUACCUAGAAUGGCCAAUACUUGGUAAGCUUUUCGGACUCCCUGGAGAUCCAUUAGUUAUCUCUUACGAGCCUCUGGGAGGUGGUUUAAAGGUAGGAUUACCUAGAAUGACCAAUACUUGGUAAGCUUUUCGGACUCCCUGGAGAUCCAUUAGUUAUCUCUUACGAGCCUUUGAAGGGUAAUCCAAGGUUAGGAUCACCUUGAAUGGCCAAUACUUGGUAAGCUUUUCGGGUUCCAUGGAAUCCAUGGAUGUCUAUUAGUUAUCUCUUACGAGCCAUUGAAAGAUGAUUCACAGUGAGAGGUCUUUAGUGUUUGAAACCAUUAAUGGGAAGCAACUACAGUUUUUCAUGGACCAAUGGGAUCAAAUCUUGAUUGCUAAAUACACACCGGUUCGGGAGAUAACCAUUCUUUAUGUUAUUAUCCCCAACGCGAGGAAAAGAUCCGGAAUCUCCUCCUUUUGUCUAAGGAACCUGAACCUAGUGACCUAAAACUCUAAGAAAUCCUUUUCUUUGUAAUUAAUCUCAGUUACUAUUUUUGGUUAACUUAAAACCAACCUUUUUCAACCAAAAUUAUGUUUUCUUUUAAAGCUAACUCAUAAAAGAAAAAGCAUCAUUUCAGUACUUUAACUAAUAUCACUUGUAAUAUGAAAACCCAUCCUUGUGGACGAUCCUAGAACCACUAUACUAUGCUAGCUAUGCUACCCUAGUGUAUGGUGAAUUAGGUUUAUAAAUUUUGUUGAUAACUCCCGUCUGAGGACUGAAUCAAAUAGAUCACCAAUUGGGGACAAAUCAAAUGGCGUCGUUGUCGGGGAUGGUGCCACUUCACAGUGAUAUAACCUUUACAAAACACUUGUGAUCUUCAUCACAAGUUUGGUGAUUUUUCUUUUCUUUUACUAACUCUUUUUAUUUGUUUUCAUUUUAGUUUAUCUUUUAUCUAGUUUUUAGUUAACCUUAAUUUUUUUUUUCUAGAAUUGUAUUUCUUUUGUUUUCUGUGUUUUUGUUUCAAUUAUUGCUAGUUGUGCAUGCCCUAUUGGAUAUGAGACAAUGAGGGAAGACUUAUGAAAAUCGAAACUCCUCACGAAACAGAGUUGGAAUUGUGCUUGAACGUCAUGGAAGCUACACCUGAAGAUCAGCAUAGUCAACAUGCUCAGGAGGAGAAUUUCAACGCAUACCGAUCCAUGAGGGACCGCAUGCAUGCACCUCGUAUGAGUGCACCGUCAUGCAUAGUGCCACCUACAGAGCAACUGGUGAUCCGACCACAUAUUGUGCCACUUCUACCUACUUUCCACGUGAUGGAAAGUGAGAAUCCCUACGCGCAUAUCAAGGAAUUUGAGGAGGUUUGUAAUACUUUCCAAGAAGGAGGAGCUUCAAUCGACUUGAUGAGGCUCAAGUCAUUUCCUUUCACCUUGAAGGAUAAGGCCAAGGUCUAGCUUAAUUCUUUAAGGCCAAGGAGUAUUCGAACUUGGACUGAUUUGCAAGCUGAAUUUCUUAAGAAAUUUUUCCCGACCUAUAGGACCAAUGGCUUGAAAAGGCAAAUUUCAAACUUCUCAGCUAAAGAGAAUGAGAAAUUCUAUGAGUGUUGGGAGAGAUACAUGGAAGCUAUCAAUGCUUGUCCUCACCAUGGCUUUGAUACAUGGCUAUUGGUGAGCUAUUUUUACGACGUUAUGUCUUUCACUAAUGAAGCAACUCCUAGAAACUAUGUGCGAAGGAGACUUCAUGAGUAAGAAUCCGGAGGAAGCCAUGGAUUUCUUGAGUUAUGUAGCUGAAGUUUCAAGAGGAUGGGAUGAGUCGAAUGCUAGAGAAGUGGGAAGAAUGAAGUCUCAACUUAAUGCUCCUAAUGCUAAGGCUGGAAUGUAUACUUUGAACGAAGAAAUCGAUAUGAAAGCAAAAGUUGCAGCUAUGGCAAGAAGAUUGGAGGAGCUAGAAAUGAAGAAGAUAUGAGAAGUGCAGGUCAUUUCUGAAACACCAAUGCAAGCUAUGUCGUGUUCCAUUUGUCAAUCUUUUGAGCACUUAGUGGAGGAGUGUCCUACGAUUCCAAUUGUGAGAGAAAUGUUUGGGGAUCAAGCAAAUGUUAUUGGACAAUUUAAGCCCAAUAACAAUGCUUCAUAUGGCAACACCUACAAUUCAAAUUGGAGGAACCAUCCGAAUUUCUCAUGGAAACCAAGGGCACCUCAGCACACACAACCUGGCCAAGCACCUCCGUAAGCCUCAAAUCUUGAACAAGCCAUUAUGAAUCUUAGAAAGGUCGUGGGAGACUUUGUUGGAGACCAGAAAUCCAUCAAUGCUCAGCUCAGUCAAAGAAUUGACAGUGUAGAGAGUACAUUGAACAAAAUAAUGGACGGAAUACAAAAUGAUCUAUCUCAGAAGAUAGAUAAUCUCCAGUACUCAAUCUCAAGGCUCACCAACCUCAACACAGUAACAAAGAAAGGAAAGUUUUCUUCUCAACCUCAUCAGAAUCCCAAGGGUAUCCAUGAAGUAGAGGCUUAGGAGGGAGAAUCUUCACAUGUGAAACAAGUCAAAGCAGUUAUCACUCUAAGGAGUGGUAAAGAGAUUGAUCUGCCUACCUCCAAGCAAGAGCAUGAACCAGAGAGUGAAACAUAGAAAGAAAAGAGGAAGGAAAUCAAAGGAAAGAAAAAAGGGAACAGUGCAAAGAAUGAGGACCUUGAAUCUACUGUGAAUGAAGAACCAGAGAGGACCAUCAACCAAGAAGAUAUGAUGAAGAAACACAUGCCUCCACCUUUCCCCCAAGCUUUGCAUGGCAAAAAAGGAAUCAAUAAUGCAUCAGAAAUUCUUGAAGUGUUGAGGCAAGUGAAAGUUAACAUCCCUUUGCUAGACAUGAUUAAACAAGUUCCGACUUAUGCAAAAUUCCUGAAGAACUUAUGCAUUAUAAAAAGAGGGUUGAAUGUGAAUAAGAAAGCCUUCUUGACUGAGCAAGUAAGUGCCAUUAUACAGUGCAAGUCUCUAGUGAAAUACAAAGAUCCAGGUUGUUCUACCAUCUCAGUGAUUAUUGGAGGGACGUGUGUGGAGAAAGCUUUGUUGGACUUGGAGGCAAAUGUGAAUUUGCUACCCUAAUCUGUCUACAAGCAAUUGGGACUUGGAGAGUUGAAGACAACAUCAAUCACUCUAUCUCUAGCAGAUAGAUCUGUGAAGAUUCCAAGAGGCAUGAUUGAAGAUGUCCUAGUUCAAGUUGACAAAUUCUACUACCCAGUGGAUUUUGUUGUUCUUGAUACAAACCCAGUUGCCAAAUGAACUAACUAUGUUCCUAUCAUACUUGGAAAACCAUUCCUAGCUACAUCAAAUGGUAUCAUCAAUUGUAGGAAUGGAGUCAUGCAACUUAUGUUUGGCAACAUGACGUUAGAGCUCAACAUCUUCUAUUUGUGCAAGAAACAAUUCCAUCCAGAAGAAGAAGAAGAACCAAAAGAGGUGUGCAUGAUUGACAACUUAGUGGAGGAGCAUUGUGAUCAGAAAAUGCUCAAAGAUUUGAAUGAAAGUCUUGGGGAUCUUGAUGAAGGGUUACCUGAACCCUCAGAUUUGCUUGCACUUUGCCCCCUUGGAAGAGGAGGGAAGAAAUUCUACCUUUAUUCAAUGGGGAGGAGACACAAGAAGUUGUUAAGGAGGAGCCCCCAAAGCUUAUUCUGAAGCCACUACCCACGGAGUUGAAGUAUGCAUACCUGGAAGAAAACAAACAGAGCCUUGUUGUUAUUUCUUCAUCUCUUACCACUCCUCAGGAGGAUUGUCUACUUGAAGUCCUCAGGAGAUGUAAGAAGGCGAUAGGGUGGCAAAUAUCUGAUCUGAAAGGGAUCAACCCUUUAGUUUGUACCCAUCAUAUAUACAUGGAAGAAGAAGUUAAGCCAGUUCGAAAACCUCAGAGAAGGUUGAACCCUCACAUGCAAGAGGUGGUGUGAGCUGAAGUGCUUAAGCUACUUCAGGCUGGUAUUAUCUACCCCAUAUCAGAUAGCCCAGGGGUGAGUCCUACGCAAGUCGUGCCAAAGAAAUUAGAGAUCACGGUGGUGCAAAAUGAUAAGGGAGAAGAAGUUUCUACACACCUCACUUCAGGUUGGAGGGUGUGUAUUGAUUAUAGAAAGUUGAAUGUUGUAACAAGGAAUGACCGCUUCCCGUUGUCGUUUAUUGAUCAAGUGCUUGAGAGGGUCUCUGGCCAUCCAUUUUACUAUUUCUUGGAUGGCUACUCCGGGUAUUUUCAAAUGGAAAUUGAUGUUGAAGACCACUUUCACAUGUCCAUUCGGAACCUACACAUACGGAAGAAUGUCUUUCGGCUUAUGCAAUGCACCCGCAACAUUCCAAAUAUGCAUGUUAAGCAUUUUCAGUGAUAUGGUGGAGCGUAUUAUGGAAGUCUUUAUGGACGAUAGCACCAUAUAUGGAAGUACGUUUGACGAAUACUUAAUCAACUUGGAAGUUGUUCUGAACCGAUGCAUUGAGAAACACUUGGUGCUUAACUAGGAGAAAUGUCAUUUCAUGGUACACCAAGGGAUUGUCCUUGGGCAUAUUAUCUCAAAGCAAGGCAUUGAAGUGGACAAAGCAAAGGUUGAACUUAUUGUCAAGUUGUCAUCGCCAACAACUAUCAAAUGAGUAAGGCAAUUCCUUGGUUAUGCAGGGUUCUAUAGGAGGUUUAUCAAAGAUUUCUCUAAACUUGCAAGACCUCUUUGUGAACUAUUGGUAAAGGAUGCUAAAUUUGUAUGGGAUGAUCGAUGUCAACGGAGUUUUGAAGAACUGAAGCUAUUUUUGACAACCGCUCAAAUACUGAGAGCUCCCAACUGGCAAUUGCCCUUUGAAGUGAUGUGCGAUGUCAGUGACUUUGCUAUAGGAGCUAUUCUUGGGUAAAGAGAAUAUGGAAAGCCCUAUGUGAUCUACUAUGCGAGCAAAACGUUGAAUGAAGCGCAAAGAAACUACACAACCAUAGAGAAAGAAUUGUUGGCUGUAGUUUUUGCCUUAGACAAAUUCCACACUUAUUUGGUGGGGUCUUUCAUUGUGAUUUUCACUGAUCAUUCGACCUUGAAAUAUCUGCUAACUAAGCAGGAUGCAAAAGCGAGGCUGAUUAGAUGGAUUCUCUUGCUUCAAGAGUUCAAUCUUCAUAUCAAAGACAAGAAAUGAGUGGAGAAUGUGGUAGUCGACCAUCUGUCAAGGCUAGCCAUCGCAACAAAAUUCCCAUAGUUUGCCCAUUAAUGAUGAUUUUCCAGAGGAGUCACUCAUGUUGAUGAAAGUCGCUCCUUGGUAUGCUCAUAUUGCUAACUAUUUAGCUAUCGAAGAAGUUCCAAGUGAGUGGAAAGCACAAGAUAAGAAGCACUUCUUUGCAAAAAUUCAUGCCUAUUAUUAGGAAGAGUCAUUUCUAUUCAAAUAUUGUGCAGAUCAAAUAAUACGGAAGUGCGUCCCUGAACAAGAGCAACAGGGGAUCCUCAGUCAUUGCCACGAAAGCGCAUGUGGAGGCCACUUUGCUUUUCAAAAGACAGCUAUGAAGGUAUUGCAAUCGGGUUUCUGCUAGCCAUCACUUUUCAAAGAUGCCCACACCAUGUGCAGGAGCUGUGAUAGAUGUCAGAGGCUUGGGAAGUUAACACAUAGGAACAUGAUGCCUUUGAACCCCACUUUAAUAGUUGAUCUUUUUUAUGUCUGGGGCAUUGACUUCAUGAGACCUUUUCCUAUGUCCUUUGGCUACUCCUACAUCUUGGUAAGGGUAGAUUAUGUUUCUAAAUGGGUUGAAAUGAUCCCAUGCAAAUGCACUGAUCACAGAGUUGUUCUCAAAUUUCUCAAAGAGGACAUCUUCUCUAGAUUUGGAGUACCCAAGGCUUUAAUCAGUGAUGGGGGUACUCAUUUUUGUAACAAGUCGUUCGAAACUCUCUUAGCCAAGUACGGGGUAAAGCAUAAGGUAGCUACACCUUACCACCCUCAGACUUCUAGGCAAGUUGAGUUAGCAAAUUAGGAGAUCAAAAACAUACUGAUGAAGGUGGUGAAUAUGAGCAGAAGAGAUUGGUCUGUUAAGCUUCAUGAUUCACUAUGGGCGUACAGAACAGCUUACAAGACCAUUCUUGGAAUGUCUCCUUAUCGCCUAGUCUACGGCAAAAUGUUCCAUCUCCCCGUGGAAGUGGAAUACAAAGUUUGGUGGGCAAUCAAGAAGCUCAACAUGGAUUUGAGCAGAGCCGACAUGAAGAGGUUCUUAGACCUUAAUGAGAUGGAGGAACUGAGAAAUGACGCCUACAAUAAUUCAAACAUUGCAAAACAAAGAUUGAAGAGGUGGCAUGAUCACUUAGUCUCCCGCAAAGAAUUCCAGAAGGGACAAAGAGUCUUGCUAUAUGACUCUAAGCUCCAUGAUUACUACUCAAAAAGUGCUAUUUCAUAGCUUGUAAUUAACUCUUUUAAACACUUUUGAGUAGUAGUUAUCACCUUUUAACCCAAUUAACAUAUUAAGGACCCUUACAAUCAAUUCUAAUCAAAUUGUAUUAAGUUUUGGUGUUUUGAUAGCUUUUUUAUCACCAAAGCAAUCCGAGAUUGAGGAGAGUUCUUUGGAAUCCAUGGCAAAAGAUGUCCGGACAAGGCGUCCGGACACACCAUCGGAGGGCGGCGGAACGUGGGCUGUGGCAGGCUGUCGGAAUGACGUAGCAAGGCUUGUGCACUUUAGCCAAUGAUCCGGACAACAUAUCCGGAUAGGAUAUGCUAUCGUCCGGGGUGUGAUGAUCGCGAGUGUUGUGUGCUUCUCCCUGAGGGAGUCCGGAUAGGGGAGCGCGCCACAUAUCCUCUUAGAGAAUCCGAAUGGAGUUGCUCCGGAUAGCGAUGCGCACUCCGUGUCAUCAGGAGAAGGGGUCCCUACACCUUGCACACGCAGACAGCCCCCUUGCGAUGUGUGGCAUCGCACAUUCCACCCGGAUGUAUCACAUCCGGAAUUCUUCUCCGCCGACAUUCCAUCCGGAUAUUUCGCAUCCGACGUUUGAUGCCGGAUGGGAGAGGAGGGCGUUUCAACUUCCCCGGUCAGACAUAUCCGGAUCCUCUGAUAGCGCUUACCCAGAGAGUUUCGCAGCCAUUUUGCACUGUGACGCAGUGUUCUCCUGAAGCUUCCCGAUAUUUGCGACCGAUAUUUUGAGAUAUUUUGCUUUAGAUAUUUGAUGUCUAAAUCCCCAAACUCUCCUUGUAACCCACCAAUUAUAGGAUUCCUUAGUUAUUAAGUUUGGAAAAAUGAUGAAUAACCUUAUAUAUAUUAUUAUUGUAAUUUUCAUAUAAAUAUCUCUCGGGAGCCUAUUCUCAGGGAGACGACGCAUCCUUUGUACAGUUUUGCAAGGAAGUAAAAUACAGAGCCUUUGCUCUGCCUUACCUUCUCGUUUUGAUUGUAUUGUAUAUUAUUUAAUUUUUCUUUCUAGCCAAUCAAACUCUGAGGAUUUUUCCUCAGAGGAUGAGAGGCUAGGCUCUUCGUCUCUUGGAGUGAAGAAAGCCGGGUAAGUUUCCUCAUGCAUAAAUUGGAAGUUUUGUUGUUUUAGUUUUUAAUGAAGAGAAAGUGUGACCCGUUAAUGGUUUCUAUGUUUUUAGUUAACUUAAAACGCCUUUAAAUCACCUGGGCCAACACUUGAUAAGGCAAGUGGUCUCCAUCCAUUGAGAUGCACUAGUUUAUCUUUUGCGAGCCUUUGGGAGGUGGUUUGAAGGUAGGAUUUUCUAGAAUAGCCAACACUUGGUAAGCUUUUGGACUCCAAGGAGACAUCCAUUAGUUAUCUCUUGCGAGCUUUUGACGGGUAAUCCAAGGUUAAAAAUCACCUUGAAUGGCAAAUGCUAGGUGAGAGGCACGAGCCAUUGCAAGAUGCAUCAGUGAGAGGGAUUUAGUGUUUGAACCCAUUAAAGGGAAGCAUCUGUACCACACCGGUUAGAGAAUUAACUAUAUGUUAAUUCUCUAAAGCGAGGAAAAGAAACAAGUGACCGGAACUCCCUUUUUGUACAAGGAACCUGAGCCUAGUGAUCUAAACUCCAAGAAACACUUUUCUUUGUAAGUAAAAUCAGUUACUAUUUUUGGUUAGUUUAAAACCAAACCUUUUCCAUUCAAACAUCUUUAUGUUUUCUUUUAAAGCUAACCUUGGAAUGAAAAGGCACCAAUUCAGCUUUGAAUUAAUAUCAAUUGUGGAGUGAAAACUCAUCCCAGUUAACGAUCCUAGAGCCACUAUGCUAUAGUAGCUUUGUCUUUGCUACCCUAGUUCAUGGUGUAAUAAGUUAUAAAUUUUGUUGAUUACUUCCUGAGGACCAAAAUCAAGGGACACCAGCUGGACACGAAUCAAAUGGCACCACUGUCAGGGACCAUUGAGAUGACAGCUGAGACACCAAUUGGGAACGAAUCAUUCCACAUCUUCCCGGGAAAACUGAAGUCAAGGUGGAUAGGUCCGUUUACUAUCCAACAAGUGCAUUCAAAUGGAGUGGUGGAACUACUCAAUUCCAACAACAUCGAGAGUUUCAAAGUCAAUGGCCAUCGUCUCAAGCCAUUUGUGGAGCCUUUUUCUCUAGACAAUGAGGAAAUCAUCAUCUUUGAGCCACAUCAAGCUUAACAAGACAAGUGGUUAGAUGGACUUAGUCUGUCGAAAGACAUUAAGUCUAUAAUUUUUUGUUUUAAUGUUGAUUUAAAGUUUUAUUGAUUUAGUACUUGUUUUAAUUGUAAUUUCUUGCUUUAAUUUUAUUUUUUUGUGAUUUAAUUUAAUUUUUUAUGAUCAAUUGCAAGUGGAUUUCAUAAUAGAUGGGAAAAACCUUUAAAAAAUUUAUGGUGGAGGAAAAACAGAGCAUUUCGCACAUGCUGCGAAAAUUUUGCAAGGCUUGCGAAAAUCCCAAAUAUCAUUUCGCAAGGGGUACGAAAAUUUCGCACACCCUGCAAAAGCCAAUUCGCACACCCUGUGAAAAUUUCGCAAGGCAUGCGAAAAAUUCGCAUACCCACCUUUGCAUUGCGAAAAUGCCAUGCGAAAUUGCUUUGCUUUGCGAAAAUGUUUUGCGAAAACCUGUGCCAAAUUAGAGAGGGUAUGCAAACCCAUUUCACAAUCCUGUGCGAAGUCCAACAGCCGGUGCGAAAACCAACAGUCACUUAAAACUCUAUUUAAAGCCCUCUAAGCCCUAUUUUCAUUUCGUACACCCCAUCUACCCAUUGCGAAAGCCUCUAUCACCUUGCGACGCCCAAACUUCCAUCGUUUUUCUCCAUUGGACGCCCCGCGACCACCCAUUUGAAGAGGCGACCCCCACCGAACUUGAAGAACACAGACCCGAGCCUUUCACUCCAUUUUUUACAUGGCGCGAAUUAGAGGAGGCCAUACCGACUCUUCACUCUCUCGCGAGCCGAGGCCAAGAGCCUGCUCUCCUCAAGAUUCGACAUCUCAGGCCCUUGAGGCCCCAACCAUUCCAUCUUUUGAGGGAGGAGUGCCCUCUAAUCCUCCUCAACAUAGAUACGAGACGUGGAGACCACCGACUACACCUGGGACUACUUCUUCGCGCCCUGAGACCUCAAUACGUUGCACUCCAACUAAGAGGGCCAGGACUUUAGGCCCUGGAAAGUCGUCUAGAUCUUCACAGCCUGAUCAUAGGGCCCCUGUCGAUUCUCAGCGUCCUUCUAACAUGUCACCGGAAGCCAUCAUCAAACGACCUAUGGUCACCGCGCCGCCCAUUAAGGGCAAUUCAGAUUGUAGAGCCAGACCAUUUCAUUCCGAGCUAUAUUUUGACCUCGAGGUUAUGCGACAGUAGUCGGAGCUUCGGGAUUCAUUUGGACUACUCCAGAGGUACCAUCUCGAGCACCUUAUGACUCCCAGGGAGUUCUUUUACCCCAAAGUGGCAAUGGACUUCUAUCAUUCUAUGACUACUCAAGGCGCCUGGAGUCCUACCGCCAUUCACUUCAGCAUUGAUGGGCGCCAGGGUAUCCUUGAGGCUAGACACAUUGCAGAGGCUCUACAUAUUCCAUACGAGCUAGUGAAUCCAGCAGAUUGCCAGGAGUGGUCCCCUGUAUCUCAGUGGGACAUGGUCCGCAUCUUAUCCAUGGAAACCUUUGGAGAUUCAGUCCUUCUACGUAAGGAGCUUCCACCUAGGAUGCUCCUAGUAGAUGUGUUGCUACAGUCCAAUCUUUUUCCCCUUCAGCAUUUAGUGCAGAUGAGAGGAGCCAUUCUGAACGCUUUAUUCCGGAUAUCCAAGGGUUUCUAUUUCGGGCCACAUCACUUGAUUAUGGCCUCUCUCCUCCACUUUGAGGAGAAGGUUCACAGGAAGAAGCUCCAGAGAGCCGACACUAUUCCACUACUGUUUCCGAGGUUGCUAUGUCACAUAUUGGAGCAUAUGGGUUAUCCUACUGAGCCCUACCUUGAGCGCCGCCAUCAUUGUCGAGAGCGAUUCACUCUCAACAAAUGGACACAGUUGGCGGGCUAUUCGGCACCUCUAGAAGUCCCACCCAGGCCAGCACCUCCAGUGCCACCAUAGGCUGAGUAGGCACAACAGGAUGAGCUUCCCACGGAGUCUGUACCACCUACCCCUACAACACCUAUGCCUGAGGCCACUUAUACUGCUCCUCCUACCACUCCUGCCGUUCCACCAGUUGCACCUUCUAUAUCUGAGGCCUUCAUCACCAUUUCUGCCACAGAGUUUCGCGCCAUGGUACAUACAUUCCAGACACUGACCACUACACACAAUGCUUUAUUCCAACAGAUGGCCACCAUGCGUGCUCGGUAAGACCAUCAUACUGCUAUCCUUCAUCAUAUUCAGCAGCAUUGGGGACUUCUGCCACCACCUCAGCCUGACAUUCAUGGACCAUCACAGCCCAUAGCUCUAGUUAAGGAGACUAUUCCAGCUGAGGAGACCACUAAAGCCAAUGUCCCGAUCUAGCCUACUCAGGAGGCCACCACAGAGGCAUCACCUCCACCAGAGGCCCCCGCUACUUGAUCAUCUCUUUAUCAUAUUGUAUUUACUUAUUAUAUUAGUAGACAUAAUUACAUGUUUUGAUGUUUUAUAUUAUGGGAUUGGAUGUAUUACAUGAUCAUAUCUCACAUUGUACUUUCUCAGAGUAAUAUAUACACAUCAUUUUUUAUUAUAUUUGUCAUUCUUCUAUUUCCUCUACUCAUUACUCUUUUGUUUUUUGAAUCAUGUGGUUUAUCCUAUACGACUCAAACUCCAUGUCACUCAGGAGGUACCACUUCCUUCUUUUAUUUUCAAUCGCUCUUGCCACAUUGAGGACAAUGUUGAUCUUGGUUGAGGGGAGAGUUAAGGAAGAAAGUUUUGUUAAUAAUGCUAGGUUAUUUUGUUAAUUUAGGUCUUUUUUCUUAAUUUUAAACUUUUUGCUUAAUUUUAAAAGUUUUUAUUCUACCAUCCAUGAUUAUUAAGAAAAUUUUCUCAAAAGGAAAUGGGAGAUAUUGAAUUCUUAUCUUUUUACUUGAAUCUUAGAGUUUAUAUUAUGUGUAUUGAGGUUGAUGAAUUAUUGAAAAUCCUAUUGAAUUCAACCUUAUUUCUUCCACUUUAAUCUUACCACACACUAUGCACAUUAGGUUCCAUUUAUAAGAUGAAAAACUAUCUCACCCCCUAAACUUAGGAAAACUUUGACUUAGUACCUUUGACCUCAUUUUAAUAGUAUUGGGACACCUUAUAAAAGGCCAAUGAGCCUUUGAAAAAAAAAAUAAGAAAGAACAAAGUGUUUCGCUUGCCUUGAAACCCGAGCAAGAUCCGAGGGGUUUAUGGCGAAAGUCUUUAAAACCCGAUGCCCUAAACCUUUAUUGGUUGGGAGUCACCAACCUCAAUGCUCGUUGCAAGGGUGAAUAGGUGGAGUUUAACAUAUUGUAGGUGCUUGGGUAUUAAAUGUCAAUCUCAAAAGUCCGGGGUAAAAUCUGAAGAGUUAGUGGUCGAAAGAUCCUUAAAGCUUGAUGCCCUAAACCUUGAUUGGUUGGGAGCCAUCGAUGGAUCCCUAUUACAUGGACACUUUAGAAAACAAUACCUUAAGCAUUGCACACUUACAAUGAAAAAAAAAAUUUGUGAAAUAAAAGAGGUGCGUUUUUAGCCUAUUGGAGGUUGGUCAGUUUGCUAAAGUUUGAGAAAGAACUAGGUUGGGGGGAGAGAUUAGUUCAGCAUACUAUAUUCGGAAACUAAUAAGCUUAACACAUAGAUUUUUGUGCAAUAGUAAGGAUUGAGGCUAUGAGAGUGGAAAUCCUUUUAAUACUUAAAUUUGCAUAAUGCCUACUUUUUAUGAAUUGUGAUCAGGCAAGAUAUUUGAUAAAUUCUUGUUGAAGGUUGAGUUUUGCUUCUUUAAUGUCCCAUGAGAGAGUAUGCUCUACAUCAUGCCACUUGAAAAAAUUUUGGAGUGAUCAGCAUGAUUUUGUAAAUUAUUUUACUGUCUAUUUUUCAUUUUUCUCUCCUUCAUUGCUAAGGGACUAGCAAUAUGUCGGUUGGGGGGAGUGAUUACUACUCAAAAAGUGCUCUUUUAUAGCUAGUUAUAAACACUUUUGAGUAGUAUUUAUUACUUUUUAACUCAAUUGGCACAUUAAAGACCCUUGCAAAUGUUUCUAAUUAGUUUUUGGCAAGUUUUGGUGUUUUUGAUAGCUUUUUUAUCAUUAAAACAAGCCAAGAAUGAGGGAGAAUUUUGUAUAGUUCAUGGCAAAGCAAGUUGAAGCUCAAACACAUGAAGAAUCCAAGGUUUGGAGAGCUUCGUAGCCUUUGCCAAAUCAAUCAAGUAUGCAAGGAAGAGAAUUAGAGAAGAAAUCUAACAUCCAGCAAUUUCGCAUGACUAUGCAAAAUUUUCGCAUAGCAUGCGAAAUGCCCAAAAAGAGUACAAGCUACAGAACAGAGAGUAAGACUGUGAAAAAUGAAUUUCGCACCCUAUGCGAAAUUUUGCAAUCCUUGCGAAAAUCCUCUUGUGUAAUUUUCAGAUAUUUUUGCACCGACUCCGUUAGAUUUUUAUCUCGAGAUAUUUUGUGUAAUUACUUAUUUUCUCCUUGUAAUCAAUUAAAGAUAUUUUUAGAUAUUUAGGAUAUCUAAAUAAGGAGUUAAAAUAUCUCUCUAUAUAUGUCUUAAAAUAUCUCUUUUGUAAGCUUUCGGAAGAUUUUCCAGAGAACUCUUGUAGAUUUUUGUAAUAAGAAAUACACAGAGCUUUGCUCUGCCUUACCUACUCAUUUUGUUUUUAUUUUCUUUCUAGCCAAACAACCUCUGAUGAUGUUUUCUCAGAGGAUGAGUGGCUAGGUUUUUCAUUUCUUGGACUGAAGGAAGCUAGGUAAGGGAUCCGGAUACAAAGGUGGGAGUUUUCCUUGUUUUAAAUGAGGAGAGUUGUUACCCGUUAAUGGUUUUUAUUUUUAAGGUUUAACUUAAAAUCCCUUAAAAUCACCUGGGCCAAUACUUGGUAAGCUUUUCAGACUCCCUGGAGAUCCAUUCGUUAUCUCUUAUGAGCCUCUGGGAGGUGGUUUAAAGAUAGGAUUACCUAAAAUAGCCAAUAAUUGGUAAGCUUUUCGGACUCCCUAGAGAUCCAUUAGUUAUCUCUUACAAGCCUCUAGGAGGUGGUUUAAAGGUAGGAUUACCUAGAAUGGACAAUAUUUGGUAAGCUUUUCGGACUCCCUGGAGAUCCAUUAGUUAUCUCUUACGAGCCUUUGAAGGGUAAUCCAAGGUUAGGAUCACCUUGAAUGGCCAAUACUUGGUAAGCUUUUCGGGGUCCAUGGAAUCCAUGGAUGUCUAUUAGUUAUUGACCGAAAUUUCUCUAUUGUACCAAAAUACUUAGCCUUUUUACGUAGUAACUCUGGUCAAGAAAAACUAGAGAAAGAGUCACUACGGCUUUUGUAGUAUUCCGGGUAUCGUUCUCAAGGACUGGCUUAUGAAAAUUGUCAAUACUAGAAUAAAUGAAUUGUUUUUUGUUUAAAUCCUUAAGUGAAAAACAAUAUGUGAAUAAUGUGAAACUAAGUAAAAGAAAUUGGAUUAAUAAGAGAAAAUGAAUAUUGAUUUUAAAUUCAAUUGAUUCAAGUUUGGGGUUUUCCACAAUCCAACCUAGGGUAUAGAAAUUAUAGAAAACAAGGGUAUUUUAAGUAAUAUGAUCUUAGGGUUUUGGGAUCCUUGGCCACUCGCGAUCAAGUUGGGUUCUAUAACUCAAAAUUGCAUCCGAAACCUAAUUUUUCCUUUUUCAAACAGAUUCCUAAAACCAUCAAAUGAAUGAGAUUGAUUAUCAAUUUAAGAUUUGGCUUUUUAACCCUUCCUACUCCUUAUAGCUUUGUUUAGGGGCAAAUAACGGUAGGGAAAACGAGGAUAACUAAUGAUCAAGAAUUACCAAGAAUCACUAGUAUCAAGUAAUAACCUAUCGUAUCAUUCCCUAAACGAACUCACAAGGAUAGGAUAAAAAAAUAUAAUAAAUUGUCACCCAACCAAUAAUUAAUCUCAUUGUUAUAGUAAUUUACCCAUUGUCCCUAUAGGUUUCCUAGCCCUUAGGUUUUCAUGCUUCAAGCCCCAAGUUGGCUCUUAGCCUCUCAUGGGGGUGAUGUCACAUUCACAAUCCAUAGUAGGGUAAAAAUCCAUAAUUUGAAUCAAAAGAAACUAAAAACAAUAUAUUCAAGAAAGAAGGAGAAGAAAACAAACCAAAGUUCUCGUCUUCUUCCACCUUCAAUGUCAAACUCUCUAGAAAAAAAUCCAAGAUCCAAGAUCCCUAAAACCUAGAAUUGAGAGGGUUUAUAUAAUAUCCUCAAUUACCUAACAUGUGGCACACUCUCAUUGGCCACUUAUUACAAAAUAAUUUCCUAAAAAUGAUUAAAAAAUAAUAAAAUGGUGAUUUCUAGUCGUGUGGGGUCCACCUAGGCCGGAUGGAGUGCUUUAGAUGCAAUUCCCGAGGUAGAGGAGGCGGAACAUCAAAGUGGCAGUGGGUGAAUUCGAAAUUGGUGUCAUUUCGAAGUGAAUUUCGAAUUCAUAAGUUGAAUAUAUGCAAUUCCCGGGGUAGAGGAGGCGGAACAUCAAAGUGGCAGUGGGUGAAUUCGAAAUUGAUGUCAUUUCGAAGUGGAUUUCGAAUUCAUAAGUUGAAUUUCGAAAUCAUAAGUUGAAUUUCGAAAUCAUUUCGAAAUGACCCUCCAGCUUGGUGCAGUUGUCUUCAAAUGGCCAUAACUUCUUCAUUUCAGCUCCAAUUUGCAAACCGUUUGAAGCGUUGGACUCCUGACUUCCCGAGCUUCGAAACGAUAUAUAGUAUGUAUAUAAUGGACUCCAGAAAGUGCUCAAAAUUUGUCCUCAAAGUCAGAGUAUAUAAUGCCAUCAGAUUUUUGAGUUCUAAAUUUCCAUGUAGCUAAAUCUUGCUUCAUGCCUCAUUUCCCAUGCUUCCUUGCCUUCUUUCUUACUCCAUAAUGGUCAUUUAUCAUCCUCCAACCUCAUGAUAUCCUUGUUUUGCCUUUCCUUACAUUCAAUGAAUCUUGACUCACUUAUGUCCUCAUUUAGCCCUUUCUUGAUCUUUCAAAAUCUAAAGUCAUUCAAUUUGCACAAUUUUCUUCCCUUGAACCUGAGAUAAAUCUCCAAAGUAUAGAUUAAACUCAUGGCUAGGGCCUUAGCAUUGAUUUAGGUCAAGUUGGGUGAUUUGAAUGUCCUUUGGUGCACAAAUCAUAUCGAAUAUGUGCCAUUAGAGCACAUAUUUUGGCUCCAAUCAGUUAUCUCUUACAAGCCAUUGAAAUAUGAUUCACAGUGAGAGGUCUUUAGUGUUUGAAACCAUUAAUGGGAAGCAACUACAGUUUUUCAUGGACCAGUGGGAUCAAAUCUUGAUUGCUAAAUACACACCGAUUCGGAAGAUAACCAUUCUUUAUGUUAUUAUCCCCAACGCGAGGAAAAGAUCUGAAAUCUCCCCCUUUUGUCUAAGGAACCUGAACCUAGUGACUUAAAACUCCAAGAAACCCUUUUCUUUGUAAUUAAUCUCAAUUACUACUUUUGGUUAACUUAAAACCAACUUUUUUCAACCAAAAUUAUGUUUUCUUUUAAAGCUAACUCAUAAAAGAAAAAGCACAAUUUCACUACUUUAACUAAUAUCACUUGUAAUAUGAAAACCCAUCCCUGUGGACGAUCCUAGAACCACUAUACUAUGCUAGCUAUGCUACCCUAGUGUAUGGUGAAUUAGGUUUAUAAAUUUUGUUGAUAACUCCCGUCUGAGGACUGAAUCAAAUAGAUCACCAAUUGGGGACGAAUCAGUAGCACUUUAGGUAAAUUCAUUUUAGUUGCAUUUUAAGAAAAUUCAUUUAGUUGCAUUUUUAGAAAAUCAUUUAGUUGCAUUCUAAGUAAAUUCAUUUAGUUGCAUUUUAGGUAAAUUCACUUAGUUGCAUUUCAGGAAAAUUUACUUAGUUGUAGUUUAGGUAAAUUCACUUAGUUGCAUUUUAGUAAAUUCACUUAAUUGCAUUUUAGGUAAAUUUACUCAAUUGCAUUUUAAGAAACUUCACUUAGUUGCAUUUGAGGAUAAUCCACUUUAUGUAUUUUUAGGUGAGUCUCAUUUUUGCAUUUUAGUGAAUUUCAUUGGUGCAUUAUUGUAAUUAAAUUAUUGCAUUUUUAGAGAUUUUUCAUAACAUACUUUGAAAGGUUUUCCAUCUUCUAUAAGAGGACAGUAUGCAACAUCAGUUGGCACAACAAACUCUGAGUGCCAGGAAAGUUCUCUUCUUUCUCGGAUUGACCACCGCACUUUAGGUAUCUCAUACUCAACUGGUACUUGUUCAUUGUGCUCUGGAACUACUUUAAAAGAUUUUGGUUAUUCUUGUUUUGAUUGUUUGUUUCCAAUUAAACUUAUAAUGUUCAUCUUUUUCAUCAAUGUGUAUCUUCUUCUUCACUCUGUAGCAUGUCUUCUACAAAGAUGAUAUUUCUACUGAUGAUAAAAUUGCAAGCAAUGGGAUCUCACAAGCGAUACCCCUUUACUCCAUUAGUAUACCCCAAGAAUAUGCAUUUUCUGAAUUUGGAUCCAACUUUAUUCUUUCUUGGUCAUUAUACAUCACAUAAGCAGGACACCCAAAUAUAUGUAAGGAGGAAAAGUUCGCUGGCUUACUAGUCUACAUAUCCAUAGGUGUUUUCAUCUCAAUUGUUGUUGAUGUAGACCAAUUAAUUAUAUAGCAAGCAGUUUUGGUUGUUUCGGCCCAAUAUGUUUUGGGUAGUCUUGCAGUCUUCAAUAUAGCUCUCAUUCCUUUUGCAACAAUUCUAUUUAUCCAUUUUGCUACACCAUUUUUUUAUAGAGUAUAAGCAAUAGUUUUCUGUCGUUGUAUGUUUUCCUGACUAUAAAAUGCAUCAAACUCCUGGCUACAGAAAUCUCAUAUAUUGUUUAACCUCAAACAUUUUAUCUUUUUUCUCAUUUCAAGCUCCCUCUAGGCUUUAAACGCUUUGAAUACUGGAAAAACAUUUGGCUUUCUCUUAAUAGGGUACACCCAACAUCUUCUAAAAUAAUCAUUUACAAACAACACCAAAAUGCUCCCAAGAUAUGUGACUGGUGAUUCCCAAACAUCAUAAUGAACCAAGUCUAGAAUGCUCUUACUUCUUUUCGUAGAUCUACUGAAUCUUAAUCUAUGUUGCUUACUGAUAACACAAUGCUCACAGAAUAAUAAACUUGUAGUUUUGAGUUCAGGAAGCAACUUUUGAUCAGAAAGAAUUUUCAAUCCUUUUUCUUUCAUGUGACCAAGUUUGUGAUGCCACCAUCUCAUUGUUAAUUCUUCUCCAAAGUUUGCAACAAAAGUCUCUACUUGUUGAUAUGUCCUCUCAUGCAACAUGUAUAGAUUUGCAGUAAUAUUUUCUGCCUUCAUCACCACAAGUGCACAUCUAAUAACCUUAAUGAUUUCCUUUUUAGCAUGGAAUUCAUAUCCAAUGUCAUCUAGUUGUCUUAUUGAUAGCAGAUUUUUCUUUAAGCCUUUUACAUGUCAUAUCUCUAGAAUAAUGUGACUCACACCAUCAUUCAUCUUUACUUUGAUGAAGCCCAUGCCAACAAUCUCCAAAGCAUGAUCAUUACCCAUAUACACUAAUCCUCAUGGGAUAGGUUCAUAUUGGUGAAACCCUUUUCUAUGAGAAGUCAUAUGUCAUGUUGUUGUUGAGUCAAUUAACUAAACUUCAAAAAAUCAUUUUCUAACUUCUACAAUUGUUGUUGCCUCAUUGUAUAAGAUUUUGUCUUCAUUUGAAGUACUUGCUACACAACUCUGAGUAUUUGAUAGCUCAAGCUCUUUCUCUUUCAUGUUUUUAUCUACUUCUCCUUUGAAAUGCCAACACUCUUUUUUUACGUGUCAUUGCUUUCCAUAGUGAUAACAUUUAGCUUUCUUCUUACCUUAGGACUUUGAUCUAUUUUGUUUACUCCCACUAGAACCACGUUUUGUUGAUCUCCCUUUAGAGAUAAUUAGAGCCUCGAUUUGCUGAGAAGAUAUUAUGUCUUCCUUGUUUUUACGCCUACUUUCUUCCUCAAGUACAAUAGUCGCAACAUCAUUAAAGACUAGCAUUAUCUACAAUGCACCAUUGGCCACAUUUAUGAUGAGAUGAUCAUAUGAAUCAAGUAGACUUUGGAGUAGAAGUUCAACACGUUCCUUCUCUUAUAUACUAUGUUUUAUAGCUGAUAGUUAAGAAAAUAGAGUUUUUAGGGUGUUGAUGUGUUCAAUCACCAAAGUUGAUUCUAACAUCCAAAGAGUGUAGAGUUUUCUUUUCAAGAAUAUUUUGUUGUGCAAUGACUUGGCUUCAUAUAAGUUUGUAAAAGUAUCCCAAAUUUCUUUUGCUAAUUAAUUGUAAUUUUAACAUGCUUGACAGUAUAUUAUCUGCUACUGCUAAAUGCAAGCUUGCAAUGAUAUCCCCAUCCAUUUGCUUUCACUUUUUAUCUUCAACAUUUUUUGGUCUUUCACCAAUUGUUUCUAGUUAAUUUUCUUUCCUCAAGAUGGCUUUCAUUUUUAUUUUCCACAGCCCAAAAUUGUUCCCAUUGAAUUUUUCUAUUUCAAAUUUUGUCGUCAUUUGUUUCACUUUUAUAGUGAUUAGUAACCCAGAAUAGGAGUAAGUGGUUGUGUUAAAUACACCAAAAAAGUCUCGAGGAAAGUAGAUAAGUCAUAGUGGUCCCACUCUCCUUAGGCUCUAAUUGCCCUUUUUGAUAGAACAUUCCUAGACAUGUACUAACCACACAAGUAACCAUCUAUUGUCCUAAACCAAAGCUCUAAUACCAUUGUAAUGAAAUGAUACCUAGAGCGAUAAUUUGAAAAUAGAAUAAUAAAAAAUAAAAAUGGAAUAAUAAAUAAAACAAUAGAUAAAACAAUAAAUAAAAUAAUGGACAAAAAUACUUACAUGAUAAAACCUUCUUAAUUAAAAUGGAAACUUCCACGGGACAAGAUAAAAAAAAUAUCCAUUAUAUGAAGACAAAAUUUCAACCUCCCUCUCAAUUAAAAUGAAAGAACAUAAAAGCUUACAAAAGAAUGAAAUCCUUUUUUAGGAUGAAUAGUAUAAGGGGUGGAAGCCUUCUUUCAUAGGACAAGGAAGUUCUCCCUUUUUUGUUUUCUUCUGAUGUGGAAUGACUUCAACCUUAACAAAAUACUGGAAAAACUAUUUGUCCUCUUUCUUUCAUGCACUCCAUGAUCUUGGUCAAUUCAUCUAAACACCAUUUCAAUUGAGCAUAAUAUUUUUUUUAAAUGAUCACACCCUUGAUUCUUCAAUUGUUUUCAAGAGUGAUCCAAUCAUUUCUCCUCUCUGAAGUUUGUCAUCUUUAAAGGUGUCAAUGUGUUUUGGACCCAAUGCCUUGAAGAGAUGAUGGGUGAAACCAUCAUGAGUGUCUUCACCUCUAAAACUCAAAAGCACAUCAUAUCUCCAAUAUUCGAUAGUAUGAGAAGAAGGAGAAACUCUUUUCAUACUCAUGGAAGCCAUUGUUAGGUUGUUUAUGGCCAAAUUAUAGGGUAAAUGAUAUUUAAGCUCCUUUCUAAGGGGGGAAAUAAAGUGAUGUAGGAAGCUAGGCUACUUUUUGUGAUUUUCUAAGAAGUUUUAAUCUUGGAAGAUAUCAAGAAGGCAUGAAAUUUAUGUGAAGAAUGAAAGGCUCUUUUGAGGCUCAUGGAAGCCAUGUAAGAAUUUUAAGUGGCCCAGUGUAUAUUAUUAUGUGACAUUUAAAUAUCAAAUUAAACAUUAUGGUCGAAUAAAUAAUAACGUUAAAAUCCUAUUCGUUAGUUUUCAAGAAGUUAGUUUCCUAAAUUAAAGGCACUUUGAUGGAAAAUGUACUCCUUAUUCUAUAAGGAAAUUGAUCUUCUCUUCACCUUAUAAAAUAAAUGUUAUAUUCCAUCAAUAAUAUAUAUGAGAGAAAACCUAAGGGUAAAAGGGUUAAGGGAGAACAACACGAUUUCUACUAUGUUUAUUGUUUGGUCUCUUCAAGAAUUCUCUACAAAUUAAAAGUAUAUCUUUUCUCAAUAAUGGAAAUGUGAAAAAUCAUAGUGUUCUAAAAUCCUUAGCUAUUAUGAUUUAUGCAAAAUUAGGGUUUGAUUUGCAUAAUUAAAUCAUUACUUUAGAGUUUAAUUGGUGAGCAUAUAAUACCAUUGACAUAUGUUGAUGAUUAAGUAACGUGUUGUGGACUCGCAUUUUUCACGUGCGUUCUCACUCAAACGACGAGACUCAUUUUUUAUUUAGUGAAAAUUUUAUUUUUUGAAAAAGACUUAGAGUCGCCACUUAUUUUAGUUUUUUUUAAAUGAAAACAAAAUAAGAAAGAAAACCAUGUGUGACUUCUUAUUUGGGAAAGACAAAUCUAUAAAAAUUGAGUUUAGAUAUGAGGGUCAGGUUACCUAUGGAGAAGGUACACUUAUAAGCCAUAACACUCCUCUAAACCCAUAUACCUACGAUCUCUACUAAAUGAAUCAAGGGAAUUGUGAUAAUUAAUUAAUUAAUUAUAGAUACCGAAAUUAAAGACACAAAUCAAAAUACACAAAAAUAAUUAUAAAAUCAAAUUACAAAAAUGCACAAGAUAAAUGAUAUGAGAAUUAUGAAAAAUGAUUUAUUGAACUAAUUAAUUAAAAAAAUAUUUCAAAAAUUAGUUUUUCAAGAAAUUUCAAAGGAUUUUAUUAAAAACAAUUUUGAAUUAAUAAUUUUAAUUUGUUUAUUUACAAAAAAAAAAAAGUUUCAAUAUAUUUUUAACAAGUGAUUUGAUUCAAUUUCAUUUGUAUUCAAUUUUCAAAAAAGUUAUUUACACUUAUUUUAUCAAAAGAAUUUAAUACAAAAUUUCAAUUUGACAAUAAAAAUUAUUUUUACUUCUUGUUACUAGAAAAAGUUACAACUUUAUUUAAAAAGUCCUUCAAUUUAAUUUCUAUUUACAAAGGAAUUCAUUUCUUUACAAGCUUUAUUUACAAAAAUAUUUUCGAUCCAAUUUAUUAAGAAAAUGGUUUUUGCAACUUGAAUUUGCAAAAAUGACUCCCCUCUGAUUCUCAUUAAAAGGUUAUUUUAAGACCUUCAUUUACAAAAAUUACUUUUAAUCUCAUUCUAAUUAAGGAAAUAGAAUUUAUUUAAAAAAUAUAUUUUUUUGGACAAUUUUAUUAAAAAAAAUAAUCUUUUGAGAAAUAUUAUUUAAAAGCUAGUUUUCUGAACAAUUUUUUUUAAACAUAAAUUUUCAGACAAUUAUUAUUAAAAACAAUUUUUCGAAUUUUCUUAAAAACAAAUUUUUUUGGAUUUUUCUGAAAGCAUUUUUAUGAAUUUUUAUCAAGAAAACUUUAUUUUAUAAAAAAAUAUAUAUUUUCUGAACCUUUAUUUUUAUUAAAACAAAAUUUCUAAGUUAUUGUUCAAUUUUGUUCACACCCAAUAAAUAUAUACAUAAAAAUAUUUACAGGAAUCAAUAACAAUAAAACUAAAUGGAAGUGGAAAAUAAAACGUAUAUCCCAACAAGCCUACAACAAGUUCAAUGCUUCAUUUAUAGUUUUCCUGAGCUUUCUUUCCUUCCAUGAAAUUCGAUUUUCCACUUGUCAUUGAUCUAUAUUCAAUGGAAGGAGCCCAUUCAAAACAAAAUUAAACCAAAUGUAAAUAUCUAGAAAUGUACAAAGUCCAAAAUAAAUAUUUAAACUUAAAUUCAAACUUCAAAUUAGUCAAAUAAAUUUUACUAAUUAAAAAAGGGCCCAAAUUAGUAAAUAAAACUCAACAAAAAUAACCCACAUGUUAUAGGCCUUAGUCCAAGAUCUCCAAAUUAAUAACUAAAAUACAAGCACAAUUAACCAAACCUAAAAUUUGAUAAUUAAAACAAAUUCCAUUAGACCUAAAUUUAAUAUCCCAUAAUCUAAAAGAAAUUAACCCAAUUUAAUAUGUAAACCUAAAUCCAUAACCAAAAUCAACUCAAUUUAAUAUGCAAACUUGAAGUAACACCCAAAAUAUACCACAAUUAUCUCAUAACAAAUCAAAUAAUUUAAAUGAACAAAAUCCAUAUCAAUUAUAAAUCCAUCCAACAAAUUUCAUUAACAACAAAUAAACCCAAAUUUUGUAUUAAUUCAUCAAAGCUCACAUUCCAUAUUAAUUCACCAAUUCAAAUCUCACAAAUAAAAUAAAAUAAUGCAUAAAAUAAACUUACACAUUUUUUUGGAGACCAAGAAUGAAUAGGAGAGAAAAAAAUGGCAGUGGAAUUGAGGAGAGAAAGAAAAGGAAAAAAAGGAAAAAAUAAUAAUAAAAUAGGCAAAUGGGUGAGGUGAGAAAGGGAGGGAAGGGGAAAAUGAGAAAGGGGAAAAGGAGAUGGUUGACCGACAGUGGCUUGCCAAUGACGAUUGGCCGGCCGUGUUGUCCACAGUGAAGGUUGAGUGAGUGUGGUGAGAGAGAAAGAAAGAAGAAAAGAAGUAGGAAAAAAAGAAAGAAAAAAAAAUGGGGAAGGGCAUGUACAAUCUCUAAAAGUGGGUUGUCUCCGUGAUGUGGGGGGGUACGGGAGAAAGUGGGGGUAGGUGGAAAGAGAGAGAAGAGAGAAAAAUAAAAUAAAAUAAAAUAGAGAAAAGAAGAAAAUGAAAAAGAAAAAAUGUAAAAUAUAAUAAUAAUAAUAAUAAAAUGUUCUACAAAAUAAUAAAACUAAGAAUUAAAUAGUGUCUAUGGACAAAAAAAAAAUAGAUGUAAUCAAGUUUAGAAUGUAAAGAUAAAAUGAAGCUCAAAAUCAAUGUAAAAAUAAAUAUGAGACAAAUUUUGAGGUCUAUCCAUGUAUACUUUUGAUGUUAUUGUGAUGAAGUUUAUGAUAAUCAAAGUUUGACUUUAUCAAUUUUUGAUAUAUUAUAUAUAAUGUAUGUUUAUGGUUAAUAUAUAAAGUGAAUGACUUUCUUAAUUCAUGAAAUUUAUUGAAUUGAUUUAUACAUCAACCACUUUUGAUUGAACCAUAAAUAUGAUUUUGUUCAUGUUGUUGCAUCUUUAUCAUCAAUAGAUUCUAUAUGUAAGUGAAAUAGAUUAUGUUAUAUAUAUAUUUAUGUCAAUAGUGAAUUUUGUAUCUUUGAUAGUAAUGUUUUAACGAUAUAUGUACUAUAUAUAAAGAACCAAGAAAAUAUUAGAAGGGUAAACCCAACGAGAGGAAGUACUACCUAAUUCAUAAAUAGUACAAAAUGGUGAUAUGGUGGUCGAGAAAAUACCUUCCACGAAAGAACCUAAUGGAUCUCUUUAAUAAAACAUUAAUAGGCGUCACAUCACUUGUGGCUGGUUUGUGUACCGCUUCCCCGCUUCAUCAAUUGGUGUCAAGUCACUCACAUCAAAGCUUCAUUCAGAAUAACCACCUUGAUGGGCCUUAAUGUAAUUAAGGAAUGUGGAAUUGGUAUAGUGUAUGUUAAUGAAGAGAUGAAUUACUCUAUCUUCACUCCUCCUAAUGAGUCAUCUGUUGUCCUUCAAGAAAUCCACGAGGAGGGACCUAGUGCAAGCGGGUGCUCUAAUAUUGAACUCUGAUUACUAUUCUGCUGAUGAGGGGGAACCCACUGCACCCCUACUGUAAGGAUCACUCUGAAUCAGAGAUGUAGCUAGAGCAACGGUUGCAAUGCAGCCAUUAUCAGAGCAUCCCUUGGCGAGGAGGAACCGGGCAGACAAAUGCUUGAUAUGCACCCAAAUCUUCCGAUAUCAACUAUUGGUGAGCUGUGUGCUUCCUUUGUUUCUUAUCUUGAAACUGACUUUGUUCCUUUGUUUCUAAUAUUUUUGAAACAUCAUAACCAUUGGAGUUUUCGGGUUGUGCAGUAGUGGUGUUGCUGACAAGCUUUUGAAGUUUGAUACAUGCUGGGUGGUUGUUGCUGGUUUUUGCUUUAAAUUUGCCUUGAUACAUGUUGAGUUGUUUAGCAAACUCACUCUUGACAGAUUUUGGUUAUUCUUUCCCACAUGCUAAUGUGAUAUAUCUCUGUUCAAAUUCCUAUUUUCAUUCUUAUUCUCAUAUACUGAACAUACACCCUUAAGGGCAUAUGUUCUCUUCUAAUGUUAGAACAAAAAGGAUCAUGAUAAUUUUUUUUUGGGGAUGGGUUCUUUUGGCUGAAUAUGAUAGAGCUGUUAACAGUUCAUGGUUACUUUGUAAGAAUUGUAAAUUCUUUGGUUGAUUUUUAUACCAUAUUUUGUAGUUUCAUUUUGAUGGAUUCUAAGGUAAUCCAUGACUCAUUUAUCUUCAUUUUGUUAGUAAUGAUGUAUAAGAUACUUGCAGCCAAUGUUUUGAAAACCGGACUAAACCGUUAUCGGCCAUCUCUCAGGUCGAGUUUUCCCUAGGGAACCAUUUUCAUAUUAAACCGGGCUUGAACUGCUCAAGUCGGUCUGGUUUGCACCAGGGAACUAUUUUCAUAUUAAAUCGGUGUUAAACCGCUUGAGCCAUGGUUGGAUCAUUGAACCGGACGGACCGUUCGGCUUCCUAAGAAGCAGUCAAGCCCAAAACUGGGCCAAACUUCCACUUGUUGUAGAAGCCCAAUAGGCUCUACAGCCAAUCAUCCAUUAAAAGCCCAAACCGGUUGAGCCCAAGAGGGUUUAAACGAGCCAAAGCCCAACCCAAUCCGAUGUGGGAUUGAUUCCAGGUGGUAAGGAAAAAAAGUUGUGCAUGCUGCAGGUGGAUUUGAGGUCAGCUUUAAAAUCAAGGGCAAGGCCAUUGAGCUAUAUGCCAUCCAUGUACAAUAAUGCUGUAAAACUAAAUAUAUAGAAAGAUUAAUGGUUUUUUUUUCAAAUAUUUUCAUGUAAAUAUUUACGUUCAUGUCUAUUUGUAUAAUAAUAAUUAUGAAAAUAAUGUAAAUAAUUAAUAUAAUAAUUUUAAAGUAAUAAAAUACAACGAGAUAAAAUUAAAUACUAUGAUUUUAUUUUCAUCUUAAAUACUUUAUAUUUAAAUAUUAUACAUAUUCUAUUUAAUAAGGUUUCAAAUAUUAAUAUAUUUACAUUUAUCUUUAUAAUUUAAUUUGAUAUAUCUAAUAUAAAAUUGAAAUAUUAUUUAAAAUUUUUAUUAUAUAUUCUAAAUUUUUUAUAAUUAUUUUUUUAUUUUAUAUAAUAUAUAAAUUAUAUAAUUAUUACUUCAUUGAUUCUAUUGUGGUUCAACCAUCGAUCCAAUCAAUAAACCACAAAUCGAUAACUUUUUCAAUCCAAUAACGGAUCUGGUUCUAAUUAUUACAAAUGGAAGUAAUUUAUUGCUUUGAGAAGGUUAAGGAAGGAAAGAUAGAAUAAGUCCUCCUCUAUCGAAGUCCCCUUUGGUAACUGGUAACAAAACCUAAGCUCUCCCUUGUAUAUUUCAUGACAUAAUUUUAAGUAAAGAGGUAUAUUUGGCAAAUAAUCAUUCUCUUCCCCUUACUUCCAUCCUGCUCACCGUCCUAGGAAAAAUUUAGCAUCUUCAACCUUGUACCACGCGUGCUCUCGGGUCCUAUGGCUUUGUUUCUAAUCCCCAUUUGCAAAAAGUUCAGUGUGUGAAGCCUAAGGGUCUUAACGAAAAAUCAUGGUAUAAAAUGUGAACCAACCAAAAGGCUUUAUCCAAUUCUUGUGGCCAUGCAAAGCCCUUGUCUUUCUCUAGCCGGAGACUUACUUGCAAGGCGACGGAAGUGUCGGUGGCGGAGGAGCCGUCGGCUGCGGGGGAUGGCGAGAACUGGGUGCCAGUGGUGCCGCUGUCGGCAUUGCCCAAGGGGGAGCGGCGCGUGAUUAUACAGGACGGAGAGACGAUUCUGUUGUUGUGAUUAUACACGAAAUUUAUGUGAAGAAUGAAAGGCUCUUUUGAGGCUCAUGCAAGCCAUGUAAGAAUUUCAUGUGGCCUAGUGUAUAUUAUUAUGUGAUAUUCAUUUAAAUAUCAAAUUAAAAAUUAUGGUCAAAUAAAUAAUAAAACUACCAGAAGUUAAUUUCCUAAAUUAAAGGUACUUUAAUGGAAAGCGUACGCCUUAUCUGAUCUUCUCUUCACCCUGUAAAAUAAAUGUUCUAUUUGAUCAAAUACACAUAAGAAAAAACCUAAGAGUAGAAGGGUUAAGAAAGAACAACACGGUUUCUACUUUGCUUAUUGUUUGAUCUCUUUAAGACUUCUAUAUGGAUUAAAAGUAUGUCUUUUCUCAAUAAUGGAAUUGUGAAAAUCAUAUUAUUCUAAAAUCCUUGACUAUUUUGAUUCAAACAAAAUUAGGAUUUGAUUUGCAUAAUUAAAUAAUUACUUAUGAGUUUCAUUGGUGAGCAUAUAAUACCACUGACAUAUGUUGAUUAAGUGACAUGAAUACUUUUGAUGUUAUUGUGAUGAAAUUUAUGAUAAUAAAAGUUUAUUUUAUCAAUUUUCAAUAUGUUAUAUACAAUGUAUGUUUAUGGCUAAUAUAUAAAGUGAAUGACUUUCUCGAUUUUUGAAUUGAUUUAUGCAUCAACCACUUUUGAUUGAACCAUAAGUAUGAUUUUGUUCAUGGUAUUACAUCUUUAUCAUCAAAAUAGAUAUAUAUCUAUAUGUAUGUGAAAUAGAUUAUGAAAAUACUAGAAGAGUAAACAUAUUGAAAGGAAGUACCACCUAAUUCAUAAAUAGUACAAAAAGGUGAUAUGCCAAUUGAGAAGAUACCUUUUGUAAAGAACCUAAUAGAUUCUUAUACUAAAACACUUAUAGGAAAAGUCUUUGAUUGUAACGGGGACAAUAUAGGUGUCAAAUAUGCACCUAAUUUACUUUUAUAGCAUUAUGUUUUGAGGGCUAAUGGAAGAUUGUUAGGAUAUCAUCCUACAAAGCAUUACAUGAUAUAAUUAGAAAUUUGGAUUUAUCAUUUAUUUAAUUAUAUUCUAAUUGCUCUUUUAUCUAUGCUUGUAAUAGAGAGUUCCCUAUAUUCAAAUCCCAACCCUAAUAUCAUAUAAAAUAAAGUUUCAUGCUAGUAGAAUAUCUAAAUAUAUUCUCGGUAGUUUUUGGUCAUCAUUGGCAUAACUUUGGGCUAUGCACAAUAACUUUCCAUAUAUUUGGCUUUUAGGUAUAAAUUUAAUUUCUAUAUGAAAUCGUUCAAUAUAUAACUUUUUGCUACAUGAGUCUAAAAGUUAUUAACUUCCAUGCAUGGUGCGACUGGUGGGGUUUCCAAUCACUUGGAAACCAUGUCCAGAUACAUAUGAAGAGAUCAAUAAAACCAACCUUCCACUUCCUACAAUAAUAGUUUACCAAGUGUAUCUUCAAUCCUAAGCCAGUCUGGUAUUCGGUGUUGCAGCUCCUGUAAACUGGCCUCUGCUUGGUCCAGCUCCAGAUAAAGCUGCUCUACUUCAGCUAUCUUCUCAUUCAAGCGCCUACGAAUCACGUCCCUCUUGCCCUCUGCUUGUGCAUACUCAACUAAAGGUUGCACUCCUGUAAACUGGCCUCUGCUUGGUCCAACUCCAGAUAAAGCUGCUCUACUUCAGCUAUCUUCUCAUUCAAGCGCCUACGAAUCACGUCCCUCUUGCCCUCUGCUUGUGCAUACUCAACUAAAGGUUGCACUCCAACAAAUGGGCUUCUUAACCAAUCAACCUUAACCCGCGCCCUUGAAAAGAAGAAGAAUUAGCUGAAUUAAUAUUAUUGAUGUUGAAGUGUGUAUUUAUACAAGGAGGUUUGAGAUCUUUUUCUACAAAUCAGAAAUCAGCUUACCAUAUUCUAGACUAUCCAGCUAUAAGUCAGGAAUUACAAUAGGAAAACUAACAUAUACAGAUCAUCUAUUCUUAAUAUGGAAGAUUUAGGAAGAUUGACUUUCCAACACUCCCCCUCAAGUUGGAGAGUGGAUAUCCUGCACUCCCAACUUGCGAAUCAUAGGAGCAAAAAUCUCCUUUCCCAAUGGUUUAGUUAGAAUGUUUGCAAGUUGGUGUGCUGAGCUCACAUGUCUUGUAAUAAUGGAACCAUCUUGGAUCUUGUCCCUAAUAUAGUGACAAUCCAUCUCAAUAUGUCUAGUACGCUCAUGGAAAACAGGGUUAGCUGCAAUGUGCAACGUUGCCUUGUUGUCACAAUACAGCAAGGCAGGUUCCUGAUGUAAAACAACCAAAUCUUUCAAAAGGUACCGAAGCCAUGUCAACUCACAACAAGCUCUUGUCAUUGCACGAUACUCUGCUUCGGUUGAAGAGAGUGACACUGUUUUCUGUCGCUUUGAUCUCCAAGAAAUCAAUAAAGGUCCAAGGAAUACACAGUAGCCUACAGUGGACCUUCUAGUAAGUGGACAACCUGCCCAAUUAGAAUCACAGUAGGCUCUCAAUCUAAAAUCAUUAUUCGAAGAGAAGAACAGACCCUGACCAGGUGUAUUCUUGAGAUAACGUACAACUCUGAACGCUGCUUCCAUAUGAGCCUUUCUCGGUUGAUGCAUAAACCAGCUUAACACAUGAACUGCAUAAGUGAUAUCUAGCCUCGACAUAGUUAGAUAUAUUAACCUUCCAACCAAUCUCCUAUAACGACCUUGAUCCUUGAGCAAAUCGCUCUUAUCAGACAAUUUCAAUCCUCGUUCCAUAGGUGUAUCAAUAGGGGCAGCGCCCAACAAUCCUGCAUCCUCAAUAAUCUCUAAUGCAUACUUACAUUGGGAAAUAAAAAUCCCAUUUUUAGAAACAGAAACCUCAAUGCCAAGAAAGUAUUUUAAAUCACCCAGAUCUUUGAGAUGAAAAUGACUAUGUAGAAAUUUUUUUGUUGUAGCAAUGCUCACAGGAUCAUUUCCAGUAAUCAGAAUAUUAUCAACAUAUAUCAAGAGGGCAGUAAAGGACUUGCCUUGUUUUCUGGUGAACAAAGAAUAAUCGACUCGAGAUUGUGCAUAACCGACGGAUUGAAUAGCUUCUGAGAACUUGGCGAACCACUGGCGAGAAGCUUGUUUCAGACCAUAGAGUGAUUUAUGAAGGCGACAUACCAAGUUUUCCUCCCCCUGUCGCCGAAGCCCUAGCGACGGAGACAUAUAUAUUUCCUCAUGUAAGUUGCCAUGAAGAAAAGCGUUGUUAACAUCCAUUUGAUGAAGAGACCAGCCACGGGCUGCGGCAAUGCAAGCAAGCAGCGGACAGAUAUGAUCUUGGCGGUGGGGGCAAAGGUAUUCUGAUAAUCGACACCUUCUAAUUAAGUAAAGCCUUUCGCUACCAAUCGUGCUUUGUAACGCUCAAUAGACCCAUCUGAACGGUGUUUAAUUUUAUACACCCAUCGACAGCCAAUCGUUGUCUUACCGGCCGAAAGUGGAGUGAGAAACCAAGUGUCAUUAGCUUGGAGAGCCUGCAAUUCAGAACACAUUGCCUCCUGCCACUCAGGAUGAGCGGCUGCUUCUAAAUAAGACCUGGGUUCUGUGACAGCACUAUGUUGAGCAACAAAAGAUCUAUAUGCAGGCUUAUAUCUGUGAUAAGAAACAUAAUUGGCCAGUGGAUGUGUACCUUUAGUUGGACCUGGAAUCAAGAAAGACGAUUGAUUGGAGGAAACGUGGGAACAAACAUAAUCGUGGAGCUUGAUUGGCGGGGCGAUAUGGCGGCUGGAGCGACGAAGAGGAGUGGCUGGUUUGGGUGAGUGUGUCUCGGCUGGAGGAACGGACGGGAUGGAUGCAAACGGUGGCACCGGAGAAGGCGAUACUAGAGUUGUAGAAGGCGGUGGUGAAGGGUUUGGAUCAAUCUGAGAAGAAGGUUCGAUAAUGAGUUCGGAAUGUCGAGAAAGAGAGGAAAAGUCGUCAUUUUCUGUGGUGGGAGACAGUGUGCUUGUGUGGUUGGAAAGAAGAGGGGAAAGUGCGUGAGAAGUAGAGUCAAGGGAGGAAGAGAUGUCGUGGGCCACCAAGGGGAUUGGGCCAGAAUUAUGGGUGAACGAAGAGAGAGUAGAGUUGGGCUUGAGAGAGACAUAAGGAAAAAUAUCUUCAUGAAAUUUGACAUCUCGGCUAGUAAAGACCUUUUUGGUUGAUAAAUCAAAUAAUUUGUAUGCUUUCUGACCAACAGGAUAACCAAUGAAGAUGGAUGGCAUGGCACGGUAAUCAAAUUUGUGAGAGGUGUGAACAUUGGUGGCAUAGGCUAAACAUCCGAAAACACGGAGAUGGAGUAAGAAGGUGGUUUUGAGUAAAGCAAUUCAAAAGGAGUUUUGAAAGACAAUAUUGGUGAAGGUAACCGAUUGAUGAUGUGUACGGCAAUGAGAGCACACUCCCCCCAAAAUUGAGUGGGAACUUGAGCAUGGAAUUUCAAAGCUCGGGCUACUUGUAAAAUAUGACGAUGUUUGCGUUCCACAACCCCAUUUUGUUAAGGCGUGUAAACACAAGAAUGCUGAAAGAUGACACCAUUAUCUUGAAAAAAAGGAACGAAGUGAGGUAAAUUCUCUACCAUUGUCACUUCGAAAAGUUUUAAUGCGAAAUUCAAAUUGUGUGAACACAUAGCUGAAGAAAUGUUUUAAAAGUGAUUGUGCUUCAUCUUUAUAUCGCAUUAAAAAUAUCCAAGUGAAACGUGUAUAAUCAUCGACAAUAGUGAGAAAGUAAUGGGCACCAAACAGAGAACGGUGUCGAUAACGACCCCAAAUGUCACAAUGAAUAAUCUCAAAAGGUUUUGUAGAAGAAAUAGCACUAGUACCAAAAGGUAAACAACUUUGCUUAGCCAAAGGACAUAUAGGGCAAGCAUUAUUGGACUGAACAAAAAAAUUCAAAAAAUUCUUGGCAAUGAAACUCAAACGAGAAGGUGAUACAUGGCCUAAGCAACUGUGCCAGAGAUCGGUGGAAGAGAUGGCGAGAUUGCAGGCUGGUUGGUUUGUGGAUGAGGAAUGGUUGGUUAAAGAUUUCUCCGUCGCUAGUGCCACCAAAUAGUAUAGUCCGUCACGUUGUUUACCCAAACCAAUCGUCCUCCUCGUAGCCAGAUCCUGCAAAAUACACCAAUAAGGGAAACACGUCACUGAACAAUUUAGACCUCUUGUCAAACGACUAACUGAUAUUAAAUCAACUUUGAAUGUAGGCACAGAUAAGACAUCAUGCAGAUAAUAGACGGAAUUCAGAGGCAAAGUCCCUUUCGUAACAAUAUUCGUUUUUUCUCCACUAGGCAACAAUACGAGCGGUAACGAGCAAUUUUUAUCUUUAUGCAAUAACUUAGAGGAUGAAGUAAUAUGAUCCGUCGCCCCACUAUCAAUAAUCCAAUUGCGAGAAGCGACUUUGGACAAACCUGGCUUUGUUACAGCAUUCACUUUGGAACUAGAGUUUUCAUCUUGGUUAUUAAGAAGUGACAAAAGUUGCUUGAGUUGGGCUUCUGACAAUGCAACUGCAGGUUUCCCUUCAUCUGCCUCAGAAACUUGGUUAGCUGCAGAAAAACUUUUAUUUCGAUUUGAGUUUGAGCCUAAGUUUAUUCUUGCUUUUGGAUGGUCUGGUGGGUAUCCAUGUAGUUGAAAACACUUUUGGACCCAAUGACCCAUAUCUCCACAAUACGAGCACUGGGGGCGUCCUCUUCCAGAACCCAUGCGGCGCCAAUCUUGAUCAAAAAAUGGUCUGCCAUCUUGUCCCUGAGAAGACCGAUUCACCCGGAAAUUUUGAGAACUAGAGGGGUGAUCAGUCGGUUCCAUCCUUCCUGUGUUCGAUCGAUCUAUUCCAUCCUUCCAAGUUGCCGAAGACUUGUCGUUGCUACGCACAGCCAUAGCAGCACUUGCGGCAGAUUCCGCUGCUGCGUUCGUCGAAGUGAGGAGGCGUUGUUUUUCUUCUUGAGAGACAGAGGAGUAUGCUUGGCGGACAGAAGGAAGAGGAUUCAUCAGGAGGAUUUGCCCGUGAAUAGCACUGUAAGAUUCAUUCAAACCCAUCAGAAAUUGCAUCAAUUUUUGUUGAUCUUGUUGUGCCCCAUGUGAUGCAGCGUUGUAGGAAGCCAGUUCAUCCCACAGGCCUUUCAAUUUUGUGUAAUAGGCAGAGACAGAGAGUUGCUCUUUUCAAAGACAAGCAAUAUCUCGCUGAAUUUCAAAGAUGCGAGGCGCAUUGCUCUGAGAGAAUCGCUCACAGAGAUCUUCCCAAACUUCAUGAGCAGUAGAAUAAUAGAUUACACUGUCCGCAAUUUCUGGAUUGAGAGUAUUGACGAUCCAGGAGUGAACCAUGUCGUUACACCGUGACCAAGUCGCAUAACCUUCAGGAUCAAUUUCUUCUGAAGGAGCCUUGAUCGAGCCAUUAACAAAACCCAAUUUGUUCUUGGAAUUUAAAGCUAGAAUCAUAGCCCUUUUCCAAGCUGAAUAAUUGUCUCCAUUCAAAGAUUUGGAAAUCAAAACCAAACCUGGGUGAUCUGAAUGGUGAGUGAAAUAGGGAUUGGAGAGAUCUGCCUUUGAGAAAUCCGUAGGAAUCUCUAAUUUUGCCAUGAUGAUUGAAGAAAAGAGAUGCUAUACGAGAGAUUAGAGUGUAGCAAUAAAUCAGGAUUUUAGUCCUGCUCUGAUACCAUGAAAAGAAGAAGAAUUGGCUGAAUUAAUAUUAUUGAUGUUGAAGUGUGUAUCUAUACAAGGAGGUUUGAGAUCUUUUUCUACAAGUCAGGAAUUAGCUUACCAUAUUCUAGACUAUUCAACUAUAAGUCAGGAAUUACAAUAGGAAAACUAACAUAUACAGAUAAUCUAUUCUUAAUAUGGAAGAUUUAGGAAGAUUGACUUUCCAACACCCUCUCCAAAUCACUCAAUGCUCUAUCAAUGAAGUAGGUGUCUGCACCAGACAGGCUACAGGCAGUAUUCUUCUGCAUCAGCUCCACAAUCUGCAGUAUGGAACCUUUGAUGAUCUCUACAAACUGGGGUGCUGUAAAGGAGCAAUUGGCAGUUACGUCUCCAUAUUUGGUCCAUAUUUGCUGCCAAAUCGACUCCCUGGUAUUGGAAGUUACACCAGAUCCCUCAACCAUCUCAAGAAGCCCUGCAGCAGCUGUGUUAGGAUCUGUGAGAGUUUUGUCUGUGUCCUCAGCUUCAGUUGGAGCGAAGGAAGUUUGGAUCUCCUAAAGCCCAAAAAAGAGAAGGAAAAGUAUAGAACUUGUGCUUGGAAUUAACCAACAAAAAAGAUUAAUUUUGAUGUAAAAGUGCCCAAGGAAAAAUAUUUUGGUAGUUUCAGUUGAAAAUUUUGACAAACCUUGUCAGCUCCCGAAGCACCUUCCACUUCAUCUGAAGGCCAAUUAAGUGUAUCUAGGCAUUGCAACCUGUGAUUAUGCUCAAGAUGAAGUUUUGUGAUCACCCAUUGUCCAUUGUCAAGUUUGACUUGGAUCUGGACAUUGCAACCUGUUCUUGUUUCUGAUCUCUGAUACUUUGUUCCCUGGUUGGGAUGCUUCUUGGUCCGGAAGCCUUCACAUGAACAAAGAAAGCAUCGCCCUUUCAGUGUACCAUUUGCUUUCCUUUGUACCUUUCCUUUUCUUACUGUAAAACCAAUUCUCUUGGCAUACUUUUUACAAAAUUCUUCAGCUUCUAACUCAGAAGAAAACGCCAUCCCUCUCCGUGGUAUCUGAUCAUCGUCUUCAGGAUUUUUCUCAUUUACAUUAACCAAUGUUCCAAUCUCAUCACCAUUUACAUUAAUAGCCAUUUCAGUCUCACCACUAUAGAACGAACUCCACCAAGAAUCAAAAUUAAGCUCAUCCUGUACAAAGUGAGAUAGAGAGAGAAGUUUUCUAUGAGAAAAAUGAGAAGCAAAAAGUGGUACAAUGCAUAACAAUAAUUUUCUUCUGUUACACCAACUAUUGAUUCAAACUACAUCUUAUCCUGUAACUCUUGUAGAACAAUGAAUUAAUAUAAGAAGAGUGACACUGUAAGACGGCUUAUAGACAAGUAGAUGGAGUAACCAAUUCUUGAUUUGCUGGUAGCAGCUUUAUUUGGGCAGAAAAGUUUUUGAAUUAUUUAUCUUUAAAAUUAACCGUUGUUCUAGAAAAUGGAUCGAGCUUACCUGGAUAGUGAGGCGCCUGAAGGUACCGCCAACUCUGUUGUGGUUUACUAAAUCAUCAGAUUCCUGUAUGGCACCCCGAACAUCUGGGCGUGAACCGAUGGAACUAUACCUGCAAGAUGAUAGGGUUCGAUAGACAUUCUGGUGCAGUUGAUGGGUGUGGAUCCAGAGGAUCGGUGCUUGAUUGCUUUGCUUCCGGCUGGUGCAGGACCCUCAAAUGUUUGGGAUCUCGCCUUCCCAAGCCAAGACUCCUUUUAUGGCUCUCGCAGCCUGCUGUGUGGGACAGCGUCCUUUUUCCUUGUUUGCUUUGCUUCCGUUCCCAAAUUCCAACCCACUGCGCUUUGACCAGAUGGUCCAAAUCUCCAUUUCUCGGCCACGUCGGUGCCUUUGGUGCUCUUUUCCCUUGUUUUAUUUCCUUCAGUGCCUUCACUACAAAAUACAUGGUCCCACCCACCGUUUUUAAAAUUCAACCCAUCUUAUCUAUUUAAGCAUCCGUUGUCUUUUUUAUAAUUCAAAGAUAAAGGUUUUUUAUCUUUCCUCCCAAGAGGCUACUACUCAAAAAGUCAAAACUUCAGAAACAUUAAAUAUAUAUAUAUAAAAUAGAGAAUUAUCAAAACGGUGGGCGGAAAGUGGUAAUCCUUUUUAAAAGUCAUCAUGUUGACCAAUUCUACUCCUCGGGUAAUCAUUUGAAAGAAAUUUUCAAUUAUAUCCUAUCUAAACUUUAUUUUUUUAUUUUUUUCUUUUGUAUUAUUAUUAUUAUUAAAUAUUAAUACUACUCUUAAUAUUAUUAUUUAUGAUAUUAGUAUUUUAAAUUUUCAUAUUAUUAUUAGUAUCAUUCUUAUUAAUAUUAUUUAUUAUUUUUAUGAUUAUUAUUCAUAUUUUUAAUAUUAUAUUAAAAAUAAUAUUAUUAUAUUUUUAUUACUACUACAAAGAAACCUUAGAAGAUAAUUUAUAUUUUUUCGUUCUUAGAACUUGUAAACUUUAUUAAAAAUUUAUUCUUUUUUUUUCAUUUUAUACUUUAUAUGUUAUAUUAAGAUUAAUUAAAUUAUUAUUAUUAUUAUUCUUAUUAUUGCUAUUAAGAUAUUAGUUUUAUAUUAUUAAUAUUUUAAUAAAAUAAUAUUAUAUCCAAGUUAUAGAUAUAAUAAAAAAUGCAUUGAUGUUAAUAAUAUAAUAGAAUAAAGCAAUGUUUCUAAUACUAUUAGAUUUGUUACAAAAUGUAAGUACAACAUUUAUCUAUUGAAUUUAUAACAUAAAUACAUUAAAAAUACGAUAUAGUACAACAUUUUUAAUAGUUUUCAUGUAAAAAUAAAAUAAAAUUUUAUCAUUUAAAUUUAUCUCAUUUUAACUGUUAUACAUUCCAUCAUGUUAAUGUCUUGUAAAUUACUAUUGCAUUUUUUUUCCCACAAAUAAUAGAUUCAUGUUUAUCAUCUCACAAAUAAAUUUUAAUUAGGAUUUAUAUUUAUUUUAAUUUUUAAAAUAUUUAUAAAUAUAAAACAUAAUACAAUAAUUUAGUUUACAACAUUAAACUUUACCUUGCUCCACAUCCUUUCAAAAAGCAAGGAUGACCUUGCCCCAUGUGCUUUCAAAAAAUAAGGAUGAAAAUAUGGAUAAUUAUGAAUAUAUCAGUUAUUUAAUUUUACUGAUACAUUAGAGAUGCGAAUAUUUUCAUACAAAUAUCGAUGAAUAAAAAAUUGAUCAAAACUCAUGAAAAUAUUAUGAAAAUCUCUAAAAAAAAUGAUAUAAAAAUAAUAAUAAUAGAAAUAUUGAGAUUGUUUUGUUAAAAUAAAUUGAUAUAUAUAUAUAUAUAUAUAUAUAUAUAUAUAUAUAUAUAUAAUAUAAGUUGUGAUAUUUAACAAUAAUGUUUAUAACUUGAAAACAUAUUUUAUGUAUAUACACCAAAUUUGAAUAUAUUUAACAAUAUAUAAGAAAUGAUAAUAAUUUGUAGAAGAAUUUUUUGUUUCACACAAUAACCAAAACUAAUUAAUUUAUAAUAAUUUUAUUAUAAUUAAUUUAUAACAUAUAUAUACAUUAAAUAUGUUCGAUUUAUAAUGUAGCAUGGUUGGUUGGCUGGUGGUGGGGGAUUUUCCCCAACUUGAGGUUCUACCUUUCAAAUGAGCGCAAUGUGUAGGCUGGUAAGCGAGCCCAUUGCAAGAUGUUUGAAAAAAAAAAAAAGGAAAAGAAAAAGAAAAAAAAUGAAUCAUGUGGCAUUGAAAUUAUUGGUGCAUCAGUCGUAUGUCGGCGAAAAAUGGCAAGAAAAAAAAAACUCAAUCGGUCAAUUUAAUCUACUAUUCUUAUAAACAAGUUUGUUUGGCUAAAGGGUAGAUUUCACAAACAUGCUUGGAAUCAAAAUAAAUUUCAAGAUUAAUUUUAGCAAGAACUUGAAGAGAACUGGAUGACGAGUGCCCAAGAUGCUAAUGCCAAAGAUUGGGAUGUUUACAAAUGGCAUAAGCCAAGGCUAGAUUUUGGUCUUGUGCUAGGUAGUAGAGGUCAUUAUGUUGCUUGCCCAAGCCAAUAGUCUUCCUUGUAGCAGUGUUUUACACAAUACAAAAAUUGGAAAAGAACAUCACUAUACAUUUAAAUGUCCAUGUUAGUUUACUAAAUGAUAGUAAAUUAACUUGAAAUUGUGAAACUUUGAGUACUUCAUCAAGUUUAAUGUGGGGUGAAAUAUUCAAUGAACUAAUCGACUUAAUAUGUGUUUGACCACCAUCUGGCAAACUAAUGGUGGUUAUCUUAUGCAAAUUUUUUAGAUCUAGUAAUUCAGUUGAAGAAGUCACAUGAUUUGCGGCUCCACUAUCAAUAAUCCAACACAUAUUUCUGAGUGUAGGUAAUCUUGAAUGAUUUUGGAUGAUAUAUUUAUACUUGUGGCAUUUGCAAAAUAUUGUGAGUUACCAUCAUUGUUUUUUUGAAUCAUGGCCAUUAGUUGGUCAUAUUCCUCAGUUGUGAGCCUUAAUCCGUCACUUGUUGGAAGAUAUUUUGCUUUUAUCUCCAUGACCUUGUUUGUUUCCACCUUCACAUUGUUUGCAUUUUAGUGACACUGAUUGGGAGACUUCACGUUCUUCCCAUGAAGCCUGUGACCUAUUGGAAAGCAAUAUAGGUAGUAACACUUCUCAAUGUUAUGAUAAUCACCGUCACAAUAAGAGCAAUGUAGCAAAGUUUUUUACCUUUAAACCUAGUGUGCUGGAGUCACCUUGUUGUGCCAAUCUGCAAGCAUGGCAUGACGGUUCAUGUUCCCAUGUUUGAUAUAAACUUCAACCUGUUUUUCUUAUUGAAGGACAAGUGAGUAAACUCGACAUGUAUCAGGUAGAGGUUGCAUAUCAAUAAGAUUUGUCCAUGAAUGGUAGCAUAACUAUCAUUCAAUCCCAUGAGAAACUGCAUAACUCUUUCUUUCUCAUCCUUUUCCUUGAGUUUCUCCAACCCUCCACAAGAGUAGGAUAACACUUCAUGAUAGGAUGAAAGUUCAUCCUAAAAAGCUUAAAGCUUUGUGUAGUAAACCGAAAUUGAUUGUUGGCUCACCUAUGUUCCAUGAUUUCUCGUUUGUUUUAAUAAAUUCUUGAAUUAUUUCCUUGAAAAAAGCAUUCUUUUAGAUCUACCCUAACUUUUGUUGAAGUUUCAACAUAAAUCACACUGUUGAUUAUGUCUGGAUGAAUGAAAUUCAAUAACCAUGAGAUCACCAUAUCAUUGCAUCAUUGCAUCAUUGCUAAGAAGGAAAACUAUCAUAUGUCAAUGGAGUUGGAGUCAGCUUGAUUGAACCUAUGACAAAUCCAAUCUUAUCUUUAGUACUCAAACUAAUUCUCAUACCCCGACUCCACGUGUUGUAGUUAUCUCCUUCAAGUACCUUAGAGAUGAGUACCAUACUCGGAUGGUUCGAGUGGUGUAGAGAGAAGGAAUGUGAGGCUUCUAUGGUAGCCUUAGACGAUGUCAACAAUCUCAUUCUGUUAUUAAUGUCCAUGGCAGCAACUGUAACAAGGAAUUAGGUUGCAAAAAUAUUUGGAAGAAUUCAAAGCCACCAAGUUUGGUGCUUUGAUACCAUGUCAAAAACAAAGUAAAACAGAAUAUUUUGGAAAUCUUCAGUAUAUUGAAUGUUUUGACUUACAAAGAAAAAAAUACAUAUAUAUAAAACAUCAGUUAGCCUAUUAUAGGAAACUAUGUGUAAACAGAUCAAUUACAAUCAAUCAAAAAAAUAAUCUCAUAUUAACAAAUCUUAUCCUAAAAUUAUGAGAUUCUUGAUUCUUUUCUUGUAAUAAGUUCCACGGUUGGAGUCAAAUAAAGCUCCAAUAAAUGUUCCAUUUUACCUUGAAUAUCUAGAAACUUCUUGAGCCCUGAGCAGCCAAAGAAAUUAAGAAUUUCAAGUGCUUCCAUUUUGAUGAUGCUCUAAAAAUUGCUAAGCUUUUUGCAGUUUUUCAAACUCAAUAAAAUAAGCUUGCUAAGCUUUCCAAUAGAUGGGUGGACCUAAAGCAAACUUGAACAACCAUCAAGAAUUAGUUUCUCCGGAUUGGGCGCACUAAAUGUGAUGUCUGGAAUUUCAAUUAGGUGUUGAAGAAGCUAUAACCAAAAAUAAAAAAGAAAAACCAAUAAUAAUAAUUACUUUAGUAUAUAAGCUUUCAUGGAGUUUAGAGAUUAACUAAAGAAGAAACAUGAAAAAAAUAAAAUAAAAUCACUCAUCAUACCAUGUCAUUUUCACAAAGUUGUUUUAAGCUGCUAUGACACAUGUUAAGUUCUACAAUGUCUUUUGCAUAAAAACUUUAAUAGUUUUUAUGUAAAAAUAAAAUAAAAUUUUAUCAUUUAAAUUUAUCAAACUUUAACCGUUAUACAUUCCAUCAUUUUAUCGUCUUGUAAAUUACUAUUGCUUUUUUUUUCCCACAAAUAAUAUAUUCAUGUUUAUCAUCUCACAAAUAAAUUUUAACUAGGAUUUAUAUUUAUUUUAAUUUUUUAAAUAUUUAUAAAUAUAAAACAUUACACAAUAAUUUAGUCCCAACUCAAGACUUUACUUUGUUCCACACCAUUUCAAAAUCCAAUGAUAAAAAAAUAUCGAUAAUCAUGAGUAUAUUGAUAUUUUGAUUUUAGGAAUAUAUCAUAGAUACGGAUAUUUUGACGUAAAAUGUCGAUGGGUCAAAAAUUUGAAUGUACUUAAUAAUAUAGAAGAAAUAAUGAUAAUUUGUAUAAGUAUUUUUUAUUUUAAAAUUUUGAUAAUUUUAUUCAUAAAUUUAUAUUUAUUUUGUAUUUAACACAGUAAUCAAAAUUAAUUUAUUUAUAAUAAUUUUAUUUGAAUUAAUUUAUAUAUAUAAUUAUAUUUGUUUAUAUAGAUAUAUGGUUUAGAGCCCGUUUGACAGUGAUUUUUAAAAGUGUUUCUACCCUUAAAAACACUUUUAAGUGUUUUUGGGAUGAAAAUAAAGUGUUUGGCAAAUUUUAAAAAACACUUUUGAAAAUCUGGAAAAACACUUAAAGUGAUUUUUAGAGAAUCACUUAACAGGUGUUUUUUUUUAAAAACACUUCAAUUUUUUUGAAAUAUUCCAAAAAUGCCCCCCAGUGGUCAUAUAUUGUUUUACUUUUAAAAUUAUCUUUUAUUCAAUGUUUUUUUUUUUUUUAUUGAUUUAGAUGUUUUUUGUAAAUAUUUUUUAAAAUUUUAGUAUAGUGAUAAAAAAAUUAUUAUUUUUAAUUAGAAAAGUCUUUUUCUUUUUUAGAAAUUAAUAGGUAAAAUCAUAUAUUGUUUUAAUUUUAAAAUUAUCUUUUAUUCAAUGUUAUUUUUUUAGUGAUUUAGAUGUUUUUUCAUUAAUAAAAAGUUUUUUUGUUUAUCAUACCAUUUUUUUUAAUUAAAAUUGUAUGUCCUUUUUGGUAAUUUAUUAAUAUUAAAAGUGUUUUUAUAUUUAUACAAUAUAUUAUCAAAAACACUUUAGAAUCAUUUUUUCUGAUUAUCAUAAAAGUGUUUUUCACAUAAACACUACAGUAGAAAACACUUCAAAUAAAAACACUUCCACUAGAAUCACUACCAAACGGGCUCUUAUAUAUGUAAUGCUGAGAAUGAACAUAUAUAUUAAAUAUGUUCGGUUUAUAAUGUAAAACAUGGUUUUCCCAAGCUCGAGGUUUUACCUUUAAAGUGAGCGCAAUGCGUGGGCUGGGAAGUGAGCCCAUUGCAAGAUUUUUGAAAAAUAAAUUAAUAUUUUAAUAUCCCUCACUUAAAAAUAAAUUCUCUUAUAGCAUGUUGAGACAAAAUAAAUAAAUAAAUAAAUAAUGGUCUAUAGAAAGCAGGUGGGUCAACAAGGACCCUUUGUCUUCGAUGAUCUCACUGGCAUUUAAUUUACUUGUUGCAGAAACUGCCUGUUCCUUACACUCUGCGAGUUUUGCUCAGACUUGACUUUCACAACUCAAAUUUCAGAAUCCAUCUUCUCUGCCGCCUCGUAAUGGCUGAUCCUUCUUUCCAACGGAGCUAUGAUGUGUUCCUGAGCUUUAGAGGAGAAGACACCCGCAAUAGCUUCACUGCCCAUCUCUAUAAGGAGCUACGCACCAAAGGAAUCAACACGUUCAUUGACGAUGACAAGCUUGAGAGGGGUGAUGUCAUUUCUUCUGCGCUUGUUGCGGCUAUUCAAAACUCCAAGUUUUCUCUCGUUGUUUUGUCAGAAAAUUAUGCAUCUUCCGGGUGGUGUUUGGAGGAGCUGGUGAAGAUUCUAGAGUGCAUGAGAACCAUGGGACAGAGGGUUCUCCCCAUUUUCUACGAUGUGGAUCCCUCGCAUGUAAGACAGCACAACGGAAAAUUUGGAGAAGCACUGGCUAAACAUGAAGAAAAUUUGAGAACUAUGGAGAGGGUGCCGAUUUGGAGGGAUGCUCUCACUCAAGUUGCCAAUUUAUCCGGUUGGGAUUCCAGGAAUAAGUAAUUCUCUACAGCUUUCCCAUCAUCAUCUUCAUCCUCAUAUCACUAAUUUCAAUAUAUGCAUCUGUUCAUUAAUUAUCUUGUUUACUUUAAUUUUACCUUUCUCUUUUUGAGUGAUGAACUAAUUUCAUGUUUAUACUUCAAAUUUGGCAGGCAUGAGCCUAUGCUUAUCAAGGGAAUUGCCACUUAUAUUUGGAAUAAAUUGUUUAGUAGAUCCUCAAAUUAUGCUGAUCAGAACCUAGUUGGAAUAGAAUCUAGCAUACGAGAAAUAAAAUCCCUGCUAUUUACCGAGUCUCUAGAUGUUCGCAUGGUGGGGAUUUGGGGCAUGGGCGGCAUAGGUAAAACAACCCUUGCCAGAGCUGUUUAUAACCAAAUCUCUCAUCAAUUUGAAGCUUGCUGCUUUCUUGAAAAUGUCAGUGAUUAUUUGGAAAAGCAAGAUUUCCUUAGCUUGCAAAAGAAAUAUCUUUCUCAACUAUUGGAAGAUGAAAAUCUAAAUACAAAAGGAUGCAUCUCUAUAAAGGCUUUGCUUUGUUCUAAAAAGGUUCUCAUUGUCAUUGAUGAUGUGAACAAUUCAAAAAUAUUAGAAGACUUGAUUGGGAAGCAUGGUUGGUUUGGUAUCGGAAGUAGAAUCAUCAUAACAACAAGAAAUAAGCAGUUGCUAGUUACACAUGGGGUGAAUGAAGUCUAUCAGGCUGAAAAAUUAAAUGAUGAUAAUGCGGUUGAGCUCUUCAGUCGAUAUGCCUUUAAAAAAGCCCAUCCUAUAGAUGAUUAUGUGGAGCUCUCUCAAUGUAUAGUGGUUUAUGCUCAGGGCCUUCCAUUAGCUCUUCGAGUUUUAGGUUCAUUUUUAUUUGAUAAGAGCAAACGGCAAUGGGAAAGUCAGUUGGAUAAACUAAAAAAAAUUCCUAAGAAGGAAAUUCAAGAUGUGCUUCGAGUAAGUUUUGAUGGGUUGGAAGAUAACGAGAGAGAUAUAUUUUUGGACAUCGCAUGUUUCUUUCAAGGGCAUGAUAAAGAUUAUGUAAUGGAAAUAUUCAGAUCUUGUGGUUUCUUCCCUGAUAUUGGAAUAAGAGUUCUCAUUGAGAAGUCUCUUAUAUCUGUUGUUGAGAAUAAAUUGAUGAUGCACAAUUUGUUACAAAAAAUGGGUCGGGAAAUUGUUCGUGAAGCAUCUCCUAAGGAACCUGGAAAACGCAGCAGGUUGUGGAUUCAUGAUGAUGUAAAUCAUGUAUUGACAAAAAAAACGGUAAGAGACAAAUGUAUAAACCCUUUUUUUAUAUAUAUAGGUAAUUAGGUUGGUCUAAAGUGCAACUUAGGAAGUACCAACUUUGUUUAAUUGCGUAGUUUAGUAUGUAUAUAAUUUUACUCACUUAUCCAUUACUCUUUUUUGCUAGGGAACCGAAGAAGUUGAAGGAAUAUCCCUUGACUUGUCCAGUUUGAAAGAGAUAAAUUUCACUAAUGAAGCUUUUGCACCGAUGAAUAGGCUCAGAUUGCUCAAAGUCUAUACAUUGAAUUUUCUCAUGGACUCCAAAAGAGAGAAGUGUAAAGUGCACUUUUCCCGAGGCUUUAAAUUUCACUGCGAAGAACUGAGGCACCUAUAUUGGUAUGAAUACCCUUUGAAAUCACUGCCCAAUGAUUUUAACCUCAAGAAUCUUGUUGACCUCAGCAUGCCUUAUAGCCAAAUAAAACAACUUUGGAAAGGGACCAAGGUAUCGCUAUGAUUUAUCCAUGUUAUUUUAUUUAGAUUGUAUGUACCGUUCAUGAAAAAUCAUCUUCUUAAGCCUUGUUUCUUUCACUGCAGGUUCUUGAAAACUUGAAGUUCAUGAAUCUCAAGCACUCCAAAUUCUUAACGGAAACCCCGGAUUUCUCAAGGGUUACCAACCUUGAACGGUUAGUUUUAAAAGGUUGUAUAUCUUUGUAUAAGGUUCACCCAUCACUUGGAGAUUUGAACAAACUCAAUUUCUUGAGUUUGAAAAAUUGCAAAAUGCUGAAGAGUCUUCCAAGUUGCAUUUGUGAUUUGAAAUGCCUUGAAGUAUUUAUUCUUUCUGGUUGCUCAAAAUUUGAAGAGUUACCUGAGAAUUUUGGGAACUUAGAAAUGUUGAAGGAAUUUUGUGCGGAUGGAACUGCUAUUAGGGUACUUCCCUCCUCUUUUUCUUUAUUGAGAAACCUUGAAAUAUUAUCCUUUGAGAGAUGUAAAGGACCACCACCAUCUACCUCAUGGUGGUUGCCAAGAAGAAGUUCAAAUUUCAGUAAUUUCGUAUUGUCUCCUUUGUCAAGUUUAAGCUCCUUAAAAACUCUAAGCCUAAGUGCCUGCAAUAUAUCAGAUGGAGCAACUCUUGAUAGUCUUGGCUUCUUAUCUUCACUGGAAGAUUUAGAUUUAAGUGAGAACAACUUUGUUACUCUGCCUUCAAAUAUCAGCCGACUUCCUCACUUGAAAAUGCUUGGGUUGGAAAAUUGUAAAAGAUUGCAAGCACUGCCAGAGCUUCCAACAAGCAUACGUAGUAUAAUGGCUCGUAAUUGCACAUCAUUGGAAACAAUCUCAAAUCAAUCAUUUAGCUCCCUACUAAUGACUGUCAGAUUGAAGGAACAUAUCUAUUGCCCAAUAAAUCGGGUGAGAUUUUCCUCCGGUAUAUCAUAAUUCAAUUUCCCACUAAAUAAUGCACAAUUUAAUUUCAUUUGUGGUAGUGUAAAAUAAAUGUCGAAUGAUUUAAGAUGGUAAAGCAGCAAGCAAUUUCUAUCUCUACUAACAUCCUCAUCAUGUUCAUUCUACAGGAUGGACUUUUAGUUCCUGCACUUAGUGCAGUUGUUUUUGGGAGUAGAAUACCAGACUGGAUAAGGUACCAGAGCUCAGGGAGUGAAGUAAAAGCAGAGCUACCUCCAAACUGGUUUGAUUCCAACUUCCUGGGUCUUGCUUUGUGUGUUGUCACUGUUCCCAGGCUGGUGUCACUUGCUGAUUUUUUUGGUCUUUUUUGGAGAUCAUGUACCUUGUUCUAUUCCACAUCCAGUCACGCUUCUUCCUCCUUUGAUGUUUACACUUAUCCAAAUCAUCUUAAGGGAAAGGUGGAGUCAGAUCACUUGUGGCUGGUUUAUGUACCGCUUCCCCACUUCAUCAAUUGGCAGCAAGUCACUCACAUCAAGGCUUCAUUCAGAAUAACCACCUUCAUGCGCCUUAAUGUAAUUAAGGAAUGUGGGAUUGGUCUAGUGUAUGUUAAUGAAGAGUUGAAUUACUCUCCCUUCUCUCCUCCUCCUAAUGAGUCAUCUGUUGUCCUUCAAGAAAUCCAUGGGGAGGGAUCUAGUGGAAGUGGGAGCUCUAAUAUUGAUGGCUCAGAAUCAGAGAACUCCGAUUACUAUUCUGCUGAUGAGGGGGAACCCUCUGCACCCCUGCUGUAAGGAUCACUCUCAAUCAGAGAUGUGGCCAGAGAAACACUUGCAAUGCAGCCAUUAUCAGAGCAUCCCUUGAUGAGGAGGAACUAGCCAGACAAAUGCCUGAUUUGCACCCAAAUCUUUCCAUAACAACUCUUGGUGAGUUGUGUGCUUCCUUUGUUUCUUUUCCUGAAACUGACUUUGAGUUGCUUAGCAAAAUACCUUACUUUCUAGUAUUCUGGAAACAUCAUAACUGUUGGAGUUUUUGGGUUGUGUAUUAGUGGUGUUGCUGACUAGUUUUUGGAGUUUGAUACAUGUUGGGUUGUUGUUACUGGUUUUUGCUUCAAGUUUGCCUUGAUACAUGUUGAGUUGUUUAGCAAACUCUCUUGACAGAUUUUGGUUUUCUUUCGCACAAGGUAUUGUGAUACAUCUCUGUUCAUAUUCCCAUUUUCAUUCUUAUUCUCAUGUACUAAACAUAUACCCUUAAGGGCAUAUGUUCUCUUCCAAUGUUAGAACGAAACAGAUCAUGAUCAUUGUUUUUGGGAUAUGUUCUUUUAUCUGAAUAUGAUAGAGCUAUUACAGUUAAUGGUUACUUCGUAAGAAUUGUAAAUUCUUCCAUUGAUAUUAUACCAUAUUUUGUACUUUCAUCUUGAUGGGUUCUAAGGUAAUCCAUGGCUCAUUUUUCAUUCAUUUUGUUAGUAAUGAUGUAUAAGAUACUCGUAGCCAAUGUUUUGAAAAUCAGACCAGUCGUCCAACCGAUUGAACCGUCAAUCAGCCAUCUCUCUAGUCUGAUUUGCCCUAAGGAACUGUUUUCAUAUUAAGCCAGUGUUGAACUGCUUGAGCCGGUCUGGUUUACCCUAGGGAAUCAUUUUUAUAUUAUACCGAUGUUGAAUUGCUCGAGUCGAUGGUUGGACCAUCUAAUUGGAUGGACUGUCCGGCUUCCUAAGAGUAGUCAAGCCCAAAACCAGGCCAAAUUUGCACUUGUUGUGGAAGCCCAAUAGGCGUCACAACCAAUCACCCAUUAAAAGUCGAAACAGAUUGAGUCCAAAAGGGUUUGAUGAUCAGUCAUUAUGGUCCGACUAGUAAAUCAUAAACUAGUAACUUUUCUAAUUCAAUAAUCGAUUCGGUUUUGAAAAUAUUGCUUAUAACUUAGGUUGUUUCUUCAUUUUCUACCGAGAAUGUUGUCUUAUAAUGCAGGCAAACUAUCACCAAUGGAGAAAACAUAGAGAAAAGAAGAGUUUUAUUUUUCAAUUUGUUUAGCCAAUAAAUACCUUUCUUUAAUUUACUUUUCAAAUAUGAUGACGUUCAGAAAUUAGGAAAACUUGCCCAUGAAAAUAUAAAACUUGGGUCUGCUCUGGAUUAAAGAGAAAUCAGACUUGGCGGUACAUGGAUGUUUGCCCAAAUAUAUGAAAUUAAUUUAAGUGAAAUUAGGGGAAAAGUAUACUAAUACCUGGAUUCUAGCAUAUAGUAAUGGUUAGGCUGGGAACUUGAAAAUAAAUUUUUUGUUCUUUGGAACUGAAAUAAUUUUCAGUUGACAGAUUUUAUUAUUCGAAACAAUUUUAUGGAGAAUUUAUUCUUAAAACAUAAUAUUUUUUAAGAAUAUAUUGAAGGUGUUUUCUUAAAAUAUUAUAAGAAAUAAUUGAAAAUGUAAAGAAUAUUUUAAAUAUUUUUGCAUUAUACAAUAUUUUCAUGAAAAACAAAUCAAGAAAAUUGCUUUUUCAAUACAAUAUUUUUAAGAACUAUUUUUAUUUAUUUUUUAAAUGUUAUCUAAGAAAACCCUAUACCUAAAAAAAGUCGCCAUAAAGCAUAGAAACAAAACGGAGGCAUAAUACCUCCGGAGGCACUGUAGAAUUUUUCAGCAUAAAAAGGUUGUUGUUAUUCUGAUUUGUUAGGUCAGUCUAGGUAACAAAACCUAAGCUAUCCCUUGUAUAUUUCAUGACAUAAGUUUAAGUAAAGAGGUAUAAUUAGCAAAUGAUCAUUCUCUUCCCCUUACUUCCAUCCUCCUCACUGUCCUAAGAAAAAUUUAGCAUCUUCAACCUUGUACUGCGUGUGCUCUCGGGUCCUAUGGCUUUGUAUCUAAUCCCCAUUUGCAAAACGUUCAGUGCGUGAAGCCUAAGGGUCUGAACAAAAAAUCAUGGUAUAAAAUGUGAACCAACCAAAAGGCUUUAUCCAAUUCUUGUGGCCAUGCAAAGCCCUUCUCUUUCUCUGCCCCACUUUCCACCCACACCUCUCACUCCACCCCCCUCACCUCCUCUCUCUCUCUCACCUCCCACUUCUCCAUGGCCACCGCCGCUGCCACCAAGCUCACGCCCCAUCUCCUCUCUCUCUCCUCCCCCCUCCGUCGCCGGAAACCCCUGCUGCACCACCUCCCUCCGCCGCUGCCCCGGAAUGACCGUUCUUCUGCCUUAACACUGGGACUCUCUAGCCGGAGAAUUACUUGCAAGGCGACGGAAGUGUCGGUGGCGGAGGAGUCGUCGGCUGCGGGCGAUGGCGGGAACUGGGUGCCGGUGGUGCCGCUGUCGGCAUUGCCUAAGGGGGAGCGGCGCGUGAUAAUACAGGACGGAGAGACGAUUCUGUUGUUGUGGUAUAAGGAUCAGGUCUACGCCAUUGAGAAUCGGUCUCCGGCUGAAGGGGCUUAUUCCGAGGGAUUGCUUAAUGCGAAGCUCACCCAGGUUUGAUUUUCAAAUGCCUUUUUAUAAUUGCUACUAUCCAUUUGUUAUGAAUGCAAGUAAGCAAUUUCACUAGUUAAUGUUAUUAAGGGAAGAUGCAAAUUGGUAUUUGAAGAUUGAACAUUUUCCAACUAUGGAAUUAUUUGAUUGAUCCUACAUCAUUGUUGCAAUUAAUGUUAGGAUUGAAAAUAAAAUAGGAAUUUGCAUAGAAGUGUAUCCCACAAAUCAGUAAUCUCACUUCUCUUCGUGUUGAAGUACUAUUGCUGUUGUUGUUGUUGGUUGUGGUAGUGCUGGUAAAUUUAGAGGAGAAAAGUUGUGUAUUGAUGUGGGUAUCCCGAGAAAAGACUUUGGCAUCACUUAUUGGAAGGGUUCCGGAAUGGGUUGAUGGUUAAUGGUAGGAAAAUCAGAAGACAGCUUUUUGAGUUUUGGGUAUGAUUCAGGAAGUGCUAGCAAUGUUUGGAAUAUUUUGGAAUGCAUUGAAUAAUUUGGGCUUUGAUGGUUUCAUGAAAAUUUUAUUUGGAUUUGAGAUUUCUGUUGAUGAGUUGAGAAUUUAGUUCAAUUGAUUGGUGUUGAUAUAUGAGUAGAGAUUUGAGUUGCAGCAAUGAUAAAGCACAGUGGAUAUGGGACACUUACUGUGGUUGUUGUUAUUACUGUUUUUGUUGUUUUUAUUAUUUGUUGUGGGAGUGCUAAAAAAUAUAGAAGACAAAAGGUUGGGAAUUGAUUUGGGUUAUUAUGGGAAAAGAACCCAAGCAGUAUUUGGUAUUCGAGUGAUUGUGAAGGGAUUAGUGGUGAUGCUAGGAAAAUGAGGUGUAUGUUGUUAUUUCUUUAACAUUGGGAGUAUUUCUUGAAUUCAGGAGCAAUUAAUGAUGUUUGGGAUAUUUGGGAAUUUAUGAAGUAUCAUGAAUAGCAUAGAUUUUGUUGCUUUGAUGAGAAGUCUUUUAGAUUCAAGAUGUUUGUUAAUGAUUUGAAAACAUGGUCAAUUGUUUAAUGUUAAUACAUCAGUGGAGAUCGGAAUUGCGACAAUAAUAAAUCAAUGCAUGGAUAUUAGAUGGGUAACUAAUAACUAUCACAUAAAAAGGUUUGGUUGAUAAAGUAGAAACAAAUCUGAAAAAAUUUGUUGUAGUUUUUGUUGUUUAAUCAUUAUGAACUAAGCCUUAUAAAUUCAAAUACUUUUUUCAGUCUAAUUAAAACAUAAUGAAACUGUUGUGCACGACCAAACUGUUGCAGAUGUCUUCUCUUCGUCUUUCUCCAAAUUGGCGAUACCUCCAUACUUCUUAUCGGUCCUUAUUUAAGAAUCUAAAAUAUGUUCUUUUUUCUUUUCUUUUUCUUUUUUAAAUGCUUGUUAUUUAAAAAUUAACAAAAAUUACUCAGAUAUUAAAGAGGAGCUCUAAAGAGACUUCAGUAAAGACAAUUCAUUGUGGAUGCUUUAUGAGCUCUUCUUAAGAUUGUUGCCAAAUGGAGUUUUUCAAAGUGAAUGCGAUGGGUUUUCCUCAAAAUUUUGACAAAUUCAUCAAUUCAUCAAUAGGAUUUGUGAAUUUAGAAAAAUAUGCAGGUCCCUAGAGUCCAAUUAAAAUUAGACGUCAAAUUGUUAUAUAACAAUCUUGGGAACAUAUACAAUGUGGGAGUCACAUAACAGAACCUUGCAAUGGUGAUCAAAGACAGACUGAAAAGUUACCAACCAAACAAGGAAGUGAAAAAGUUCAGGGGCUGACAUCACAAACUGAUGCAUCCGUAGAGAUGCCAACAAUGUUGAUCAUAUCGGACACAAUAACAGUGUCUUUAUCUUGGAGUGAUUUUGAAGGUAUAACGUCCUAAUAAAAUAAAAGAUUGUUGGGUUGAAAUUAUACUAUAACUUACAUUAUGAGUAGUUCUAACUAGAGAGGCAUACAGGUUAUGUGCAAAUUUACUUAUUUUGAUCCUUGUAUCAGAUCAUGUAUUUUGACUAAGCCUGAAAUGUGUUAAAAUUUUUAUUUCACCCUUGCUCACAAUAUGUCUUAAGGAAAAAAAAACAAGAUUACUUUUGGAAGCACAGAAAGGGCAGAUAAAGAACACAUAUAUACCGCUUCUUUGUAUAGUGGAUUAGACUGUGGUUACCCCUCAUGAUAGAACAGGCCUGAGAGAAGUUUCCAUUCAAUAGAAAUGAUCCAGUGAAAUGCUACUAUUACAUGAAGAGAAAUUCUAGUUAAGAGGUUCUAAAUCAAUUUCUAAAGAGAUGGAAGAGGAAACUUUCAAUUCGAUAUAUGUAGGUUCCUUUUUUUUCCCUUUCUUUAUUGAUAGAAUUGCCCAGACACUCACCAGUUCCAGAUCUUCACAUACAUUGGGUUUUUAUGUAAGAGGAAUUGAAAAUGCAAAACCAAUAUGGAAUUUAUAAACCUUAUUUAACCUCCAAAAUCCAUACAAGCAACUUGGAAUUCAAGUAAUAAAUUGACAGCAUGGUAGGAUUAUUCUGCAAACCUAUGCUCGGUACCAGUUAGUUAGGAACUUACGAUACAUUUUGGUGCUGCCAAUUUGAAGGACACCAUAUCCUAACAUUCAUAUAUAAAAUGCACUGCCUAGUGAUAUGAUGAAAAGUAAAACCUGAUGAUGAAUUUCUUUUUUUCCAGGAUGGCUGUAUUGUAUGCCCAACAACUGAUAGCACAUUUGAUCUUCAGACUGGAGAAAUCAAGGAUUGGUAUCCAAAAAACCCUGUGCUCAGAGUUCUCACACCUGCCUUAAGGACGCUCUUCAUUUAUCCUGUGAAAACUGAUGAUAAAAAUAUUUACAUCAGAAUGAGUGGAGGUGUAAGUUCAGAUGCAUCAGCAGAGAUUGUUUUCAGUGGGAAGGCUCAACCUGGUUUAACUGCAACCGAUGUAAAUGUGGAGGAGGUAAUUUUUUCCUUUUGAAGUUUGCCAAAUGAUAAUUCAAACCCGUCACAAACUAGGGAAAAAAAAGUCAAUAUUUUCCAUCUUCUGGUUUUAACCUGUGGUUUCCAACUUGUGUUCCAGGUUAGAAUGAUCGUUGAUGAGGAUCAAGAGGGUUUUGGUUUCACAGGGAAGAAUGAAUUGAUAAAUGGAAAGGCAGCUGUAGUUGGCUUCCUGUUGUUAUUAGAUUUUGAACUCUUGACUGGUAAAGGCAUUCUCAAGGGAACAGGCUUCUUGGACUUUCUUUAUGCUGUUUCAAAUGCAUUCAAGUAGGCCUCAGCUUCCUCUUAGGGAUGAAAAGAAUUUUUCUGAUCCACAUGGAGGUAAUUUCUUUGUGUAGUCGGACAAUACUUAUAUGUUUUAUCUUUUGCAUUUUUUCUUGUUUUACUGUAUAAAUUAUGUUGGUUCUAUAAAUCAACUCAUGUCAAUCAUUGUUUAUGUUUUGAGAAAUAUCUUUCGUCACACAGUCCAAAGUAUUGAUGGUUCAAAUGUUUGGAACCACCACAGGAUGUGUUUAGACAUUUUCACAACUCGUAUUUUGUACUCUACUCUAAGUUGGAUUAUUUAACUUGUAACUGAGAAUUCCUUGCUGGCUGAAAUUCUUAAUUGUUCCCAGUAAUCCUACUUUGUCAAUAUAUUUCUAAGUGCCGAUGACCUACAUUUCUGGACUGGCAAACGUCACUUUCUACAAUGGCCAUGCUGCUCUAUUGUAAGCUUAUUUCCCAACCAUGUUGUGUUGCAUUUCUAGCUGCUCCAAAGCAUAGAAAAAGGUGGGCUGUGAAUCUUGUGAUAGGUGGUGAUUUUCUAACAUACAGUCACACUCCAUGUUGAUGAAUAAAAAGGGUUCAUAUAAACAACCUCAUUAAGUCAGGGUGAAGGCUUUAUUAUAUUUUUGUGCCUGAAAACUUGGUGUGGAUAAUUUUAGGGGUAAUCAUUUUAAUAUGCUCAAAAUUGUGCACUCACACACAAGUAAAUCAAGCUCCAAAGGAAUUCUGGUUUUGAGGGUAUCUUUAUAUGUGCUGUUCUCUGUGCACUCCACAUCCUGGCGUUGCUCAGGCGUGCUUAUAGUAUGUAUACAAGAAAUAAAAUAUCGAUGCAUUGAAUACCACCCAGAGUGUUGUUCUAUGAGUUUAUUCUUUAAUACUGCUUACUUGCUGAAAUGCACAGAAGAUGUGGACCUCUAGAAAUUAGUUGCCACUCUCUUGGUAUGAUGGAAAUUUCUUGAUAAGAGAUGUGCAUUUAUGAUUUAUGCGCUUGUAUGUGUGUGUGUUUUUUCCUUUGUCUUCUUCCACUGUUUUAUUGAUUCAACAGACACUUGAUGCUUAGAUAAGCUGUUAUCUUGAUGUAUUAUCUAAUUCAGAAGCCCUUUGGUAUAUAGUUAUUCUGUGAAUCAAAGAUGAAUAUGCAAAUAUUUGAAUAGUCUUCUAGUGAGGCUUCUCUUGUCUACUGUAGAAUAAAUUUCUCAACUUGGAAUAGGUAUUUUGCCCUUGACCGCUAUACCAGUAUUUCAAAUUUCCCAAUUCCGUUAGAUGCCCGUUAGUCUCUGUAGCCAGAAUAACUUGGAAGCAGUCUUUUGAGGGAACAGCGAUAUCCGACGAUUCUAAAGUUUCAAAGUUCAGAAGCCAGUACACGAGUAUUUGAAUUCUUGAUUCCAUUUCUUGUUGUGACCAAAUGAUUAAGAAGCAUAAUCCUGGGAGAUAAAACGAUCUUUGACAAAUAGAAGUUUGAAUGUUCAAAAUUUGUCUGUUAACUCAAAUCUUGUUUCUCUGCAUCCCAGCAACCUUUGUACACCUUAAAGAUGUUUUGAACUUUGACAUAUAUGUUCAUGUCUCUUUCAACAGUCCUAAAGUCAUGUUCUGUGACUAGUCAUCCCAAGAGUCCCACUCUCCAUGCAUAAGCCAUGGAUAUGAGAAAACCCAUCAAGCCUCUCUACUGAUGAGCUUUGAGUGCAAGCUCUGUAGUUUAUGAAGACCUUGUAUAUAACUCUGAGUGGAUUUCUCAGGCUUAGGUUGAUGUCUUCAUUGUUGGGCACUCAUUAAAGAACUUCAUCACCAAUUUUUUUGGGUGAGUCUCUAGUGAAAAAUGGUUCAUGAUUCAUGGUUCAUGGUUCAUGGUUCAUGGUUCUUCAGUUGCCGUCAUACUAUCCUGGUCUUUGUUAAUAUGUCAUUUUUCCUUACUUGUACUAGUGUUGAAAUCUGGAAAAGUAUGGUGGUUGCAUUACUUUUUACAUGAUUUAUAAGGCAUUCUAAGACUUAGCAAAUGGAAACUUUUGAGGUCAUGUGAAUUAGUAAGCAACCUUUUUAGGUUGAUUUGAAAUCUUUUACUUUCAAAGGUGUCUGGGAGACCACCUUAAUCGUUGAAAAGUAGGAAAAGUAGCUGUUGAUAGUCAAAUCUAACUUUUCAUUUAUGUUUGUUUCUUAAAAGACCACAAAAAAAUAUAAAAAAAUAAAAAAACCUAAAGAAAAUAAUUUUCUUCAUGUUAUGAAAAAAUGUGAGAAAUUGAAAUACUAAUAAAAAUAAAGAUUUUAAUAAUUAAAAUUAAUUAAACAUUUAUAUAUUUUAAAAUUAUUUGAUCUUUAUAUAUAAAAGGAAAAAAAAAAAAAAGGAGUGAAAUAAGGAUGAAGAAAUGUAAAAAAAAAAAAAAAUUAUUAACAUUAAAUUUAUUUUUUUCUUCUUUUUUUUUUUCCUAAUUUUUACCCUCUCAUUUUCUCCCAAUUUUAAAUAUAGCCUAAAAUAUUUUCCUAGAAAGAAAAAUAAAUAUUAAGAGCAUGUUUGGAUUUAGAAAGUUUGAGAGGGAAAAAAAUAGUGAGAAAAAUUACAAGGAAGAAGAUUUAUAAAAUAUUUUAUUUUAUUUGGAUGUUAAAAGGAAAAGUUGAGGGAAAAAAAUAUUAAAAUUAUUAAAGAAUACAAUUUUUAGGUGAGUAUUUAAUUUUGUGCUCAAAAAUUAUUAUAAUUUGUAUUUAUUAAUAACUACAUUGUAUUGUUUACUAGUCAAGCAUACUUCAAAAAAAAUGAUAUUUACAUCAUAAGAUAAGAUACCAAUUUAUGGGAAUUUAAAUUAUUUGCAAAAAUAGUAUAAAAACUUGAAACAAAUAUGCAAAAAAUGUAAAAUAAAUUUAAAAAUGAUUAAUAUUAAUGUACUAAAAUGUUAAUUAAAUCUUCAUUACUUUAAUUUAAAAAAGAACACAUAUUUCUUAUACAUCUAAAUAUUUUCAUAUUACAAAAAUAUUUAUUAAAUGAUAUAUACAUAGUUUUUCAGAUCAAAUACAUAAACAUAUAUGUUUUGAUAUUGGUUUGUUAAUAGUCAAUCCAUGAUUUUUGAAAUGAAUAUAUAUAUAUAUUUGGUAAAUCUAGACCCGUAUUUUCACAUGCGUUCUCAUUCAAUAAUGAGACUUAAUCUUAGUAAAUGAACCAAUUUUAAGGGUAAUAAUGAGAUAAAAUAAAUAAAAUCCCGAUCAUAUAGAUGCUUAUUUAAAUUUAAUAAUAGGCUUGAACUCAAAAAAUACUAUUAUUAAGCUUUAUUCUAGGGUUGACUAAUAUUUUUAAAAAAUUAGAAAAAAAAAAUGGAAACCCCCUCAAAAAAAAAAACCUCAGAUUUGGGUCAUACAUAUUCAACAUUGGUAUAAAAAAUAAUAAUAAUAAUAAUAAUUAAAAAAUUGGAAAAAUUUAGGAUUCUAAGAGAAGCAUCCCCAACCCCAUAUCAUUUUUCAACUGGUGAAUUGAGUGUGACAAAGAUUGCUUAAAAAUAAAUAAAUAAAUAAAUAAAAUUAGAGGUUGAAAUGUCCAUUAUAGCCUUGGUGAGUGUUUUUUUUUUUGAAAAAAAAAAAUAGACAAAAAGUUAUUUCCUGUGGGAAGAGGAUAUUAUUAUAUUGAAAUAUUUUUCCUUUAAAAAAAAAAAAAAACCUAUCUUUUAGAUUUGAGGCCACUGUUGACAUGAUAGCCUAUAAUGGAAAAGUUGAGGGGCAUAGAAGCCAUGAAAAUGGAUGGUCAAUUGACCACUCUGAAUUUCCAUUGUGAUUCAUGACAUCAUGCAUGACCUAAAUUUAGAUAUUUCUAAUGUAAAGUUAAAUUUGACCCAUUACAAGAUAAUACAAAUAUAUAAAUUUUAGGUAAAAAAAAAGGUUUAAAGAAUAAAAAUAUAAAGUUUAGAUAAUAAUAAUAAUAAUAAUAAUAAUAAUAUAUGAAUGAAUGAAUUCUUUGUCACAAUAUAUGUAUAUUUUCAUAAACCAAAUAUGUACACAAAAAUUUCAAGACAAAUUCCCAUAUGAUCAUCAGUAAGUGUGUCCAAAGAAGAAAAUUGAAAAAAGGAAAAAAAAAAAAAUGACAAAAUUGAACUUUUUUUUAAUGGUUGAUUAAUAUUUUCCAACUACAAGCAUUCCCAUUUCACUAUCAAACUUUUUAAGUAACCAAUAAAAAUAAACUAACUUUAGGGCCACAAGCAAGCCUUCCCACGUCAUCAUCAAUUGGUCAAUUUAUAGUAUAAAAAAAGAUUGAGUCCACUAGAGAAAAGGGAACAAAAAUUUAAGUUUCAAGUGCAAUCAAUAUUGUCACAAUGCAACUAUUGUAUGGUCAACUUAGUCCAUAGACCACGUUUUAGAUUUUUUUUUUUUUUUAAUAUAUGAUAAUUACAACAAAAAUUGACAAGCAUGUUUUUAUAUGGGUUGGUUUUAUUGUGGGAAUCUACACCCACUUACAAUUUAUUAUGAUGCUGUAAUGAUUUGGAAAAGCAUUUUGUUUUUCAAAAAUGCUUUUUUUGGUAAUGGUAGAGUUCAAUGAUAGUGACCCCUCUUCAUUACCCAUGUUUUCGUAUUAACAAAUUUAAAAUAAUUCAAUAUGCAACAAUCCAUGCCAAAUAUAUUAUAUACUUUAAGGUAAAACAGACUCUCAUAGUUUUAAAAUGUGCUUACAAAAUUAAGAUAAGUAUAAUCCAAAUAACUUUCUCUCAUAUUUGAUAUAAAAUAUUACAAACACCAUAUCAACACAAUGUCCUCGUUGUAUCUCAUAAGAUUGUGAAGUCAAAUAAACAAAUAUAUUGUUUCCUUAUAUUGGGAUCGAUAAUCAAUUCUAAUACUAUUUUGUAACGACUUAUAUUUAAUUGUGUAAAUAUUGUUUGUUAUAAGCUCAAAUAAGUCUAAUGUGUUUACAAAAUUAAGAGAAACUUAUACAUAUAUAAUCUUAAUAACUUUAUCUCAUAUUCGAUUUGAGUAUCAGGUGAUAGCUAUUAACACAAACUUUUUUUUUUAAAAAAAAAAAAAUUAUAUUGAUUUUACUUUGACUCAAAGUUGGAAUAAUUUACAAAACAAAAACAUAUGAAGCAUUUUUAAUUUAAUAUGUAAAAUAAAUUUUUGGUUCCAAUUUAUUUAUUAUCCUACAAUAGAUUAAAGGGAAAACUUUGGGUAAUAUUUGGAUAUACAUUCUAUUUUUUAUUUAUUUUUUAAAUAAUUUUUUGUACAAAAUAUAAAAAUUAUGAGAAAAUAAAAAUAUUUAAUAAAUUUUAAAAAUUUACAAAGCGUUCUCAAGUUUUGUAUAAAAAAUUUAUAUUUUAUAUAAGAUUUUUUUUUUAUUUUUAAAAUAAAAAAUACAUGGAAACAUGUCCUUAAUUUCUUUCUUUCUAAUAUCAUAAUAAAGUAUAUAAAAUAAAUUAUUUUUUAAUUUAAUUUUGAUUAUAAUAAUUUAAUAAUUAAUCUUAAUUAAUUACUCUUAAAUCCCUUCUCUUUAAAAUUAUUGACUUGAUCCUCCAAGGCCAUGAAAGGGUGGUCAAAUAUGGUAGGUACAUAAACCAUCUGGAAUUUUUAUCCUUUGAGAUUGACCCUUGAAGAUGCACUUUGGGCACGUGACAUCAAGCAUUGUCUAAUCAUCAUCAUCUACCUUUUACACUCCAUGACGCUCUUCUCCGUUAAUUGAACACUAUUUUUUUAUUCACCAUUUUUUCUCAAAAUUUGUACUAUAUUUUCAUGCCAAUAAAUUUGAUCAUUUUUUUUAUUUUUAGAAUAUUAUUUAUAUAAUCACAAUUUAAAAUUAAUUUAUUUAUAUGGUAUAGAAUAUCACUAUAUAAACCUCAACCCCGACUGGUGAUUUUUUUUAGGCUGUGUUUGGUUUUUAAAAAGUAUUAAGAAAAAAAAUAUUUUUAAAAUUUUUGGUUCCAUUAUGAAAAAUAAAAAAAUCAAAUAUAAUUAAAAUUUGUCAAAAUUUAUAUAUUUUUAAAUUAUUUAAUAUUUAUAUAAUAGAGAGAAAUAAAUCAUAUGAAUUUAAAGAAAUAAAAAAAAUAAUUUAAAUCUAUUUUUUAUUUUUUAUCUAUUUUUUUAUAUUUUCUUUUCUUCAUAUUUUCUCUCAAAUUUUUUUAAACCAUACCUAGCCUAAAUAUGUUUAAAUAAUAUAAUAUUUUAUGUAACAUAUAUAAUUUACUAUAUGAUCUAAUUAAUAUAAGAAGCAAUUAGCAAAAAUUAAUGAAAUUUGGCAUAAAAACACAAGUGCAAAAUUAAAUAUAUAUUUUUUUAACCACAAUGCACGUGGGAAAUUCCACACCCUUUCAACACGUAUUGAACCCAAGAUUUCCAAAACGUGAACAUUUCCACAACUUGUCCAUAUCUCCCAUAUCCACCGUCUACUCUUCUUUAAGAUUAUUACUAGAAACCCACCACCCUCCCUUACUUUGACCUUUGAAAAUCUUGACUUUCCUCCUCACUCACAAAUCAUAAUAUCCCUUUCAACAGUCAACCCUUUCUACAUUAUUAUAUUCACCAUAAAACCCCAAACCCCACUUGAACCCUUUUGACUUUUUCCAUCUUCAACCUUUAUAAAUAACCACCUUCCUCCCACCUUUCGCACCAUCACCUUGAUAAUUUUUCUUCCAGAAUGAGUAGCUCAGAGGAGUUCGGAAGCUCAAGCUCACCCGUCAAGAAGAAGUUCCGGGGCGUUCGCCAGCGAAAAUGGGGGAAGUGGGUGUCAGAGAUCAGGGUCCCGGGCACGCAGGACCGCCUCUGGCUCGGCUCCUACGCCACCGCCGAGGCGGCCGCGGUGGCCCACGAUAUCGCAUCGUAUUGCCUGCGUGGGGGCACGUCCUUGGACGGGCUUAACUUUCCUCACGUGAUAAGUUCCAAGGUGAGGACUGAUCUGUCCCCCAGGUCGGUGCAGAAGGCUGCGUCCGACGCUGGGCUGGCGAUUGAUGCUCAGUUUGCGAUCCAAAAGUCAUCGGAGGAUGGCGCCGGAGGCUGCAGUAGAGCGCAGGGUGGGGAUCAGAUGGAGGUUUGGGGGAAUGCGGAUGAUAAUUAUGGAGCUUCACGGCAGGGGAGUGAGUUCAGAGGAGAAGAGGCAUUGAGCAUCUCCAUUGAUGAUUACCUCUAAAAUCCUACCAAUAAUAAGAAUGUACAUAUAAUAUCCCGAGAAAAUUUUAUCCGAUCGGUUUUAUUUGGAUAGAGAGUGGUAUAUUUUGUAAUUUUUUUAAAAAAAUAGCAUAUUAGUUUGUAAUACAAAAGUCAUGGAAAUGAAAACGGGAUGAUGUUUUCACACCCUGUGUGUUCUUGUUGUCUUUUGAUGGAAGCAAACGGCUAGUAUUUCGUUCAAAUUUUCUCCUCCCGUCCAGCGAAUCGUAUAAUGCCAUGUGGAUUGUUCAAGGGUAUUUUCGUUAUUUCAUUGUGGUAAGGAGACCACGUGAAUUACUAUUGUAGCCUGCUUCGGGUGGACAAUGGUAUGUUAUGUCUUCACACCAUGUGCGCUCAUGGUGUCUUUUGGUGGAAGCAAACGGCUACUGUUUCGUUCAAAUUUUCUCCCCCGUCCAGCGAAUCGUAUAAUGCCAUGUCGACGGUCAAGGGUAUUUUCGUUAUUUCAGAGUGGUCAGGAGAGCACGUGAAUUACUAUUGCAGCCCUGCUGCUGGUGGAGAGUUACAUCACCGUCCUCGCCGCGUCAAAGUCAAAGUCACUGACUGGUCCCCUUGACCAACUUAUAAUUUUUUAUGUAUCACACAAAUCCAUUCAUGAUUCAUCUUUAGCUGUAUUUUGAAUCACUUUUUGACGACUUCUUCUCAUUUCGAAUCCACAAUUAUUAUUGACUUUUUCCUUUUUAUUUUUUCUCAAUAUUCAAAUUAAUUUUUCAAUUUUGACAGUAGGGCUCCCACUUGAUCUCAAAUUGAAUAUUCCAAUCAUUUGAACAUAAUUUUAUUUCUAGCGUCUAUAAGGUUUUUUUUUUUUUAAGUCAUAUUUAAUUUUUAAAAAUAAAAAAUAAAAUUUAUUAAAGAUGGUGGAUAAAACUUAAUAUUUAUUAUUUAAUAAUUUAAAUUAAUAUUAAAUUAAAUUAAAAUAUAAUUAAAUUAUUAACUUAAAACUUAUUAUUUAAUUCUUAUUUUAAAUAUUAAAAUUAUUUAAUAAAAUUAAUUUAAAAUUUAUUUUAAACUAUCAAAUUUAUAUAUUUAUUCUUAUAAUUUAAAAUUGUUUCUAAUUUUAAGUCAUACCAUUAAAUUAUUUUAUUAAAUAUAUUUAAUUUAUUUAAUAAUUUAAAUUAAAUUAUUAAGUUACUUUAAUUUACUAAUUUGGUUUACCAAACAUUCACUACCAGUUGACUUUAAAUAUAAGAAUGGAAUUGAACAAAAUUGAUAAAUAAAUGGAUAAUUAGGUAAUAUUUCAAUGAGUAACCAAAAUCGUAAAAUUAAAAACCAGUCAAUUAUCACGGGAAAGUAUCUGUUUGGCUACUGAGAAAAUUUUCCAAAGUGGGUAUUAGCUAGACUCUUUGAAAACUUCAAAAGUUAGGGGAGUCGAUCAAGACAUGCAUUGAUGCCAUGUGAACAUUCAAUACCCAUCAACAUUAAUUAAUCUUCAACUAAUCUUAUAUACAAAAUUAAUGCAUUUAGAAGAUUAAAUGUGAAAGUUUGAUUGAAAGUUGAGGAUGUGAAAUUAAUGAAUGCACAUGAUAUUGUCGGUAGAUAAAAUAUAGUAAUUGAAAAUGACAUGUCGGUUUGGUCACAUUACUAAGUUUAGUUGAUUAAUUUAAUUAUCAUUUAUUUUUGUGGUUGAAACCUUUAGAUAAUGAUUUGUAUCAUAUCCAUAUUAAAUUUAUUUCAAUUAUAUAGGUACAAAAUCUAUCUGUCCUCAAGUCCUGCCCAAGAAAAUAAACUCCACCCACCAUUUAUUUUUUCUUUUAAUUUAUUAAUUACAAAGUUUUUUUAAAAAAAAUUUGAAACCAUCUCCUCUUCAACCCUCACCCAUAUCUCCAAAAACCUUAAACCCAUCCUAAAUCCUAAUUUUAAUCUCUAAAGUUAAAUUCUUCCUCUCCCUCUCCCUCUCCCCAUUUUUUUUUUUCUUCUUUCUCUUUUAUUCAUCCCAUCUUCUUUUCCACUUUAAGAUAGCAAAAUAAUAAUAGUGAAUAAUAAAUAAAAUAAAAAGGGGAAGUGCCAUGACCUUACAUCAUGUUGCUCCAAUUGCAGCAGCAAAUGGCCAUGGCCAAAUGAGAUUGGGAGAGGGGGGAAAGGGAAGUAGAAUAAGAGAUUAGAAUUAGGGCUUUUGCAUGCAUGUUGUAGGCAUAAAGGUUGAUGAAGAGGUGCAAUUUUCCUCCUGAUCACAUGCCUUGUACUAUUUCAAAUCGAAAAUAAAAAAUGGGUAUAUCUAUUUGGACAAAGCCUGGUCCAAAUAGAAUGGCUAAGUUAUUAUUCCUCAUUCCUCAAACUCUUCACUAGACAUUAUUCAAUUCCCAAGAGAGGCCAACCCAAAUGUUUGUACACCCCAUUCAUCACAGUUUGAGAUCAUAACAAAUAUCCCACAUGACCUGUGAAUUAAACCAAACACAUCAACCACAACACAAAACAUAGAGAAAAUUAAAUGUCCCAAGAAAAUCCCAUCUUCACUACUCCAUUUUCUGCUGAUGCUGUUGAGGAUUGUGUUGGGGAAAUGUAAAAGGACCACCUGUGAGGAGCUUUGGAGGAGGAAUUGAUUCCAGAAGAGGCCUUCCAGUACCGAUGAGGGAGGUGGACCGUCUAGCUCCAUUCGUUGAGAGCAGCAGCCUGAAUGUCCACCCAAGAACAUUAGGUGCAAACACCCUGUAAAGGAGGAAGAUAUCAUACCAGCUCGGGUACUUCACGUAUGCAUCUCCACGACAGGCCCCCGCCACCAUCAACCUUGCAAACUCCUCCACCGGUCCACCGGUCACCUGUACCUAACACGAAAAAGGCAGUAGUGAUAAGCAUGCAAAGCUUUCAUGGCAAUUAAUCACACUGUUGUAGUAGUAUGUGAGGAGGACAAUGAAUACUCUCAAAAAUAUUUAUAUACAUCAACCUGCAUAGAUGAAUUUUGAGUUGAUUGGAUGAUUUUCUAUGUGAGUUUUGGUGUAUUAGCAAAAAUAUAGAACAAUGAGACAUGCCAUGUGAAAUUAUUACCCGGGUUUUUGAAAAUAUUCAGUUGGCGCUAAGUAUGCAUUCAUAGUAUAUUUCACAAGGUUAACUAUACAUGAUCUGGGUCUCAAUGAUUUCAUAAGAAUUACAUGCCAUUGCUGGUAAGACUUGAGAAGUGAUUAGGGUUUUCGAUCGGGCUAGAGAAAGAUAAAAAUUGUAUGCCAUGUAUUAGAGUAUGUAUGUUUCAAAGCAAGUUCAAGGAGGAAUACCUACUAAUGCAGUUAGCCUAUCUUUGGUAUAGCAUUUUUCUAAUUAAUUUUCUUUGCUUUUCCUCUGUUUUCUAGGCAUAUAAAGAAAAACAAGAGUGAUGAAAAAAUAGGGAAUCAUGGACUGGCAUAAAAAGUGGUAGAUAUCAAAGAAAAAGACUUACUUCCCUUUCUUCCUUCCACUGCAUCUCAGCACCAUCCUCCAACAUGAAUUUCCCUCUAGUCAUGUCACUCCCUAUCCAACCAUGUGUUGCAAUGGUAAUUCCAACCUCUUUCGCUUCGAAUCUCAACGUCUCAUAGAAGUUUAUCAAAGCCGCCUUCGCAGCCUAGUUCACAUUCAGAAAUAUAUAUUGCAAUAACAAUUAGAAACCACUAAAUUUUUGUUUGCUUACUAAGAAAAAGUGCCCUCAGCCAAGAUUAAAAAACUAAGCAUGAAAAUCAACUCAUCCAAUGGAUGUAUACUUACUGCAUAUAAACUCAUUCUUGGCAGAGGCAACCAGUUCUCCACCGAUGCGUUAACAAUGACUCGGCCAUUGCUCUGUCGUAGGAAAGGCAAAGCGACGUACGUUGGAUAAACAUUUCCCCAAAAAUUUAUGUCCUACAAAUAUACAUGAGCAAAACAGACAUAAAAGAGAAUCAAAUUAGAACAAUUCAAGGCAACUUUCUGCAAUAUAUUGGAGUUCUAAACCAGCAUUUAGUCCUUACCAUCAAAGGGGGAAACACGGAUGUGUCUAUAGCUUCCUCAAAGUAGAAGGUGUGCCCCAAACUUGCCGUGUUCACUAGAUGAUCCACUGCAGAAUUAAACACAAAAACAAUUACAAUCCAGGCACAAAAUCCUAUAAAGACCAUACUUAUAAUCUCAAUUCGAUCAUGAAGUAUUGUUUAAGUCAUCAAUGCAUAUCAGAAUAACUUAUCAAAUGAAUGGUGCCAGUACUGCAAUUGUCGAAUUCAUAGAUAUCAGCAUUGACACCAUUGGAGAUGAAGUAUGUGAGGAUGAGACUAACCGCGGCCAUAGUAAUUGACGGUUUCGGUGACGAAUCGCCUACAAUCAUCUAGCUUAACGACAUCUGCAGCCAUGAUCAUAACAUGUUUCGCCCCUAGCUGCCUUGCAUUCUCACCAAUUCCUAGUAGCCUGUUCUCUCUCCUCGCAACCAACACAAGUUUCGCCCCCUUCUUUGCAUACUCAUAUGCAACUUGCUGAGAAUAUUACAAACACAAAUUUCAUCACAUACAUGGGGUUUUGUGAUCUGAACAUAACUGAUAUCAGCUCACAUGAAUCAACGUAUUGGGAGGUGGGUGUUUGCAGGUUAAUUUACAGAUAUUUCUUGUUUUGUUGCCAAUUUUGUUUGCUGGUGGUUUGAUAAGCUCUCAAAAAUGCUAUUUUAGUUGAAGUAUUUGAUGUUUUUCAGUGGUUUGAGUGUCUUAAACUCACCUCUUACACCAGAAAUUUGAUCAUCAUCUCAACUAUUCAAUUUUGUAUCUAAUUCAAGUGGCCAAUGAUGCAGCCUAAAACUAGUUGUAUCCAUCAAUAGUCAGACCCUAAUUUCAUCAUUUUGAAAAUCCAUAAACAUGAUAUAUAUAUAUAUAUAUAUAUAUAUAUAUAUAUAUAUAUAUAUAUAUAUAAGAAUUCAUCACAAGAAAAUGCCUUGAUUUCCACAAAAUCAGAAGUCAUUGACAUGAUGAAUGUGUUCCAGAAACAAAUCAUUUUCAUAUACUACAACACCCAAAAGAAAAAAAUUGGAGACAAAAAGGGCAAUUAAUUAAAGAGGAGUGAUCAGUACCUCUCCAAUCCCAGAAGAAGCACCAGUGAUGAUAACUACUUUGUCCUCCAUGUUUUCACUGUAAAGGGUGUUGUAAACCCACUCACAGGCAUUGAUGAAGGACAAGGCAGGCCAUGCAAAUGCCAGCAUCACCAAGCUCGCUGGAGGCACCACCAGAUUCAACAGAGAGUUGAUCAGAUCCAUCUCUAGUAAGAAGAAUGAAGGGCCUGCAGGAGGGUGGGUGGGUGAGUGGGUGGAGUAGUGAAAAUGUGAAUGUAACAGAAGAGAGAUCUAUAGAGAGAGAGAGAGAGAGAGGAAAGGGGCUCUGGAUUUGGCCUGUAGUGCUGAAACAUCAACAGACCAUGGGCUCAUGCAGUGGGUGAAGAGACCACGUGUAGGCUUGGAGGCUUAGUUUUGUGACGGAUGGAGGUGGUUUUGGAAGGUCUUGCAUCCAGACGUGAGCAGUGUUUGAAGCUUUGUGAUCAACUGACGAUAACCCCAUUUGAGAUAUACUUUGCUUUUGGUCUCUUAUCCAUUAAUGCUUGUGGGGUCUGCUUUGAAUUUUGUCAUUUCACAUUUGAAUGAAGGCUCAGCACACAAAGGGAUGAAAGCUUCUUGUUGGUGGGGUGAUUUUAAUUCACUGUAAUUUUUUUUUUCCUUUUUUUUUUCCCUUACAUUUUCCCUUUUAUUUUCUUUCCUUUUUUGCUUUCUUUCACACUUUAUAGAAUCCAAAUACACAAACAUUUAAGAUAUGGUAAUAGAUUUUCAUGCUUUAAUGAUUUUAUCUCAUGCUCUUUAAUUUCCUUUAUGAAAACUAUAGGGUAUUGGUUUGCCCACUAUGGAUGUUACAAUCUCAACUAUUGAAAAGGUUGUACUAAAGUCUAGGCCAUUGUGUUGCCCAAGGUUUUUCCUAAGGCAAUUACUCAAAAGCCUUGAUGAUAACAAAACAUUGAAUUCAAAUUCAAUGAUUUCAAUGAAACCCUUUAAAAAAAAGUGAUCUUAAAGGGCUUGAAAUCAAGAAGACCAUACAUGAAAUAUCAAGAUAUCAAGAUGGGGUUAUAUUUUAGUUUAAAUUUAAAAUUAAUGUCAUGUAAAACUAGGAAAAGGUGCUAUCAAUAAUAGGUAAAUCCUUCAAACUUUUCCAUGGCACUCAAAUUAUAUAUCAAAGAUAGAUUUAAAUUAUGUUUUUCAUUAAAACAUCAUUUUGAAAGAUUCCAUUGUAAAAUAUUUUUGAAAACCAAAAAAUCUCUAUAAAUGUCGUUCAAUUUAAAAAGGUUUUCAAAUAUAUGCAAUAUCAAGUGUGUUAAUGUUCAACAUUAUAAAUUUGUUUAAAGGAUCAAAAUUUAAGCAAAUGAGAAAUUGGACCUUGGGGUUGCUGAUCAAUUGAUGACUUUAUUGACUGAUUACUCGAUGUGGCUAAUGGUGCCCCUGAAUGCUUAAAAAAUGCACUCAUCUAAUGGUAAGUUGUCUUGAGUAAAUCAACUCAAUUGCAUGGUUAACUUAUUGUGCCUUCCUGCUUCUUGAUGAUCACAUACACGUAGUGCAUUAAAUGCAUAACAACUAACUCCCUAAUAAAUCAACCAAGUGUUUGAUUGAAACUUUAGGAAAUUUGUUUCUAACGGCUAAUUGACUUUUAUUUCAUAUAAAAAGGUCUCUUAAGUCACACAUGUGUUCUUCCACGGACCUAGCAUUCAAUUAUACUUAUUAUAAGAAUCGACAAACAAUUAUAGAGUGUUGAUGUCUCACGUCUUAGGUGAUCCAGGUAGUUGACAGAUGGAUAGACGCGUGAUCUCAACUCAUAAAGGUUCUUGAUCCAGUCGUCAUUCCUGCAAGAAGGCAUCCGGACAGGGUGUCCGGACGCCCCCUCCGAUGAUAUUGUUAGUCAUGGUAAGAGAGAGAUAUAAAUCAGUUGGCCUUUUACUAGGUAUCAAGAGGUUACCAAGGGAUCCCCUUCUUCUUCGUGCGAAGGCAUAUAUAUACAGCUUCAGGGGUACUGUUCCUUUCAUUAAUGGUGAGGAGAUAUUUUAUGUUGUGAUGAUGAUAAUAGGUGUCAGUAGGAGUAUUAUCACCCUACGAAUGGCUGUCAGAGACCAUGGUAGGUGAUGCGGCUGUCAGAGAUCGUGGGAAGUGAUUAUGUAGAAUGAUCGUGGGAAGUGACUUGCUGUCACUUCCUCUUGUCUUCUCAUUCUGCAGGUGAUGGGAUGUGGGCCAUAGCUGGCUGUCGUGAUAGCGUGUAAGACUUGCUUUACUUUGAUUGAUGAUCCGGAUGAUUAUAUCCGGGUGGCACAUGCUUAUUGCCCGGAUGUAUUGUGGAGCAGAUGCACUAUGAAGGUUGUCCGGAUGUCUGUGCUUUGCCAGCGACGUUUGCUCUUCCUUGGAUAGGAGAAGUUGAAACGUCUUUUGCCUUUCCUUGAGGUGAUCCGGAUAGGAGAACUGCCUUAUGCAUAUCUUUAGGGGAAUCCGGAUGGUGGUGGUUCGGAUGAUGAUGCGUGCCACGUGUCACUGUGAGGUGCGUGCCACGUGUUUCCCAGAGGGAGGGGUCCCUACAUAGAGUGCAUUUAUUUCAAAACUUGCAAAUAUUUUAUUGCAACUUGAAAUCCUAGCCAUGAUUUUCAUUAUACUUAAAACUAUUGAAGUGCAAAGUUUUGUAAAAUCACCUUCCUGUGAACUCAUUUUUGUAUCAUCUAGGUCUUAGUGAGAGAAUGUGAAAGGAGUUGAGGGAUACUCAUUGGAGCAUUAUAAAAGUCUGUUAGAAUAUAGAAAAUCCAGGUGUUAAAAAAAAAAUGCUUUGGUUGAAAGAGUUCUUAAAACAUAGUGGAUUACCUCUUUGCUUGACAUUAAGUAAAGGAAGUUGAUGUAGAUGGUUAAUGGAACUACCAUAAGUUCUAUUUGCAACUUAUUCUCCCUUCUAUCUUCAUUUAUUACUCGCUUUACAUAUUGCAUUGCUAUCGUCUUAUUUACUAAUUGAAAAUUAAUGAAAGUUUUCAAAAAUUAAUCGACACCUAAUUCACCCCCUCUUGGGUGUUUUUCUAAGUUAGAUUAGCUUGUCUCCACGCUUAGAUAAAAGUACAAAUAUAUAGAAUCAUGUUAUAAAUAAAUUAAUAAAACUAAAAUACAAACUAAUGUGACUAUGGUACAAAACAAUGGAUGCAAGUUGGGUAUAUAGUAUUGAAACCAAAUUAUCUGCAUAUCAUAUUGUGAUUGAUCCUACUUUUUGGUACAUACCAACUUAGUAUUGUAAUAGGACUCUUUCCUUUAUUUUGUUUAUUAAAUAAAAAUAUGUAAAAAUAUAUAUAAUGAAAAAGAUACAUUUCCCUUUUAAGGAAAAAAUAUAUUUGAUUAAGGAAAGAUUAGUAUUAUUGUUAUUAUUAUUAUUUUAUAUUUUGAAAAUAUUUAAUUAAGAGAUCUAUAGAUAGAGGAGAGAGAGACAAAAACAAAACAAAACAAAAAAACCAAAAGAGGAAAAUCAUUUUGUACAUUUGAGUUCCUUUUAUCCCCUUUUUCUUUUUAGAUCACACAUAAGGGAGAAAAUUAUACACUACUGUUAUCAGAGGGAACCCAAAGAGCCACCUUGAGCUCAUUAUUGUUGUCUUCUUUACUCAUUUUUACCCCUUUUUUUUUGUUGAAAUACCCAUUAUUAUAAUCAUCAAAAAUAAAUUUUUAGCAUCAUGGAUUAAUUAGGACUUUAACUUAACAUAAUUCUUUACUUUAUAGUUGAAUCCUAACUCAAUAUAGUUUUAAGGGUAAACACAAUCUUGAGCUAACAUAUAUAUUUUGAAAGGCAAACACAUUUUCAAAGAUAAAUGCAAACCUUAGGCCAAUAGAAUACCAAAGACACAUAAUCUCUCGAGCUAAUACAAUCACGAGGGGUGAUUGGCAUCAUUUGCAAACCUAAUAGUUCUUCCUUCGAUAUGAUAUUUUGUGACUUAAACACUUAACCUGGUUUUGAAGUUGAUUGUAUAAAAGAGUAAGUUUGUACUUGUGUUUGCCAAUGAAUCAUAUUAGCCGAAGAUUGUAUUUACGCUUGAAACUAUGGUGAUCAUCAAGAGUGAAACUAUAGUGAUCAUCAUUUCUUGGGAGUAGUAUUAUUAUAAGCCUUACACCUAUUGAACACUUUGCAUAAAAUUUAAUAACAAAAUAACAUGAUAUUUAGUUUUUUAAUCGAUGUUUGUGCAUUUAACCCUUUUUAAAAUUUUUUAUCAAAUUUAAAAUUAAAAAGUAAAAAAUAAGUUCUGAAACAUGUUUGAUAAACUUUUUUUUUUCAAAAUUAAAAUUUUAAAACAAAAUUUGAAAAAUUAUAAUGAUUUUUUACAUUCAUAUUUGACAAGAGUAGGUUUGGAUUAUAUAACCUAACAUAAAUGCAUUUAAUUUUAUUAAAAUAAACAUUAUAUUCAUAUGAUCAGUUUUUAUUUUUAUCUUUUUUAAUGCUCCAAACAUGUCCUUCCAUUACCAAGGUUGUGAUGUUUUUACUGCCCACUUUAUAGAUUGUCAUUUUGAUGAAAAUGUUUUCCUGCCGUUAGGGGGAGACAAGCCAAAAGAAUGGCUAGACAUUACAUGGUAUGUACCCUCCUUGUCUCAUCUUGAUCCUUGCACAAGACAAUGUGAAUUAGAAGUUCAAAGGAUUGUUCAUUUGCAAGGACUUGCAAAUCAAUUACCUGAUGUUUUCACAGAUAUAAAGAAAGUAACAAAGUCACACGUGCCAGUUGUGAAUGCCUCAACACGUAUUGAUGUCCCUGAAGGACAAUUGGAGAAUGUCAUAGCAAAUGAAUCAAAGACACGCUUGAAGCAUGGAAGACCUAUUGGCUCAAAGGAUUUAAUUCCUAGAAAAAGAAAAGGUACAACAUAUGAAAAACUUAGUACUGAUCCUGAAGAGUUCACAAAUAUGAAAGGGUCAAAUGAUGAAACCCAACUUGACAAACAGUUAGCUCCUGAAGAAGCACAAAUUGAUCAAAUACCGAUAUCUAGAAUUGAAGAGAUCUCAAUGAGUCACACGGGAGAAACCAAGGACCGUGGUGACAUUAUCAUAGAUAAUAUAUUCGCAUUCCAAGUGGCUAUGGACAUCAUGAGAAAUGAUGAAUAUCAAGAACCACAAACUAUGAAUGAAUGUCGAAAAAUGAAAGAUUGGCCAAAAUGGAAAGAAGCAAUCCAAAUAGAGCUAAACUCGUUAACAAAAUGAGAGGUAUUUGGACCUAUAGUUCAAACACCUAGAAACAUAAAGCAUGUUGGAUAUAAAUGGGUCUUUGUGAAAAAACGAAAUGAGAAUGAUGAAAUCAUAAGAUAUAAAACACGACUUGUUGCUCAAGGCUUCUCUCAAAGACCUGGUAUAGACUAUGAGGAAACUUAUUCCCCCAUAAUGGAUGCAAUCACAUUUCGAUACUUGAUAAGUUUAACAGUCUCUGAAGGACUAGAUAAGCAUCUUAUGGAUGUUGUUACAGCCUAUUUAUAUGAGUCUAUAGAUACUGACAUAUAUAUGAAAAUCCCUGAAGGAUUCAAAUUGCCUGAAACAACUAAUCCAAAGCCCUGAAACAUGUACUCAAUCAAACUACAAAGGUCUUUGUACGGAUUAAAGCAAUCUGGACGUAUGUGGUAUAAUCAUUUGAGUGAGUAUUUGUUAAAAGAAGGAUAUGUAAAUAAUUCAAUUUGCCCAUGUGUUUUUAUCAAGAAAUCAAAAUUUGGGCUUACAGUAAUUGCAAUAUAUGUAGAUGAUUUAAACCUUAUAGGAACUCCUGAAGAGCUCACAAAAGCAGCCAAUUAUUUAAAGAAGGAAUUUGACAUGAAAGACUUGGGGAAAAAAAGACAUUGCCUCGGCCUGCAAGUCGAGUAUUAUUCAAAUGGCAUAUUAGUCCAUCAAUCGACAUAUAUAGAGAAAGUAUUAAAACGAUUUUAUAUGGAAAAAUCACAUCCAAUCAAUUCCCCUAUGGUUGUUCGUUCACUUGAAAUGAACAAAGACCCAUUUCGUCCUAAAGAAGAAAAUGAAGAAUCGUUUGGUCUAAAAGUACCAUAUCUCAGUGCAAUCGGUGCACUAAUGUAUUUUGCAAAUUGUAUUAGAUCAGACAUAGCAUUCUCUGUCAACUUACUAGCAAGAUACAGUUCUGCCCCAACUAAAAGGCAUUGGAAUGGGGUUAAACAUAUAUUGCGAUACCUUCGUGGAACAAGUGACAUGGGUUUAUAUUAUUCAAAAGAAUCAAAAUCACAAUUGGGUAUGUAGAUGCAGGAUAUCUUUCAGAUCUUCAUAAAGCUCGAUCUCAAACGGGAUAUGUCUUUACUUAUGGUAGAACGACAAUAUCUUGGAGAUCAGUCAAGCAAACAAUGGUAACCAUAUCUUCAAACCAUUCAGAAAUUCUUGCAAUUCACGAAGCAAGCCGUGAAUGUGUAUGACUAAGGUCAAUAAUCCAACAUAUACAAGAAACAUGUGGACUACCUUCUAUUAGAGGCAAUGCAACCGUGUUACAUGAAGAUAAUGUUGCUUGUAUUGCACAAAUUAAAGGAGGAUUCAUAAAAGGUGACAGAACUAAGCAUAUUUCCCCUAAAUUCUUCUAUACUCAUGAGCUCCAAAAGAAAUGUGAGAUUGAUGUUCAACAAAUUCGGUCAUGCAAUAAUCUAGCAGAUCUAUUCACAAAGGCGUUACCUUCCACCACAUUGAAAAAGUUAAGGUAUAACAUUGGAAUGCGAAGAUUGAGAGAUCUACCAUUUGAAAUGUUGGAGAAAUCAUAAUCAUAUUUACCUGAGAGAGAGAAUGAUAAUAUGGAUAUACUGUGCACUCUUUUUUCCUUCAUCCAGGUUUUUGUCCCAUUUGGUUUUAUUGGCAAGGUUUUUAAUGAGGCAGUUAUAGUAAUCCAAAAUAAUAUUGUACUCUUUUUCCUUCACUAGGGUUUUUCCCAUAGGGUUUUUCCUAGUAAGGUUUUAAUGAGGCAUAUUCUUAUGAUCAUCCAAGGGGGAGUGUUAUAAAAUAUGAGAUUUUGUACCACUAUGGUAACUUGUGGAUGAUCAUCCAUAAAUAUCUUGUGUAAUUCCCUAUAAAAGGGAGAGACCCCUAAUGAAUUUCAAUAGAAUUUUCUCGUGCAUUCUAUUCUCUUCCUACACUCUAAUUUCUCUUUUUUUGUUUUCUUUUCCUUUCACUUUAUAAUUUUACAACAUAUUUUACUAUUUUUAAUAUAUAGAUAAUUAAAAAUAUUUUUAAUAAAAUAAGUUAUAAAAAUAUAAUAAUUUAAUUAUUUAUAAAACAUAUUUAUUUUAAUGUAAUUAAAAUUUUUAAAAGUAAUUUAAAAAAAAUUAAAAUUAAAAAAAAAUUAAAAUGGGGAGUGACGGGGCGGAUAUGAGAAUUUAUCUUACCCGUCCAGCCCCGUUUAAUUUUUUAAAUGAGACAAUGAUGAAAAUUAUUAUGAAUAAAUGGGGUGGGGUUGCGAUGGGAGUAACUUGUCCUGAAUCCGCCCUAUUGUCAUCCCUAACCAACCACAUCUCCCAUGAAACAAUUUCUUUAUCUUAAUUCCAUCAAUGACAAACUUUUACUUGAUCCAUCCAUCUACUAACAUCUAAUUAGAAAGUUUAUUUAUCUUAACCAAAUAGACGAGUUUUAAAGUCGUGAGGACCCCUAUGUAUAGAAAGAUUUGAAUCAUAUCAACAUCACAAAAUUUUCCCCAUCUCUCCUUAGAUUUUCUUCAUCUCUCUAUAUGUAUAGGCAUGUGAUCAAUUAACUACACCCAAAACUUCCAUAUUUUUUCCAUGGUCAUACUUGCAAACUUUCAUAUUUAUUCAAUGGUCAUAUCUGCUCUUUGUAAACUAUCGUGAAAAGUAAAUAAAAAUGAUAUUCUCGCAUUUGUUUAUGAUUAAAAACAUUAAGAAACAAAUAUAAAUUAUUUAAAAUUUUAUAUAUCUUUAAAUUGUUUAAUUAAAAAAAAAAAUUGAUUGUAAGCAAUCGAAUUCAUACAUUUCUUAACAACAAUGAAAUUUUAUCAGAAACGCUGGAAUCAAAUCUCAAAAUCAUUCUCCUUUGGGAGUUUGGAUAUGGAUGUGAUACAUGAGAAUAUCUUAUAGAAAAAUUGCAGAGAAUAUUUGGCAUGUUUCAUAGGAAGAAGUGGGAUCCACCACAUACUGCAGUGCACGUUGCCCAUUUUCAAACAUUUCCCGGCUCUCUGCUCUUCCCUCUUAACUCUCACCAUUUUCUCUUCGUCUUCUUCUUCUUCUUCUUCUUCUCCUUCUCGUCUCUAGAAUUUCUAGAGAGAGGGAGACAUGUGCUGGGUCAAGUCUGUUUCUUCUAUGUUGUAAGUUGUAACCACCCUGUACAACCGUAGAAACCUUUUGGCUCUCCUCACUUCUAGGCAAACCCACAUCCGCAAAACCCUCUCUGUCUCCCUCGCCAUUUGGGUCAUGACCCACACUCCAAAAUUCAAUACCCUCAAUUUGAAUUUGAAUUUUUUUUUUUUUUCCAUUAAUGUCCAAUCUAUCUGGCUUUGUAUCCCUUUGUCCAUAUUCAGAAAAGCAAGGGUUUUGACUUAUUAUUUACUGAUUUUAAUCAUUUGAAAAUAGUUUUUUAAGCUGUAACCCAGAAACCCUGGAGUGGGUCUUGGGCAAUUACAGUUUGCUCCAAGUUUUUUUCUGGGUUUUUGCUAUUCUUUUAAGCAUUUGUCAGCAUUGCCUUUUGAAUUCAAUAUUUGUUGAUCCUUCUUCCCUCUGAUUUUUUUUUUUUUUUUGCUCUUUUGGUUGGCCUUUUUUAUUAUCAAAAGGGUUGGGGUUGUUCGAAUUCGUUUCAAACUGUAUUAAUGAUCAAUUGAGAUGAAUAUCCGGAGUUCAAAAUCCUGAUUUUCAAGAAACCUGGUUGAUGGUUGAUCAAAACUAAGAAUACCCAGAUUGAGAAUUUUACAAGAAAUGCUCUGCUGAUUGUGGGAAUUGGCAGUGCCGGUGGAAUUUGGGUUUCGGAGGAAAAUGCAAUUGCACCCUUGUGCUUAACGCCAAGAGGUUUGCAAGGUGUGAUUGCUCAAAGUUUUGGCAGGUUUUUGGGUUUUUUUCAACUGAGAUUAUGGGGUGCAUUUGCUCAAAGGAAGCCUCCGUUGAUGAAUAUGUGGAUUAUAAUGAGAGAGAGAAGGAGAAAGGGAAAGAGUUGAAUAAGGAUUCAGUGCAGUUGGUUGCCCCCUCCACGGGAGAGGAGUUUGUAAUGGGGCCAGGAGGUGGUGGUGGUCAUGGUAGGACAGGUGGGUCUGUUCAUCCUAUAUCAAAGUCUGCAUUGCAGGGCAAUGUGGGGUCUGCUCCUAUUCGUGCCAUGGAGGGAGAGAAAAAAGCAAUGACUGCUGAUAGGCCAACUAAGGCUUCUCAUCAAAGAAGGUUGACAUUAGAUAUGGAAAACAACGUAGGGCCAUCACCAAUGUCUCGUAUAGUUAGCAUGCCCAAUGGUGCCAAAGGAGAACAGAUUGUCGCUGGAUGGCCAUCAUGGUUAUCUUCGGUUGCUGGAGAAGCCAUCCAAGGGUGGGUGCCUCUAAGGCCCGAGUCAUAUGAGAAGUUAGACAAAGUUAGUUCUUAUUUAGCUUCUUUGUUUGUCUCUUUUGAUGCAACUUAUGUUUUAUUUGAUUAUGGUUCAGUUUGUAUUUGUGUGCAUAAUUGUGGUCUCUUUUUGCAUAUUGCUUGUAAUUAGUGUUGUUCAGGAUUUUGAUUACUUCUUAUGUCAUGAUGGGCUUGAAAUCUUGAAUAAUGUUUUCUGUUUUAAGCUUUACAUGCAUGUGUUUUGAAUUAAUCUUCAUGAACUUAGAAGCUGUUCCACAUUUUUUUUCAACCUUCAAUAUGCUCAUAAUGGUUUUUCAUGAUAAAACUCAAAUCUAUUUGGUGUCCUGCAUUAUGAUAAUCUUAGUAGUGUGAAGACCUGCCUUACCAUGAUUUUUAUCACAUACACCAGUUACAAAGAUGGAUUUUCAAACUGAUACAUGCAUAUGAAGUGCAUUAUAUCAAUUUUAGCUUCUGAAAUAUCAACAUGACUGAGAUGCAUUCAUAAGAGAAACAUUAUAGGAAUGGUUCUUUAAUAAUUUUCUGAUUGUUAGCAUUUCACGUGAUCCAAGGGGAUUAGUCCUUAAUAAUGUUUUCUUUGAGCCGAGCUGGGAAAUAAGCUUUAUAUACUUUAAAGAACUUACUUCAAUACGAUCUGGGAAAGCAAAUCAUCUUUGACAUUGAUGAUUGCCUAAAAUCUGCCAAAAAUAAAAAUAAAAAUAUUUUAGUUUUGAGGUGCUUUUGCUGCAAAAAAUUCUAAAGAUCCUGCACUUAGUGGCUUUACUCCUGCCAAAUGCCAAUAUAGAGAUAAGAAACUCUGCCAAUUUUACAACAGUUACAUGAUUUGACACUAAAUCAAUUUUUUAAAAAUAUGUUUAUAAUAUUGGAAACCAAAAUUAAAUUUCUUUUGCUUUUUUCCUUUCAGUUUAACAUGAUAUACUUCUUAAAAUCUGCACAUGCUUUGGAAGCUGCAUCUUGAUUAGCCUAUAUAAAAAAUCUUGAAGGUGAAAUGUUGAAGUUUCUGUUAGAAUAUCAUUACCAAAGCAUUGAUGAAAGUUUAGCAGCUAAGUGUAAUUACCAACCUCCUUUUGAUAUAGGUGGAAGCUGUAUAUCAGCUACUAGGUGAAGUAGUUUGUGUUUUGGGCCCCUUUUUUGGUGGAUAAAUGGUUUGUAGGACGAUUUCUCCAUCUGUGGUUUAAUAGUUUUACUAUGAUGGUCUAAAUGGACCGUUACAUGACUUUUUCUGCUGUCUUAUUUUUCUUUUUUCACUUUGCUUUCAUUUUAUGCAGAUUGGACAAGGAACUUACAGCACUGUAUAUAGGGCCCGUGACCUUGACAGUGGUAAGAUUGUGGCAUUGAAGAAAGUGCGAUUUGGUAAUAUGGAUCCAGAAAGUGUUCGUUUUAUGGCUAGAGAAAUCCAUGUUCUGCGUAAACUUGACCACCCAAAUGUUAUGAAGCUUGAGGGCCUAAUCACUUCGAGGACAUCAGGUACCUUGUACCUUGUAUUUGAAUACAUGGAGCAUGAUCUUGCUGGGCUUUCUGCAACACCUGGUAUCAAGUUCACUGAACCACAGGUACCUGCCUUCUACUAGUAAUUUGAAAUUCAUUGAUACUUUUAUUUAUGCCACUUGCCAAAAGCUUAAGAUUUUGAGUAGCUCUUGAUUUAAUAUGGUAUUGAAGCUCUAGGUUCUCUUUGGAAACAUUUUCGAAAACAACACCCAGAAAACAAGUGAAAAUGACUGAAAACAAUUAAAAUAGGUUCUCAAGUUCUCAAAAAACUAUUUUAUGUCAAAACAAUUACCAAACACGUUUUUGAGUCUGAAAAUAGUUUUAUUUUAAGAACAAAAAAAACGUUUUUAAAAGCAGUUCCCAAACGAGUUCCUAUUUUCUAAAAAUGUUAGAGUUCAAGCCUUUUUGUUUCUUUAUCCCCUAUUUGUUUGUCUUUGAUUAGUUGUUUAUCUCUCCAUGUAAGGAUUGGGCUGCAUGUAUCAAGUUGAUAUAUAUUGUUGACAUAUUUGCUAAAAGCUUAGGCUUUUGCUGUGUUUAACAUUAUUUCUGUUUCUCGCUCAACAGUAGAAAAUACUAUGAUGAUUUUCUUAGACAAAAGGUGGAAAAAUGAAAACACAAUGUCUAAUCAAUGAAGAAAUGCAACCAGAAAGAAGCGUCAAAGAAGCAUAUCUGAGAGAUAUAAUUACAUUAAGUGUGGCUGGGGACAUCAUUUCAAUGAGAUCAAGAUAUUGAACAACUUCUUUUCCAUUUCUAUAUCUAAAAGAACUCUUUUGCUAUCAAAACAAAUUAAUUUGAGUGCCAAAUCAUGUGAGAGUUGUAAAUUAAUUUACUGCUCAAUUGGACUUGGUUCAGUCGCUCUGGUCUCUAAACUUCAUAGACUGGAAAAGAUUGGCCAGAUGAUGGUCUUGAAAGCUUUCUGUUUUCUGUUUUCAUUUUUUCUUUCUCCAUGCAAUUGGGUCAUGUAAUUUACUGUCAUGAAAAUGAAGCAUAUUCUUAUUUGAUAUUUGUUGCGGAACUUGCAGAUUAAGUGUUACAUGCAACAACUACUUCGUGGACUUGAGCACUGCCAUAGUCGGGGUGUUCUGCAUCGAGACAUCAAGGGUUCAAAUCUUCUAAUUGACAAUAAAGGAGUCCUCAAAAUUGGAGACUUUGGUCUGGCAAGCUUUAGGUCUGAUCCAAGUCAACCAUUAACUAGUCGUGUUGUAACUCUGUGGUACAGACCUCCUGAGCUUUUGCUCGGUGCUACCAAGUAUGGAGCUUCUGUGGAUCUAUGGAGCACUGGUUGUAUCAUUGCAGAACUGUUUGCUGGGAGUCCUAUCAUGCCUGGAAGUACGGAGGUAGCAUCCUUGUAUGUUUAUUUUGCUUGGAAAACAUUUUGGUCUUCUAUCCCCUUGAAAAAUGCUUUUCCAACCACAUGAAUAGUCUAGGGAGCAUUUGCAUAUCCAAUGUCAAAGUGAACAUUCAGUUUGUGUUACUGUAGCAGUGAAGCUAAACUAUUUAUCCUUUUCAGUAUUACGAUUGCAAAACAACAUGUGGGCAGUGCAGAACAAAAAUUAAAAUGCUGAGCAUCACAAGACAUGUUGCUAAAAAUUGUGACAAUCUCUCUAACUGAAAAAAUGCAUAUGAUGAUUUUUCUAACUCUCAGAAAGUGAAGAUUUCUAAAAUGACGAGCCUCACAAGAUAUGUUGCCAAAAUAUGUCACAAGACAUAUUGUGAAAUCCUCAAACCAUCAAAAGGAUUAUGAAUAAUAUGGAAUGGGUUUAUUUCAAAUGCCACAAGAAACAAUGUAGACUAAUUUUAGAUUCUAUCACAAGGGACAGUUGAAUAAUUAUUCCUUCUGACCAGUCUUAGCAAACAUCCAUGACUUUUAAAAUCUCAGAUUAUAGUCACUUUCAAAAAUGGGCACUAGUGUAAGAUCAUGUUCCAACUUAUGUUGAAACUCAACUACACAUGUUCUUCCUCCAUGGUUUUGAACUCCUGAAUGACAUUUUUUCUGUUGAAUAAUUAUUCAUGCUGGCCAGUCUUAGCGAAGGUCCAUCACUUUAAAAUAUUAGAUUAUAGUCACUUUCAAAAAUGGGCACUCGUGUAAGAUCAUCAUGUUCCGACUUAUGUUGAAACUCAACUGCUCAUGUUCUUCCUCCAUGGUUUCAAACUCCUGACUGGCAAUUUUUUCUGUUGUAAUAACAUCUGAAUGCAAUGACACACAUCUUAUUGGUGUCAUUUCUUGUUCUGAUAAGAAUAUUUAAUUCACAUAGUUCAGUAAUUCACAAAUUAUUCAUUAGUUUUGCCAAUACUAGGAAUUAUUCCUGAUUUAUUCCAAACAAUUCUAGACUGAAAUAUGAUUUGUUUUUUACUGUCUCUCUCUCUUUGAUGCCCUCUAUUCUCUUUUCCUUCUUGAUUUAUUUUCUCAAUAUUAUUAUGCCUCUUUACCAAAAUUUAUCUACUAUGACUGAAUUCUUUUUCAUGAUAUUAGUUGUCAUACCCCACAUCGGAUAAGGGAAAACAUUCCUAGCACUACAUAUGCAUUGGAUUCAUUUAACCAUGUAAAUGUGUUUUAAAGUCAUGAAAGCUAAUUGGACUUAGAGCAAACAAUAUUUACAUGAAAGGGAGUGAGUCAUUACAAAAUGGUAUCAGAGUCAAUCCCCGACCUUGAUGUAGACAUUUGUUUGUCCAACCCUACAAGGUGUAUUUGUCUAUUUAGCCCCGCAAUCCUAUGGGACAAGACGAGGAUGUCGUGUCUCCAUGGGGGAGUGAUUGUGAUAUCUCACAUCGGAUAAGGGAAAAAGUUUCUUACACUAUAUUUAUGGGCUCCUCUUAACCAUGUAGAUGCGUUUUAAAAUUGUAAGGGUCCAUUGGGCUCAAAGUAGACAAUAUCUACAUGGGAGGAAGCGGGUCAUUAAAUUAGUUUUAUUUUUAAAUCCUUCCCAACAGUGAAUAAUAUAUAGUUCCAGAAUCAUCCAUUGUCUUCUCUGGGAAAAUACAAGUGGGCUCUAACAGUCUUGGAAUCCUGACUGAUGGCAUUUGUUUGUUUUCUUCUCCUAACCAUUUCUCUCUUCUCAACUUUUAACUAGUUUGACAAACAUGGUUGACCUGUUUUGAUAUUGAGUUCAUGUAUUGAGUUUGGGGAUGCCAGUACCUGUGAUAUAAGGAUCAUUUCCUAUAUUAUACAUUAUGACGAUGCACUUGAAUUACAUUGAAAUUAUAAGCAUUAAUUGCCAAUUUAGCUGUGUAUGAUAUCUUGAAGUAAGGUGCAAUAUGCUUUUCUAUUUCUAUUUUUACCAUGCGUUUUUUUUUUAAUUAGUGUUUGAUAUCAUCCUGACCAACAACAGGUGGAGCAAAUUCAUAAAAUCUUUAAGCUUUGUGGUUCACCCUCUGAGGAAUACUGGCAGAAAUCAAAAUUGGCACAUGCAUCCAGUUUCAAACCUCAACAUCCUUACAAGCGCCGCCUAGCUGAGACAUUCAGAAAUUUCCCUUCUUCAGCUUUGGCUCUCGUUGAUGUGCUUCUUUCAGUAGAGCCAGAUGCAAGGGGAACAGCUGCUUCUGCACUCAAAAGUGAGGUAAUUUCAAGUUCAGUAUGAACUGUAUUUCAGAAUGUUACUGUUGGAGUGCAUGAUAUAUAUUAGGGGCCCAAAUCCUAUAGCUUUAACUUUUAGGAAAAUUGAUUGUCUUAACAUAGUAUUAGAGUCUUGUUUGACGGAAAAUCAUGUGCUCGAACCUCACUGUAUAUUUAUUUUCCACUUUAUUAAGCUCAAAGGAGGCUGCUUGUGGUUUGUUUAUCUUAUGGGCAGGCCUAUGUAUGCCUAUGUGUCUCUCCACAUGUGUGUAUAGAGCCUCACAUGAGGGAGGGUGUUCAAGUGCAUGAUAUAUUAUGAACCCAAAUUCUACAAGCUUAAGCUUCUAGGAAAAUCGGUUCUCUAAUAGUUAUCAAUAGUAGCUUCUAUAAAAAUCAAAAUGUUUCCUGCAAUGUUUUUGUUUGGAAACAAAUGUCUAUAUCAAUGGAAAAAACAAUUUACUCGGUAGGUAGGGUCUGGAAUCUGACAGCAUAGUCUCAUUAGGGUUCCCCAAGAAAGAAGAAAAUUAGCGUAUAAGAUUAGGUGUCCAAGAACACUUACAUGCUGCUAAUGAUCAUCAGAUAGGUUCACUUUUUUCUGCAAGAGAUCUUUAGCUGCCACUCUCUCAGCAAAUUGUAGUACAGCACAAAGGUUUUAAUGAAUAAUACAGUGGCCAUAUUGGAAAGGUUCCAAAUUACAGUUGAUCUCUUCAUUAAGGAUGCAUAACCUGUUUUGCCAGUUCAUUAGUUGAAUAACUCAUUACCUUUUUUAAACCAUUUGAAAAUUAAAACUAAUAAAUUGAUUAUUCUGAAUAAUUUCAUGUGGUUCUAUGUUGGGAUGUUUGUGGGACCUUGUUGCUUGCGAUUCUCUUUCUUUUUUCUCCCGAUUGUUUUCAAAAUUGUGUGUGUGUGUUUUUUUGUUUGCUAUUUCCAGUAAUCUUAACUUUUUUCCCCUCACAAUCAGACUAAUUCCUCAAUUUGUAAAUUUAACCUGGCACAAACUAUACUCUUGCUGAAUCCUGAAUUUGGCAUCAUAUUGAAAAACUAAAAAAUUGGAAUUGUGUCUUUAACUUCAAGUUUUCUUUUCAGUUCUUUACAACAAAGCCCCUCCCUUGUGAUCCAUCAAGUUUGCCAAAAUAUGUUCCAAGCAAAGAAUACGAUGCCAAGCUCCGAAAUGAGGAAGCAAGAAGGUAUGCUAUUUGAUGACUUCUAUCAUAUCAAUAUUUCUUUUAAAAAAAAAAAAAAACAAAACAAAAAAAAAUCUUUAUUUCUUUGAUCUUUAGAAUCUGUCAUCUCUCUGUGAAAUUGAAGGAAGCAGGAGUAUAGAUAUAAAAAGGGAAAGAAAAUUAGUGGUUUCAUGAGUAUAUAAUGCCACCUCUUUUAGUUGAGAGUAUUUCUAUGAAACCUUAAUGCUAAGUGGUAGAUGUGCCAACAAACAAGGUUCUAAAACUUGGGCACCUAGCCUGACAUCCCUUGCAAUGUGCUGGUGAUAGUUCGACCUUGAAUCAACAAAAUGUAUCACGACUUUGUGCUGCUAGAUGAGACGCCAUGAUAAAUGAAUAAAGCAUCUCCCAAGGACCCAACAUUUAUUUUUUGUUCCUUGUAGACUUCUAAAACUUAUUUCUUUCUUUUUUUUAUUACAUUUACUUUGAUAUUUUAGUCUGGUUGGCUCAAUGUGACAUGAUAUCUUGGGGCCAAUUUAUUCGACAACAUAUGCAAAUGCAACUAUAGUAAAUCUCUUCACUUACACUCAUGACACUUACUAUAUUAAAUUUUAUGAUGGAUAUGAGAUUAGAUUUUGUUUGUCAUAGAUCUUUCUCCCAUUGGUCAUGAGAAUCAAGUUCUCAUGGUCCUGGGUGCAAUGUUUGGUCCUUUUAAAAUCCUUGGGGUCUAAAAUGACUUGGCUUAUACGAAUAUUCGAGAAAACUUUUCUAUUUUGAUCAGAAUCUAUUCCAUUCCAAGUAUCAGGUGAUUCCACUUUGGGAGAACUUUGAGUCGUUCUUUGAAACUUUGUGACCUUAUAGCUGCAUUCCAGAGAACUUAUUAAACAUUAAAAUUGGCAUUUUAAAAUAUAGUUCCAAAGCACAAAGUUAAUAGCAUAGCAAAAGUAAUUACUUUUGCUGCUGCUUCUUUGAUCACCAAAAGUAGAAGUUCAAAGCUAUCCCAAAUGGUCCCAUAGAAUGUAUUGGGUUUGCCACUUAUUUUGCACACCAGCAGCCACCUUUCGCUUGGUUUCAUGUUAGUAUAGAAACCUUGGGCGACAUUUUUCAUCAUGAAAACUUUAUACAGAAAUCAACUUCCAAAAUUCUAUUAAGGUUUAUUUUUGGUGAGGACAUGACACCAUCAGAUUUCUAAAUCGAUGUUAUUGUUUAUAUGAAUUUCAUGUCUUAAUUCCAGGCAAAGGGCAGAGGCUGUAAAAGGACGUGGAGCUGAAUCUGUUAGAAGGGGUUCAAGACAAUCCAAGGAUGUGCCAACACCAGAAUUUAAGCCUCAGGCACAAGCCUCUUUGCAGGUAAUUUUUGGCCUGAAACUGUAUCUUAUUACUUUCAUAAUUUGCAUUUCCAGCUUUACUUUUGUGACUAACUCAUGUAUAGCAGGGACAGACAAACACAAAAUGCAUCAGUGAAAAAUACAAACCUGGAGAGGAUAGUGGGUCCAACUUUCGGAUGGAACCUCAUAGAGGAACUGUGCCAAAUGGUUUGUCUCAUUCUACUUUGAUGAUUAACCAAAAUGCCGUUGGAUCAUCAGAGAAGAAGGUUGAGGAUGAGGCCCAAUUGGGUUAUGGAAAUACAUUUGACUCUUCAAGAAAUAAAGUAGAAUUGAGGACCCAUGGAUCUCACAUGCCUCAUGGAGCAGCAGGUGUGUCAAACUCCUCUCAUAGGAAGGACGAAAGGAUCUCUGGCAAGGAAUCUGUUACCGUAAGUGUCCAUCUAAUAAUUGGUUUACUCUCUACCCACCUCCCAUUACAUUUCCUAUUUUUAUGAGAUUAGAAAUGUUUAACUGAAGCCUAAUGCAUGAAUUUUCGGAUGAUAGUAACUUUUGUUUCAAUUCCUUGAUCCUACAGUUGUUGAAAAUUAUGCUGUCCUUAAAUGGUCCUCAGGAUUGUCUGUAUAGUUAUAUUGUUAGCUUAUGCAUAUGUUAAACAUCAACCAAUGAAUUUUCCUUAUGGGACAUAUUAACCUGUUUCAAUAGGGUUUUCUUUCAAUAGAUAAUAUAUAUAUAUAUAUAUAUAUAUUUUCAUUUUUCUUUUUAGCUACAUGGAAACCAACCUGGAACCUCUCUCAUCCCAUUCCAAACCUUAGCCACCUGAGAGUUGAGAUGGGUGAACUUUCUAUGCAAGGUAUAGCAAAAGGUAUAGGAUCUUGAAUUAAGAUAUGGUUAGAGAAGGUUUUAGAAAACUGUUUAAUUCAAGACCAUAUGGUGAAGACAAAUAUUGACAUAAAUACCUAAGCUGGAGCUACUAUAUCUUUCUGACUUGCCUAUGUUCUUUAACAGAAGAGUUUGGGAGAAUGAGAAUUUCUUCUAGCUAGAAUGCAGUCAUGAUAUAAUGAGCACAAAUAUAACCAAUCUUUAGCCUUUCUCCAAUGAAAUAUAAGGCUUUGAAAUGGUUUAGAAGGAACUUUAACAGCAGAUUUGUCAUUUCAAUAAGCAUUCUUUAGACCCAUUGUCUGCCCAAUAGCAACAUCUUGAGCCAUACUGGUCAAGACUUCAGAGACACAGUAAGCAAUUGAGACUGAUAUCUGGAAAAUCUUGCACCAGUUGAUUGUUUCUUCUGCAUGUAACUAAAUUACAAUGAGAAGUAGAAUGCUACUCUGAAAUAAGAACUAACAAGUUAUUAACACAAAAUCCCUUCACCUAGUGAGAUGAGCGAGAAAGAGAGGGCUGAUCCUGAUUACCCAAAUCAGAAGGACUUGGAGUUGUUAGAUCAGACUCAUGCGAUACUUAUGGAUUGUUAGAACAGAGGAAAGAAUAUUCUAUUUGAAGCAUGUCUAGUUGUAGGCUUAGAAAAAAUUAUUAAGUCAUUGGUUAAUUCAUUUUCUUCUGUAAAUUCUUGAGUCAUCCUAGAAUCACUCUGAUUUGAUUUGCAUGCAAGUAUGGAGUCAGCUGGCAGCUGACUCUGACUGGGUUUAUUUUCCUAUUUCCUUUUGUGGCAAAACAUCUUUGAAUAUCCUAUAAAAACUGUAAUGCUAAAAUAUUGUGAUCUGAUGCAUAACCACAGAAUGUAGCAUUCUCGUCAUUAAGGAACACUAAUCUCUUUGUUGUUUUGGUGAUGGCAAUACUUUGCUAUGCCAUUUUUUCUAUUCCUAGUUAACUGCAUGACUGAAUUGCCUUACAAUGUGAAUUUUUUAGGGCUAUGUACCCAAGAAAAACAGGAUGCACUACUCUGGACCACUGAUGCCGUCUGGAGGGAACAUUGAAGAAAUGCUCAAAGACCAUGAGAGACAGAUCCAAGAGGCUGUCCGCAAAGCACGAAUUGACAAGACCCAACAAAAACUGUGAUUAACAUGAGCUGUCCAAACCCAGAAGAACUGUUGGAGGACAGUCAAGAACUGAAACUGGAUUUUUCUUGGAUGGGGUAUUCUUACCAGUAGAAGGAACUAGCAUCCCACCAGGGGACUCCUUUGGUUUACCACAAAGUACCAGAGGGAAAGAAUGUGCUUAUACAUAAUCAGGAUUCUGAGAUUUUUCAUCUGUGGUAUAACAGUGCCAACAAUCUCAUUAGAGUGGGAGAAGGGUUUUUAGUUGGUUUACCUGCAUUUCUCUUGUUGUGGAAUUCAAUUUGUAAAGCUAAAAAGGGGUUGCUCAGUCCAAGCCAUUAUAUAUACGUAUAAAUCCAUAUAAUGAAAUGUUCAGUUCUUUCUUCAUGCAUGAUUGUACUUCAAUAUUGGUAUUAGUGACUGGAAAGUGAGUUUAUGUCAAGAGUUGCAGACACAAGCACACCGGAAAUGGGAAGUAUUUGAAACAUGCUACUGAAAAUUGGUUUGAAGAUGACAACGAAGCUGAGCAAAACCUAAAAAUCACUGACUCAAAAAAAUAACUUACAGGAGAUAUUGUGUUCCAAUGGCAUUGCUGAAAAUGACUGAACAUUUUCCAGGAAAAUGAAAAAGAUUUUCCGGGGAUUUUAGGCAAGUUGCUCACAAGUUCAGAGAGCAAGCUUUCUAAGAAAACAACCAAUCUCCUUUGAAAGGGACUCCCAUAUCUACGCUCACUACUUCCCCAAUCCAGACUACUCAUCCAAUCAGUAGUAUAUAACCAUGUCUAAUACAAAAAAAUUUAUCCUUCGUAUUUUCAAUUUUCUUAUCACACAAAUAAAAAAAAAAUCUGAAAAUAUCUUGAAUUUAAUAUAAAAACAAUAAGAACAGAUUAUCAAAAAGCUAUUUCAAUCAGAAAUUGUCAAUCACAUUUUUUAAAUCAGAAAAUUGUUUUCAAGAAUAGUUUCCAAACAGCCCUUAGCCUACAAAGUAAUGGUUAGAUGCCUGUUUCCCUUCAUGCCCCAUUCCAUCUCUGGCAAGACAAGAUUUUCCUAUGAGUAAUUUAAACCUCAGUAUAAUAGCUUGGGUCUGGAUUAGCUGCCUAGUAAAAGAUUCCAAGUUUUCUCUUCUCCCUCAAAUCAAACAACAUUCAGUCCAUUUUUCUAUAUUCUUUUAAUAGAAAGCAUAACCAACAAUCCGACAGUCAAGGUACUCUGCGUCAUUUCAUCAUUCUUUGUUUUUAUUUAUCAUUCAAUAGAAGAAAAGGGAAAAAGAGAAAGUCGUUGUACACAGGCAUUCAGGCCUCCUCAUUACAGUUAUAGCUUCCCAUUAAGAUUUUACACGAAGGGUUCUUCUCUGAUGGUGCCUAUACUUCAUUGGAACUGAGAAAUCUAUGACAUAUUGAUGACUCAAUUCAGAUGUGACAAAGAGAUUCCUAAUUAUAAGUAUUAUUUUAAAUAAAUAAACUAAAGAGUAUCAGUACAUAGAAGAAGCAUAAAUGGCAAGUUUCUGAAAAAGAAACGAGAUCUACCGUUUAAAAGGUCCUGAGCAUACUCUCUGUACAUUUGGCUUCAUUUACAACUCCAUUAAGUAUCUUGCUUCAACUCCCUGAUCAGUUUCUUAAAUUUUGUAGGCUCAGAGGUAACUCUACAUAUCUUGCUUGGGCUUCCGGCUCAGUUCAGAGUAAUGACCACCCAUUAGCUGCAAAACCUCCUCCCAUAGACCAGAUGAAGACUCUGCUGAGACCCCACUGAUUACAUUUGGGCUACAUGCAGCCACAUACCAAUAGUCUGAUUCAAUCUCCUCUCUCAACUGAUCCAGCUGCCACCCAGCAUAUCCAACAAAGAAUCUGAAAUCCUGAGGCUUAAGCACCCCUUGCUUCACCAGUUUUGCAGCUUCAUCCAGACUGUUUCGAGCACCAUAACAGAGGCCAGGUAUCACCUCUUCAAGCCCAGGAAGUUUUGGGUUUUCCCCUGUUUUUAGUAAAAACAUGCUUGCCUCUAGAGGACCACCAAAAUGCAAGGAACAAUCAGCAAAAGUGGUUGCCAGAUCCAGAUUAGUGGGCUUCAUGUGUUUGAUCUUUUUGUGAAGAGGCCGGUUAAUAACAACUCCAAAUGGCCCCUCCUGUGGGUGUCUGGUUCCAGAUCUGAGAAGGAGAACAACAGUUCUUUCAAAGGAGCGUACCCCAUCAAGUUUCUCCGUGGCAACGAGAACACAGCCAGUCUCGGGUACUGGAAUAGGAUGGGCCCAUUUCAGGCCUAGGGGUUUAGGCUCUUGGGGUGUUCCACCUUGGCUGUGAGCCUCAGGAUCUGCCUUUUCUGCCUGAUAAAAUUUUCAAGUGUAAGUUUUCCCAUUUACAGAGCAUGAAUUUCAAGAGAAGAUUGCUACCAUCAUGACUAAUACUUCAAAAUCUCUCAAUCCUCAAAGAUGAAAUUAAAUGCUAUGCUCUCCACUGAUAAGUGCAUAUCAGGUUCAUACCAUUAUCCUACAUGACAGCAUGAAGAAUAGUUCCAGAAUGUCCCCAAGGAAGGGUUGUUCAGAAGUGGCAUAUUCAAGCUGGUGCUAAAUUGGUGUAGAGUCACAAUCUGGCUCACUUUGCAUUAGCAAUCAACCAGAAACCAAACUGAUUCUAAGCAUGAAAAUAUUCAUGCUUGAUGUGGCAGGGCCGCAAGAUAUAGACAUGAUAUAAUGAAUGUGACCAUGCUUGAUAUGGGGUGAUAUAGUUGUACAGAAUCCAUAUGGUCAUAUGCUUGAUGGGGGAAGAUAUGGCCAUAAUGUGCAAUCCAGAGAGGUUCAUGACAUAUAGGAGCCAACUGAAUAGAUACACCAACAUUUCUAUAAAGCUCUUAAUCUUAUUAUCAACACCUUAAAAGUCUGAACUAAACUUGAAUUUUGGCAGGUUAGGAAAGUCCAAACUUUCGUAUGUGUGUGCGCUAAUGUCUGCUGUGUGCCUUACUCUAGUAUGCAUGUAUGUAAUGUCGCUAGUAGAUACUGGAUAUUUAUAUAUUGACUUAUAAUACUACAAUGGUUAUACCUUUAUCUUAUUUUGUUUAGGAAACUGAUAGUUUAUAAGCCAUAGGCACUUGUAGAUAUUGGUGGUAUUGAAAUAUUGAGACAAUUACACAAUGGUUAUACCUUUAUUUAGGAAAAUAAAAGCUCUACAAGCCAUACAAAACAUCACCUGUUCCCGAGCAAAGAGAGCUGCUCUGAACUCUCUCCAGUCCACAAUUAUUUGACGGGACUUCUGGGAGGCAGUGUCAUUGGAUUUGUUGCCCUCAGAAGGGUUGUUUCCUUUCAGGCUAUCUCCUUCUGGAAUAGACCGAUCGCCAUUUCCUGUAUUUGUAAGCAUAACCAUAUUGUUUAAGCAGGUUUACAAGAAGUCCAUAGAAGAUGAAGAAUGGAUGGAGAGUCAUCUCUCUGUGCUUAGUAAGAAAGCUGCAAAAUAAGCCAUAUAAAAAUUCUAGAAUACAUUAAAGGGAAGUAAAUCAGAACACUAUAUGAUUGAAGAGUGGGCUAUUAACAUGUAAGAACACCAAAUACAAAAAGGCAGUUGGUCUUUGAAGUUCAUAUCAUUAGCAGCAAGAAAAUGAAAGAGCUACUCCAUUACCUCUUUCACGACUUCUUACAUAAAAAAUUUUCCAUAUCAACACAAUACUCUGGCCAGCCCAACAAAGGUCAUCAACAGAACAGCUAAUGAUGACUUCCAAUGAUAAUUAACCAGCUGGUGGCAGAGUUCAAAGAUGAAAAUUUAUAGCAGGAAAAAAAAAAUGCACUUUAUGUCCUCCAAAUCAUCAUAUCCUUAGAUAAUGGCAUGCUCCAUCUCAUUCAAACAUGAUCAUUGAAACAAUAUUCCUCUACUUGACAUGUAGCACCAAUUCAGUUAGUGACAGUUAAUUCUCUAUUUGAUAAUAUCAGAUGAUAUCAAUUUCCCCUGAACAUCCAUAUCCUAAUAUUUUAUAGAUUUUAGAUAAUACCAACUAAUCUUCAUGACUUGGAGAUUAUUAUACUGAUGACAACCAAAUUUACUAUACAUUAAGCAAAAGACAUGUCUGCAAGACAUGUGCCAAGCAAUAGUAUUCAAAAUAUAUACUCCUUAUUCCAUCAAAACUUUCUUUUCCCCUUGAAUUAUUACUGACUUAAGCAUCAGAGUUCUUUUUGUUUUACAGAUCCUGUUCAGAUUGGACAAGUAAAACGUUUGGCUCCAAAAUUCAGGUUCCAACAAUUAUGUUAAUCAAAACUACAGCGAGAACCAACAAAUUAAGAAGAUCAUAAUGUGCUUCAAGUAGAAUGGUGUGCACUAGUCAACUCUAAGCCAUUUCCAAUAACACUAAAGUUUUCCAGAUUCCCUGUGACAGCCCAAAAACACCAAACGUUUUGCCCCUAUAUUUUUCUAUACCUUUUCUAUAGUUGAUAUAAGAAUCUUGCAUAAAGAAAUUGAUCUAAAGCAGCCCAAAACAAAAAUAUGAAAUAAUGAGGUUUAAAAUAUGAAUAUAUUAGGAUUAAAUGUCGAUUACAUUGAGAGUGCUUAAAAUAAUGGCAUAACUGAUGAUUUAUGCAUAGUUUGAGAUCCACAUGAUAUAUUAAUUUUCUGCACUUGGCCUAGAUCUAUGCAUGGAUUUGCAUGCUUCCACAGACCAAAAUCUAGAUAUGAUAAACUGGUGUCUUAUAAGCAAAUCUGCAAAUUUGCUGAUUCUAGAGUUGUCUUCUAACAAAUGCUUUUUCUAAUUGGAAGUUCAGUUUCAGAAACUUCUGUGGCCAAAAAUUGAAAUCCAGGUUAGUUCUGAUGCAAUGUUUCACUGCUCAUCCUGCAGAAGAGCCAAUCUCAGGUGAGCAGAGCACAGGCUUUAUUGAUAAUUGGCUAGCCAAGCUUAAAUACAGUUGUAUGGCCCAACUCAAGCUCAAGUGAGCUUGAACACGAUCUUAGUCAACCUAGCUAAGCUUGAACAACCAAAUACUAGAAUUAGCCUACACCCUGAGAAGUUCCUUGUUGAGGUCGAGACUAUGACAAACUUCUACCAAUGAAGGAUCUCAUCUGAAGACUGAAGCUCACAAACUUCAGUUGUGUGGUCAAGAUAGUCAAAUUCAGCCAGUAAGCAUGACAACAAAUUUAGGAGUGGAGGAAAGAUAAGCACCAAUGUAAAAUCCUGUUCAAUUACUGGACAAAGCUUUAUGGAAGCUGCUGAACCUAGAAACUAAACUAAAUAGAGAAUACAAUGAGAGUUUUCCUCGAUUGGCUGCACACAAUGCACUGCUAAAGGAUAAUAACUGGGCUCCUACUAGUAAUGUGUUGGGUUGUGUAAAAAAAUAUAUUAAAAAAAACUAGAUCAUCCUACAUUAAUUAUCAAUUGUGGAUGAGGCUCACAGCUUGGAUGUAAAAGGGGGAAGGUAUUAAGCAUUAACCACAAGAUUUUGCUAACAGGGGUAAUUCUGGUAAGGGGCAUGCUAGCUCCUCACACAUGGGGCAAGAAUCAAUGAAGGAGCAUGUCAGUACUUCAAUAGCAAAUUUGAGUUUGUACCCUACUUACAAAGUGUUGCUCCAAAGCUCAUAAAUGGUUUUAGGAUCUUGGGACAGAAACCCCAAAACACAUUUUACAAGGAUUCCAAUGUGGCAAACCUAGAAACCUCUCUUCAGAAUGCCCAGGCAGUAUACUCUGAAAGAAAUUUGGUUGAUCAAACAAAAGGGAAGGGAGUCAAGGGACUUUGUUGGUCCUGAUGAUGAAAAAUAUAUUAGUGAGUAGUGAUAUCAGGAAACUGAAGAAGGGUUCUCAGAUCAGGAGGAUGACCUUGACAGUAGAAUUCAUGGAGACAAUUUGGUACCAGGACUUGUUAUCCAUUUACCAAUGCUUUCUCCAAAAGUACCUGAGAAAUAAAGGUGGUUACAAUAAAUAGAAAUUUCAGACUUUUUGCACAGAUAGUGCUUGCACAAUGUAGACAGUGGAGGUAUCAAUAACUGAGUUUUACAACAGGUUGUUGAUUAGUUAAGUUGGAAAAAAAAGGGGAAAAAAUUGAAUCAACCUUACAGCUCUUCUACUUUUAAGGAGUGGACCAAAGCCCCAAUCACAUCGCAUUGUUUGGUAAACUUCCAUAUCAAAUUCCAUUUGUUAAGAUGUGCUUCCACUUGAGGUGUUCCAUAUUUGGUUAGCUGGCUAGGCUAUCCCUUUGCCAGUUAGAUAUAACAACAAUCCAUACCAGGAAGAGCAAAAUGUGCACUAUUAUAGAUACUACUACUUGUGUGUUAGUGCCAAAAUGGUAGCCAAGCCUACUGAAACCAAGUGCCAUUAAAGAGGUCAAGAAAGGAAAUCUUCUCCUUCAAAGCUGUGAUCUUGAGAGGGAAUGCAAAUAGAAAUAUGUAAACUUUGUUUCCUAUUAGAAAAAGGAAAUCUUCCCCGUUACCAAGGAAGACAAUUCAAGAUAGGGAAAGUAACAUGCAUACUUAAACAUCAAGUACCAUUUGAGGAUCAAGUAAUAACAUGUAAGUCAAGUCUACCAAAAAACCAAAGGCCAUAAAGGAGAUCAAGGAAGCACAACCCCUCCUUUAAAGGUGUGAUCUUGAGAAGGAAAGCAAAGAGAAAUAUGUUAAGUUUGUCUUCUAUGGGACAAAACAAAACGUAAAUUUCAUCCUUGUUACUAGGGAAGUAAAGGAGAGUUCAUUAGUUGCUCAGCAGGUUCAGCCACUCUUGCAGGAGCCAUACAUGAACAACUUCCCGAUGGCCUCCCCACGUUGAGAAACAUAAAACAUCGAAUAGGCAUGGUACCUAAUGCUAACUUCCCACACAAUCUCAUUACAUAAUGGGUCCUACACAGCUCAAGCAGAUGCAUCACUAGAUCAUUAAAUUGCCUAGCAACAGGUCAACGAGCAGAGGUACAUUCACAUUAGAAGCUUGAUGAAACGUCUUAAACCAAGAUCAAAAUCCUCAACUGAAAAGUCAGAAUAAGAUACAGACUGAGCCAUUAAUCAAUUUGAAAAUCCAGGAGAACUACGGCAUUUAACACAUAUGUGUGAUUAAACUAUGAAUACAAUAAAAGAAAAGCUCAAAUUUUCACACGAAUUCAAGUUCAGCUUUCCUCUUUCCCUUAAACCCGCUUUCCCAUAAAACAAAUAGAGCAAUCAUAUACGAAUUUGGAACCCAAAUCCCAAAAGAUAGGGAAAAAGAAAAUCACCGGAGUUGCUUGAGAAAAAAUUGCUCAAAAUUUUUCACAUAAAUAAACCUCCAAUUCGUUAUUUAUCAAAUUUUUCCACCGUAUCAAAGACUCGAAAUCCAAAAUCCAUGAAGACGCAAAAAAAAAGAAAUUACCAGAAGAAGAGGAAUUAUCAUGGUUCUUCUUGCCCAUGGCUCUCACAACCAACGAGGAAGCCUUGCGCGAAGCAACCCUGAUCUCGAACAGCCUCCCAUCUUCAGGCCUGAAACUCCCGACCUUGGCCAAAUAGCAUGAAAACGGCCUCUCGGAAAACGAAUUCCGCAGCAGAAGCGGACUCAGAUUGGGGUUCUUGAUAUGAGCGCACCACAGAUCCAUCACAAAUUUUCUGGAAAAAUCAAAACUUGAGGGUAAAAGAGAGAGUGAUGAGGGAGAAGGAGAGAGAGAGGAGAGAGAGAUUGUAACGGAUAUGCGAAGAAGAAAACAAAGGGGGAGAGUGUGGGAAGUGAGGAGAAGGGAGAGAGAAAGAGAGAGAAUAUGCCUUCAUUGUAACCGAAUUUAUACUGGGGGUGUUUGAUUUUUUCAAUCUCUCUCCCAUUUCCACUUCAAUAAAUAACUUUGUUUUCUUGCUUUUUAUUUUUAUUUUUUAUUUUUUUUUGUUUUUUCACAAAGACUCCUUAGUCCUUAUAACCUUUUUACCCCAUACAAUUACCUAUCAGCUUUAUUACUCAUUUGAAGGGAAAGGUCAAUUUUGUAAUUUUCUUUAUGUCAUAAUAAUUUUUUUUUUUAUUUUACUUCUUUCUUUUUUUUUUUUUGUAAUUUUUACCUUUUAAAUUUUUUGGAAGAUGAUCAUUAAAUUACUUUUCAUCAAAAGCUUGUUGGGUUUUUUUUUUGUGCAUUUUGUGAAUUUUUUAAAUAUUUAAUGUUUAUAAGUUUAAAAUUCAUGGAAAAUGUUAGAAUAUUUAUUUUGAAUUACUUAACUUUUUUUGUUUUUUUCCCUUUUUUUAUUUAAUAUUUUUGCCUUUUUUCUUUUUCUUUUUAAUAGUUUUACCUAUAAAUUAUCAUUAUUAUAUAACCAAUACAGAAAAAAAAAAAGUUUUGGGUAAAAAUGAUUUCUUUAAAACAAAAAUUUCAUAAACUAAUUUGAUUUUCAAAAUAAUUUUCAAACUAAUGUGUCUUAUCAACAUGAAUAUCCAUGUCAUAAAACCGUAAUUACCUUUUUUUUAUUUAUUUUUUAAAUGGUUAAAACCACAGUCAAGUCGUUGUUAUGAUAUUAUGUUUAAAAAAUUUUCAAAACCGUAAAUAGUAACUACGGUUCUAUGAUAAAAAAAUUGAGGACAUCCAAGUGGUUGAAAUACAUUAGUUUGGAAAUUAUUUUAGUUGAAUUUUUUUUAAAUACAUUUCCUUAAAAUAAAAAAAGAACAUUCAUUUUUAAUUAUAUCCUUUUCUUUUUCAUGAUUUUUUUUACUUUAAUUAUAUUUUAUUAAAUAAAUAAAAAUAAAAAUAAAAAACUAAGAAAUCUUAUCUAUUGAGAAGAUACACAAAGUAAGCAUAAAGGCCGAAGACACUCCCAUAAAAAAUUCCAUAAAUCUAAAGAAAUUAAAUAUUAACCAUAUUUGAUUCUCUUAAUUUUAGAUUAUUUUCUUAUACAUAGUUUUGUUAGGGAUAUGAUUUAUUUCUUUCCUUCUAUAAUUCAACCAUAUUUUUGUAUAAAAUUCUAAAUAUAGUAGAAAUCAUAACUAUCAUUACCAAAAUACACCAAGUCCUAUAUGGUAUUUGAGCCAUAAAACUUCUCUAUCCUUUUCUUCUUUCUAAUAACCUAAACUCAAUAUUUAGUUAUUUCACGAUACUCUUUCAAGUUAAACAUUACAAACUUCCUAUCGGCGAAACCAAAUCACCCCUUAGUUCAUAGCCUCGGUGUUUUCCAUCAUCUAUUCAAUAGAAAGAAACUUGUUGAAGAACUUAAAGUUGGUGAGGGAAACAAAAGUCUUCACCCAUAAUACCAAUUAUAAAUCAAUAAUGAAGAAUUUCUCACUUCAUGACUUCUUGGAACCAUGAAAUAAGACAUUUUGGGUACGAUCUUCAGUGUUGAAACAAUAUAUGAAGCAUAUACGUCUUUUAAAGAGCAAUUGCUUCUUAUUACAGUUUUAAAAAAAAAAGAAUCUAAAAAACAUAAUCUAAAAACACAUGUUGAUGACUUUUAGAAAUGGGUCACGGCCUCUUAAAGAAUUUAAAAGAAUUGAAAAACAUAUGUGAUGAUCUUGUCACAAUCAAAAAGUCAAUUUUAGACCAAAACAAAGUGUUCCAAUUUGCUCACGGGACAAAAAUAUAAAAUUUUCGACUAGCAAUAUUUACUAAACCAUAUUAUCGCUCCUUUAGUCAAUUUUUGCUAGCUAUUUAAGGAUAUGACAAUUACUUACUACCUAAAAGGAAGAUAAGAAAACAUUUUAAAAACAUGCAAAAAAAUUUUAGACAACGAGAUUAUGGUUGAAAUGGUUGAAAGAAUAAAGGAAAUUUCAACUCAAGGGGAAGAUGAUUCACAACUAUUCACGAUUCACAUGACUUCACCAUUUAAAACGAAAAUCCAAUUUUUUUUUUGUCUAUUUCCAUAAAUUUCAACUAUUUAUAAAGAAUCAAUUUAUUCGAAGAACUAAAGUAUUUCAAUGUGAUUGUGAAAAGGAAUUUAGCUCUAAUAUUUUUCUCGAGCAUCUUCAAAAUGAUGGAAUAUAACUACAUAUUUCAUAUCAUGGGACUCUCGAACAAAUCGAAGUGGUCAAACGAAAAAUACUCACAUAUUGUUGAAAUCGGAUUGACUAUAUUUUUUCAUGCCAACUUGCAUGAAAAAUGUGCAAUACUGAUGCUACAUGCAUCAUCAUUUUUGUCAGAUUUUUACCACGGGGUGUAACCAUCACAAUAUCAAUAAUUUAUACAGAUGUUGACUAAUACGUUGCUUAGUCAAUAAUAAGACAAGCUUUUUAGGAAAACAGAAGGAUAAGAUAGAAAAGUGCCCAAUAAGAAAGAGAUAGAAAUAGAAUGAACCCUUUUUUUUUAUAGAAAGGUUUUAUUUUAUUUAGCUAAUUAAUAUUAAAUUUAUUAAAUUCGACUCAAUUAAUUGAGGCAACAAAAUGGUUCAACUAAUUGACCUACCCCGUUGAGUGCAUAGAUGCACAUGAUUUUUGGUUUCAAUUGUAAAUAACUUAAUUGAAAACUAUAUAUAUAUAUAAUAAAUAAAUAAAAUGUAUAUUUAAUAUUAAAAUAAUUAUGCAUCUCAAAAUUUAAUGCACUCACAGUUUUGAGUUUUUUUUUAACACAUACACCGAUCCUUUUUUAUAUUAAUGAUUUCAUUUGAAUGUAUCUUUUUUAAUAUACUUUUGGAUUUUUUUUCUAUUACACCCAAAUAUAUCUAUUAAAUUCAAAUGUAUGCGUAGUUAAUAAGAAUGACAAUAGGAUGAAUUUCAUCCGGUAAUGGGGUUUGAGAUUUUUUAAAAUCCAGGACAGGUUCAAGUGUUUCCUUAUACAACCCAGUUAUAUAUAAAAUUAAUUUAAUUUAAAUUUUAUUUUCCUAUCUUUAAUAUAAUAAUAAUAAUAAUAAUAAUAAUAAUAAUAAUAAUAAUAAUAAUAAUAAUAAUAAUAAAAUACUUAUUAAGUUAUAAAAAAUUAUAAUAUUUUAAUUAUUUAUAAAAUAUAUUUGUUUUAAUGCAAUUAAAAAAAUUAAAAAAUAAAAGAUAAUUAAAAAAAUUUCACUAAACAAAAAAAAAAAAAGUUAAACAAGAGGACAUGACGAGUAUAAAAAAUUUCUUAUGUCCACCCAUCAGAUUAAUUUUUUUAAUGGGACGAAGAUAAGAAUUAUUUUUGAAUAAAUGGAGUGGGAUAGGGAUGAGAGCAACCCGUCCUUGUUGUCCCUAGUUAUUAUCAAAGUCUCAAGAUUAACCAUACACCUUGAAAUACUUAUAUAAACGUAUAAAAUAAAAUAAAUAAUAAUCAUAAUUACUCAUUUGGAAACUAAUAUCAGCUUAAUUAAUUUAAUAAUGCGAACUAAUCAUAGAUUAAUAAUAAAAUUAUGCAAUACAAAAAACUGAAUAUCAUCAUUGUUGUUACAUUUCUAAAAAAAGUAAGAACCUCCAUUAUAAUAAAUCUAAAUUCUUAAUAUAAAUUUAUAAGUAUAAAGAAAUAUAUUCAUUCACUUAAUAAAAUAAUCUAAGAAAUAUGGUAGAUAUUUUUUUAAUCAAUUUAUUUUUGCACGUAUUAAUUGAAAUUUAUUUACUUAUAAAGACAUCAAAUUUAAUUAAUUUGUUUUCUUAAUGGAUAUUUUUAAAAUUGUAGUUUAUCUUAUAUAGAAUUAUUGCAUGUUUGGAAGUCAUUCUAGAAAGCGUAUAUAACAUUUUUAAUACUUAAAUAAUAAAAUUUUUCAAAUAUUAAAAACGUUUCCUAAAACUACUACCAAACGAACUCUAAAUGGUUUCAGCCAACACUUUAUGCGAGUCACAGAUCCAUUAGGAAAACACAAGAGUGACGUUCGUCCUACAUCUAAUCUACAUCUAAUCAUGAAUUAUCACCCGCUUUAUGUCAACAAUCAUCCAAUUUUUUUUUAAAUAAAAGUUUACUAACCCAUCUGCAUGCUUGGCUAAGCAAGACGUCCACCGAAAGGAUCUACCAGCUCUUAAAGCAAUAUCAACCAUCUAGGGCAUCAGUUGUCUUAAAAAGUCUACCCAACAUCACUAAAAACCCAUCACAUAAUCUACUAGAGGAAAUAAAACAAAGAUUCAAAAGAACGGUCCAUAUAGAUUCAAAAGCCACAAAGGCGUUCCCAGCCAUUGCGAAGAAUAAAAAUUCAAAAGACUAACUUCAAGAGGAGUAACUGAGGGAUAUCCACGGAAAAUUUUAUGAAAUUUGAAGAUUUUCCAUCACUCACCUGAGAUGAUUAACCCAUGACACAGUUACUUCUCAUAUCCUCCAUUGGAACAGUUUCUUAACUUGAAAGAAAAGGCACCCAUAACUUUGCCUCCUGGUACUUUUGCUCUGUAGAAACUCCUACAUCAAGUCAAUUUGGUGAGGACAUCAAUACAAAGCAAUUGUAUAACAACCAUAACUGACUUCUCUUAUUUUGUUUCCCUUCAGAAUAAUCAUGCUACAUAUGAAAAUACUGCCACCUUGGUGGGCAUUGGAAUGCCUCUCUGCCCAUGUUGGGGAAGUUCCUUCAUCGUCUUUAACAUUCAUAAAGACUACCAGUCAACUAUCACUGCCAAACUGCUUUUGUAUGUCUUGGAAAGAUACUGUGGCAGAUCCCCUUCUUUUGGCCUUCUGCUGAGAAGAGUGUUCCCUCCACCCGGUCAUGUAAAUAACCUACAAAAACCAGAGCAGUGUAAAAGUUAACCAAAAUAUGAGAAAAUUUUCAUCAUUUUCCAGUGUCAUAACAAGGAUGUGCAAGCAUAAAUAGGAGUACAAAAAGAGAACUGAGAUGAAGAAAGGAAAUUGAAUUAUCUAAUCCUCCACUUUGGUUUGCCAAGAAGAUGUAGGAUCCUGAAUAAUUUCUUCUCCUUUCCAUCCAUCUUGGCAAUCAAAGCACAAACAUGAGAAACUCCAACCCACUUUAAAGUAGCUUGUUAUCAGUUUUUUCUCAAUUGAUUGACUUUUGAAACCAUUUCCCUCUAAUUAAGGAGGGCCAAGACCAAAGGUUAGAAGGAAACCCGAAGGUAAAAGAUGGCAAAUCCCUUGAGGUAGAACCUGAAAAUACUAAGGCUAAAGGAUAGGUGAGAACAAACUCGCCAACCGGUGUAUGCCCUUGUAUGUACACAUAUCUAACAAUGAAAAUCUUUAUUUUGUGGGUGUGAUUGCUUAGGAAUUUACUGAGAGUUUUCAUCAGCUAUCAAGCUUCUUUGAGGGUGUGAAUCAUGUGAUUACUAGGGAAUCUAUCCUACAUUUCCUAGAAGUCUUAGUGUGAUUAAGAAAUUUUCUUCUCUACAACUAACAAUAAUUCCAAAAUGCUGGAAAUUUUAAAAAUCCUGCAUCACUUUCUCUUGCCCAUGCAAGGGUCAAUAAUCUUAUAUAGAACAGUUUUGCAAAGGAUAGAAGUAGUAAACAAUAGAAUGAGUGAAUAUUUUUCACUUAUCAUGAUUUGGGAGUCAAGUCAGCCCUCUUUAUAAUUAUUCUAUUAUAUGAUCCCCAUGGUGAUAUAGAGAUCAAGAUUCCAGUUCAUGAAAUCAGACAGAAAUACCAAUGGCUCUUGGUAGCUCCACCUAUUCAAUUGGUAGAUCGCUUGAACAUUACAGAAUACAUACUUAGAUUAUCCAACCCCUAAGGCUAAGUUGUUUUAGCUUCAUUUGUUUGUACUGUUUCCCUGGUUUCAAGAGCUUCAUUAUUUAUCAUGAAGAAAGUUGACAAUACAAACCAUACAAAAAUGUUAUUCUACAGGAAGCACUGUACUAUUAUCACCUGGAAGGUUGCGGGAAUGGUGCCAUCUUCUCCUGCAAACAUUGAAUCAUAAACAGCUGCAGUUGCUAGGGCUGUUUCUCUCUUUAAGAUCUGAUUUCAUUGAGACACAAAUCAAAAUUGCCAAUGAUAUAAGUAGAACCAAGCUGACUCUCAGUAAGAAAGCAGAAUAUAUAUCCAAAAGAAUGAAGCAUUCAUUAUAUGCGAAAAAAGUAAAAAAAAUUAAACCUAAAUUUUAAAAAUAACAAUUUUAAAAAAAGAGAAAAAAAUCUUACAUUGCUUUUCUGUAGAAGAGCAUUAGUUUCACCCAUUGAACGCAGAUGUUCUAUUAGGUCAAGAGCUACAUACAGUUAAAAGCACAUGUGAGACAUAAAGGUAAUUAAGAUGCAUUGAUUUUAUUUUUAACUUAUAUUCUAAGUUAAUAUAUAAUAAUAAUUACAAUUCUUUUAUAGGAACAUAUGAUUAUUAUUUUUUGCUUCAAUAAGAAAAUCACCUUCCUGCUCAGGAGAAGAAGUGGAAAAGGCAGCAGGAAAUGCAAGCAAUAGCACAUAUUUCAACAAUGAGGGAAUAAACAACUUUUUACACCCACUGAUUUCUGAAAGAUGGUUAAUCAGACAUAGAAGGACCUGCAACUUCAAGAGAAGGUGUGCCUCCUCAGAAAGGGGGGUAUGGUGACCAGGCCCAGAUAAAAGGCAAACUCAAAUAUUGUGACGUGGAAAUUAAAUUUUUAAAGAGGUGAGAUGAUAACACAUAACUUCUGAUAAAAAAAAAAAAUGAUAACACAUAACUCACUUGAGUGGGCAAACAAAGAAAAAUGCUGUCAAACAUCUUAGGGUCAAGUUUAUAGUGAUCCGUACAAGGAACAUGGACAUAGAAACAGACCCAAAAACUACAUGGGGAAUGAGAAAUAACGAUUGGUAUUGCAAAGAAGAUCAAGGUCAUACAAGUAAGAAUUAUUCCGGAGAUUCAACAAAUAAGAUAGAUGGCAAUUAAAAUGCUUCAAACUACAAGGGUCUGUGGACAUGUCAGCAGUUCACAUGCAUAUGACAAACUUAACCAUGAGACCUAAGCUUACAGUAAUCCCACUAAUGAAAGCGUUACUUUACAAUCAAAUGUAGACUCAAAAGGCAUAGAAUUAUGUGUUUCCAAUACAGCUACUGAACUACAAGCCAGAAUUGACAAAUGGGGAUUCUCACCACUUCUAUAUUUAACAGUGUAUUCAUCAACAUCAACACUAGGAAGCGUAAAGCCUGCACGAGUCAAAAGAUUGCCCGCAUCCCGAACCUAAAUAACAAAACCAUAAAAAAUUGUCAGCACCACCAACAAAAUAUGGUAUUAAACAUAACCCAAUCCAAGUCUUCACUACAUUUGUCAACAAAGAUAAGACCAAGAAGAGUGCUUUGGCACAAAAGCAGAAACAACUCCAACAACCACCAAGAGUACAUUUAAAGUGUAAAGGAAACAACGAAAAAUGGGGAAAAAAGCAAAGCCAAAUAUUUUGCAAACUGAACUCUAAAUCUGGGCAUUUCAAUGGGCCCAUAGUGAUUACUUAACUCCUAGACAAUCUAAUUACUGUGAUUCAAGCCAUGCUAAACAGACACAGAAACAAAUUAUAACCACAUGGUGACAAAUGGAUGAAAUUUUGAGUGAUUAAACAGACUGAGGCUUUAGAGUUUGAAUCAGGAAAUUUCUUGGAUAUGGCAGUUGUAUUUCUAAUGAAUUUUUGAGAUAUUUUUGAGGUUGUAUUCAGCUAAAAAGAUGGUGAAACAGGGAAGGGAGUGGUUGAAUGGAGUCUGUAGCAGGGAAGAGUACCUCUUAGUUAGGAAGAUCUUUUGAGGAAGAGGAGAUUCAAGAGGUGGAUUUCAGUUUAAGAUGAGAUAAAGCCACAUGUCUCUACUGUUUUAUCAUUACUUCUUUAUUAAGACAAAACCAGAUUUUACAAAUUUUAUUUUAGGGGCCAAAACUCCAAUUCUAGCUUCAUAACUCUCAUCCUCAAGAAAAUGGAUUCCAUCUCUAUUAAAAACUUGAGACACAUUAGUUUUUUAUAUUUGGGAUAAGAAUUCAGACCUAUUGUUGUUGUUAUUUGUGUUUAUAGGAUACCAUACUCAAGGGGCCUUCACUAGGGAUGCAGAAUUCUAUAUUGGUGACCAACACCAUACUAAAAUGUAUCAAAAAGAAGGCAAAGACUUAUGAUUAUGGUGGAGUUUGAGAAAGUCAAUGACCAGGUGGCCCAGGAUUUCCUACACCAUGUAAUGCACAGGGAAGCUUUUGGUGAAAGAUGGGAAAAAUGGAACAAAUUUUUUUCUGAUAAGCAAAAGAUGUAAUAGAUUUUUGCAAUCAAGAUCAGUGUAAAAUCAGAAAGCAAGAUGGAACUUAGAGGGACCUAAGGCAAGGGGUCCUUUACUGCAUUUCUUAUUUUCCUUGGUAGUCCAUGUUUUGAGUAAGAUUUUCACUAGGGUUGAGAAGGUUGAUAUUAUUAAAAGCUUCAGGGUUGGGAAGGCGAGUCCUAGAGUUUCCCAUUUCUACUUUGCUAACAAUACCAUUUUUAUUCUCCUCUAGCAAGGGCAAUAGGUUCAUUAGCAUGACCACCAUCUUUAAGAAUUUUAAGAAUUUGUGGGCCCAAAAUCAAUUUGAAGAGUGCCACUGUGAUAAAUGGAAUUUCGCAUGAGAUGACAGCACCUUCCCUUGAGAAGUGCUUGCUCUUCUGGAUCUGGCUAUAAAUUGAUGAUUGAUUCUAGGUUUUCAUUCAUUUCAUGAACUACACAGGAUUCAGGCUCUUGGAGCUAUGGUUACCUCAUAGUCAUAAGAGAAGUUUGAAAUCAUGUUCUGCAGUUAGGGGUGUAAACUAGAUGGAUGAUCCAUGGUCCAAGAUCCAAGAUGAAUGGUCAUUAAACAAAUAUGUUGAACUACCAAUUUUCCUAAAAACUUAAGCUUGUAAGAUUUGGGUUCAUAAUGUACAUCAUUCUCUCCAACACCUUUCCUCACAUGUAGCCUCGCUUUUUGGGUUUAAAAGUGAGCUUUAUAAAUUGGGAGAUUUGCAACACCCUCCCUCACGUGUAACAUCUCUUUUUGGGGUUGCACAUGGGCUUAAUAAAUUGAGUAACAAGAUAAUCUCUUUUACUAUGAGCAAAACCCCCGAAAUUUUUUUAUUUGAAUAUUUCAUCUUCUUCAUUGAUGAUUAAUCUCACAUUAUCAUGUUUUACACCUCUUCUAUUGGAUGUCUAAGUCAGUAACUAAGUAGUGGAUCAGUUGACUAUGCCAAAAGGAUCACUGGCAGCAAAGUCUUUUAAUGGGGUUUCCAUUCCACCCUCAGCUUUUUUUUUCCUUAAUUUUUUUGGUUCCAGUUCCUUUUCUUUUGUCUAAUACUUUUACCUUCUAGUAGACACUCAAUCAAGUACUCUGGUAAACAUGUUUUAGUGCCAAGACAUUGUAUUUGGAUAUCAGAGUUGGCAUCUAAUUAGCAUUCAACUUUUUGACAUGUUAUGUAUCUUCUCCAGCACACAUGAUUAGCAGCCUAUAUAUCACAUGUUUGUUAUGUAUGCAAUUUAUUAGUAACAACUCAGGUAUUAAUUGCUUUUUACCGCCUCUUUUGACAUUUCCUAAAGUUAAGUUGCCAAUUACCAUGUUUUACCACUAAUUACCAUGCUCAGAAAAUUUUCCAACACAAACAACAAAAGCAUCUGGAUGUUUGAAUUCCAAGCUUACCACAUGGCUCACAUGAAAAAAAACUCAUAAAUUGACAUCCUGCAUGUAAAUUUGACUCAUGCCUGUAUAUGAUUGUACUUUUAAGUACCUAGAUGUUUACUUUUAUAUAUUUAUUAUGUGGAUCAAUAUAGAGCUUCAAUUAAAAUUUGAACUCUCACAACAAAAAUUUAUAUGCGAGCAUAGAAGUGAUGAGAAAUUUGUAACCAGUACAUUUCAAGUUUUAGACUUGACUUAAAACAUUGAAUAAUCUGGAAAGAAAUUCAACUACAGAGUAUGGAGAUCAGAACAAUUCGUAUAAAAGUACUAAAUACACAAAAUUACAUGCAUGCAUAAGAAACUACUGCUUGAAAACUAUAUAAUGACUGACCUUUCAAGUCACAAUUUAAUGAUAAUAGAGAGGAAUUUUGCAGCAAAGUACCCACCUGUGCCAAUGGUGAUACUCGUGGACUUAUGCCCCCUUCACGCUCCAUUUGUGCUACAGUACAUGCUAUUCUCAGCUCCCUAAUCACAAGAAAAAUGGAAAAAACACUUAGGCCUUUAGUGCAUUGAAAUACUAUACUAGAUUUGAAGAAAAACAAGUGAAUAAACUACUUUAAGGUUUCUCCACCAAGAAUAGCUGCUAAAAAUAGGCAAUCGGGCUUCAAUGCCAAUCUGCACUGUCAAAAAUACAACAUGAACUUGUGUCUUAGACAUCGCCACAAAUGAGUUACCACUCAACAAUAAUAAUUGACUGCCAUAAAAUCUCAGUUUGAAUCUUUAUCUCUCCUAAAUGGGCUGCAACUACUGAAAAGGAAAAAGAUGUGUCUCUGUGAUUAUGAAGGAGAUUCUAAACUAGGCAUCAAAUUAUUAAAAUGUCAAUAUUAGGGAAGAAAACACAGUUACAAAGCUAAUCCCAUUUUCAGGAAAGAGAUCAAGUGCAAACUUAGACCAUUCAAUCAAGGAUUAACGUUGCAGGAGACUGACUCCUCAAAUAUUUAAUUGGAGUAGUUUUCCAGCAUAAAUGGGGUGAAUCCCCCUUUUUGCUAGGAGCUGUGUAAUAUAUCUCCAUCCUCCAAUAUAUAUAUAUAAUUAGGUUGUUAAAUAAAAGAUGAAACUACAUAGCUUGUCUAACACUAAAAAACCAAUUGAAGGAAACACCUUUUUCAAAAAGGAAAAUAGUCUGUUUAAAUUCCACUUGGACCAAGUUGCUUGUUUUUGUUUUUGGCAGAUGGGUAUAUAUCAGUGUAAGUUUGCUCAUCUUCAUUUUUGACUCUAACAUGUACUUCUUUGUAAGUGUUUCUACUUUUUGGCCAGCAAUUGUACGUGUUGAAAGGAUAAGCCAUCCUUCUUUGUAAUUACCAUUCAAUAAAAUGAAUAUAUUUUGUUUCUGAUAUAAAAAAAAAGGUCUAACAUGUACUCUACUUUUGUUGUUGUAAAUGUUGUAUCAAAUGACAUGUUGGUAAAGUUGAGUACCUAUUUCAAGAUUGAAAAAAUAGAGUUUCAAAAUAUGAAGAAACCAAGGAGUGCAAUUAUCCUAAUACUAUAGGUUUACAAUAUCUCUGGAGUUACAUACUUUAAGAUGAUGAACUAGCAUAGUAGCUUAGGCCAAGUCAGAAAAUUUAUUGCUUUUUCUACACAAUGGAAUAUGCACCCUUAUCUCUAAGAUUGGUACCUUAUAAGUUCUCUCCAUUUAUUUAGAUGUUCUUAUCUUUGUGAAUUUUCAAUGCCUAUCAGAAAAAAAAAAAAAAAAAAAAACCUCUCUUCAUGGACUUCAAUGCACUUUUUGUGUAACGCUGCACUUCAGAAGACAUAGCGUAGCACCAGGCCCAUCACUUUUGAGUUUUGAGACAUCGAUAACAAUACUUAAAACCAUAACAACUCUAAAGAAGCUUACCUGUAUCAUGGCUCCAGGAAGAUCAUUCGUCCAAUGGAGUCCCAAGCAGCUGAUUACCAGAUCUAGAGAACUUUGCAAUUUACAAAUACAAGCCAUUAGAGUGCCAAUAAAAACAUCAACAUAUUUUUUACAUGAAUCUACAUACAUACUGAUGAAGGCAUUGAAGAGCAGGUUUUGUUUGUUGUGAAUAUCAUAAGGCUCCAAAGGUAAUUUCCAUUAUGAUAGGAAUCAAAUAAGGCAGCCAGUUGUACACCAGAAUCUGGUUAAAAAGUUUCUAAAUUUUUUGUUUAGAAAAUGUUUAGUGAGCUUUUUUUAUGUUUUACGCUGAGCUUUUCCACUGGACUUUAUCUACUAGAUUACAGAGGACCAUUUGAAUUCUGAAAUUGGUAUUACAGUAAAGGAGAAUUUUAAUAUUGCCCAUUGAAUUAUAAAUUAAACAAUGAUUCAAAUUACUAAGCAACAUUUAUAAGCACCCAAGCAUAAUGCAAAAAAGAGACACUCAUAUUUUAUUCGACUCCUUUAGUACUGAAAGCUAUGCUCACACAACUUCCUAUUAUGGUUUCUUAUUGAGUAGGUUUUCCAUUUAUUAAACAGCUGCUUAGCUUUCUGCAAUUACCAUUUUAGCAGUCCUUUCCCGUGUGCAAUCAUGGUUUGCAUUAAAAUACCUUUCUUUUAUGGGCAAAAACUCUUCAUCACCAACCACAAAGGAAGUUUCUAUGCUUUCAUUAGGCACAUCUUGCUCAGCAUCUCUACACAAUUUCACCAUGUCAUAAGACGUAUCCAUCAUAAUGAGCUUUUCGAUGGCACCUGAGAUUGGAUAAAGUGUCCUUAACAUUAUAAUCUAUAAUGAUUACCAAGGUAAGGAACAAGCCUUUCCAUCAGAUGAUUUAUAUCAUACUUUCCUCAAGUACUCAAAUAGUAAAGACAAAAGUUUCAAAAAACAUAGGAACGACUUAGAUGCACAAAAUGCCCAGAUGAAAUUCCAUCAUGCAUCAUAUGGAAUAAUUAGGAGAAAAACCAUCAUGCAUCAUAUAGAAUAAUUAGGAGAAAAAGAAAAUUGAAUUUUGAUCAAACAACCAUUUAAGUAUGGGACUAAAUAGAAGACAAAUUCUCCUAGUAGAACUUUUAAAAUUAUGGGGAAAUUACACUUGCACCCAGGACUUUUCACCUUAACCUUUCUCCUUCCGUUUAUAAGUAAACAUAGUGCCCCUAUCUUUUUUAGGUUGCUAACAUUACCACUAUCACCAAGACAACUAUUGCUAAAUUGCCACCAAUGUUACCACACCACCAUCUCCUUAACCCAUUAUCACCAAUGUUUUUAGAACUGGACCAAUCAUUGAAUUGGAAAAUUUACUAGGAUCACCAAUUGAAUUGAUAGUGUUGAAAUUCGGCAUUCAAAGUUAAGGUUUUAAUUUAGGAAAAUAUUUUAAGAAUAAAAAAGGAGAGAUCAUUUAGGAUAUUUCCUUAGGAUUCAGUUUCCUAUUUUUUAGGAGAGAAUCAAGCUAGAUAGAUAUUUUCUUAUUCAGUCAUUUGUGUAUAUAUAUGUGUAUGGUGUAUACCAAAAAACGAAUAAAGGAGUUCAGAAAUUCUUCAUGGUAUCAGAGCUAGUUUUCUGAAACCCUAAUCCCUUCUGGCCGCCUCUUAUUCAGGCCAUCAUUCAUUCCAGCCAAACCUCUCUAGCCAUCUCUCAAUUCGGCCAUCUCUCUCUCUGGCCAUCACUCAUUCCGACCAAGUCUCUAUGGCCAUCUCUCAAUCCGACCAUCUCUCUCUCUGGCCAUCUCUCAUUCCGGCCAUCAGUCCCUGUUCUCAGGCCGGUAUCUCUGGUUUUCAUCUCUUCCUUAUUUCUAGCAACCAUAUUCGGCUGUCUCUCAGGCCGAUAUCUCUGGUUUUCUCCUCUUCCCUAUUUCCAGCAACCAUAUUCGGUUGUCUUCCUCAUCUCCAUGACAAAAUACGGAAUGACAUCAUCACAAGUAUCCAGUGUCACGACACCAGAAUCAGGGGGAAGUUCUGAAAUUCCAAACCUUGGUGGCAGUGAUUCCUCUCCUAUUCUCAUCACAGGACACAAAUUAAAUGACCAUAACUAUUUACAGUGGUCACAAUCUGUGUUGCUGUUCAUUUGCGGUAAAGGAAAGGAUGAGUACCUCACUGGAGAAGCAGUCAUGCCAGAAACUACAGAACCGGGUUUCAGGAAGUGGAAGAUUGAAAACAGCAUGAUCAUGUCAUGGCUUAUCAAUUCCAUGAACAAUGACAUAGGUGAAAAUUUCUUGCUGUUUGGGACUGCAAAGGACAUAUGGGAUGCAACCAAAGAAACUUACUCAAGUUCUGAAAAUACUUCAGAACUUUUUCAGGUUGAAUCAGCCCUACAUGACUUCCGCCAAGGAGAACAGUCAGUUACUCAGUAUUACAACACAUUCACAAGGUAUUGGCAACAACUUGACUUAUUCGAGACUCACUCAUAGAAAUGUUCGGAUGAUGCAGCAACAUACAGGCAGAUUGUGGAACAAAAGAGACUGUUCAAGUUUUUCCUAGGACUAAACAGGGAAUUGGAUGAUGUUAGAGGCCGAAUUAUGGGCAUUAAACCCCUGCCAAGUCUCAGGGAGGCUUUUUCAGAGGUUAGGCGUGAAGAAAGUAGAAAGAAAGUGAUGAUGGGAUCCAAAGAGCAACCUGCCCUAACAUUGGAUGCCUCUGCCCUUGCUGCUCGGUCAUUUAAUAGUAGUGGUGGAGAUCGUCAGAAACGAGAUAAGCCUUGGUGUGAUUAUUGUAAGAAACUAGGCCAUUAUAAGGAGGCUUGCUGGAAGCUUCAUGGCAAACCGGCUGAUUGGAAACCAAAGCCACGGUUUGACAGAGAUGGCAGAGCACACGUGGCUACCAACUCUGAGAGCACAUCUGUUCCUGAGCCGAGUCCAUUUAACAAAGAGCAGAUGGAGAUGCUACAGAAACUAUUAAGCCAAGUUGGCAGUGGCAGUACUACCGGGACAGCCUUCACUGCUAAUCGAGGAGGAAUGAAGCUGUGGAUAGUGGACACAGGUGCUUUUGAUCACAUGACAGGAGAUGCUGCCAUUCUUCAAAAUUACAAGCCAAGUAAUGGUCAUUCAUCCGUCCAUAUUGCUGAUGGUUCAAAGUCAAAAAUUGUCGGGACAGGUUCCAUAAAACUUACUAAAGAAUUGUAUCUUGACUCUGUCCUCCAUGUUCCAAACUUGGAUUAUAAUCUUUUGUCCAUUAGCAAAUUGGCCCGUGAUCUCCAAUGUGUUACUAAAUUUUAUCCAAACUCAUGUGUUUUUCAGGACUUGAAAUCGGGGAAGAUGAUUGGCANNNNNNNNNNNNNNNNNNNNNNNNNNNNNNNNNNNNNNNNNNNNNNNNNNNNNNNNNNNNNNNNNNNNNNNNNNNNNNNNNNNNNNNNNNNNNNNNNNNNNNNNNNNNNNNNNNNNNNNNNNNNNNNNNNNNNNNNNNNNNNNNNNNNNNNNNNNNNNNNNNNNNNNNNNNNNNNNNNNNNNNNNNNNNNNNNNNNNNNNNNNNNNNNNNNNNNNNNNNNNNNNNNNNNNNNNNNNNNNNNNNNNNNNNNNNNNNNNNNNNNNNNNNNNNNNNNNNNNNNNNNNNNNNNNNNNNNNNNNNNNNNNNNNNNNNNNNNNNNNNNNNNNNNNNNNNNNNNNNNNNNNNNNNNNNNNNNNNNNNNNNNNNNNNNNNNNNNNNNNNNNNNNNNNNNNNNNNNNNNNNNNNNNNNNNNNNNNNNNNNNNNNNNNNNNNNNNNNNNNNNNNNNNNNNNNNNNNNNNNNNNNNNNNNNNNNNNNNNNNNNNNNNNNNNNNNNNNNNNNNNNNNNNNNNNNNNNNNNNNNNNNNNNNNNNNNNNNNNNNNNNNNNNNNNNNNNNNNNNNNNNNNNNNNNNNNNNNNNNNNNNNNNNNNNNNNNNNNNNNNNNNNNNNNNNNNNNNNNNNNNNNNNNNNNNNNNNNNNNNNNNNNNNNNNNNNNNNNNNNNNNNNNNNNNNNNNNNNNNNNNNNNNNNNNNNNNNNNNNNNNNNNNNNNNNNNNNNNNNNNNNNNNNNNNNNNNNNNNNNNNNNNNNNNNNNNNNNNNNNNNNNNNNNNNNNNNNNNNNNNNNNNNNNNNNNNNNNNNNNNNNNNNNNNNNNNNNNNNNNNNNNNNNNNNNNNNNNNNNNNNNNNNNNNNNNNNNNNNNNNNNNNNNNNNNNNNNNNNNNNNNNNNNNNNNNNNNNNNNNNNNNNNNNNNNNNNNNNNNNNNNNNNNNNNNNNNNNNNNNNNNNNNNNNNNNNNNNNNNNNNNNNNNNNNNNNNNNNNNNNNNNNNNNNNNNNNNNNNNNNNNNNNNNNNNNNNNNNNNNNNNNNNNNNNNNNNNNNNNNNNNNNNNNNNNNNNNNNNNNNNNNNNNNNNNNNNNNNNNNNNNNNNNNNNNNNNNNNNNNNNNNNNNNNNNNNNNNNNNNNNNNNNNNNNNNNNNNNNNNNNNNNNNNNNNNNNNNNNNNNNNNNNNNNNNNNNNNNNNNNNNNNNNNNNNNNNNNNNNNNNNNNNNNNNNNNNNNNNNNNNNNNNNNNNNNNNNNNNNNNNNNNNNNNNNNNNNNNNNNNNNNNNNNNNNNNNNNNNNNNNNNNNNNNNNNNNNNNNNNNNNNNNNNNNNNNNNNNNNNNNNNNNNNNNNNNNNNNNNNNNNNNNNNNNNNNNNNNNNNNNNNNNNNNNNNNNNNNNNNNNNNNNNNNNNNNNNNNNNNNNNNNNNNNNNNNNNNNNNNNNNNNNNNNNNNNNNNNNNNNNNNNNNNNNNNNNNNNNNNNNNNNNNNNNNNNNNNNNNNNNNNNNNNNNNNNNNNNNNNNNNNNNNNNNNNNNNNNNNNNNNNNNNNNNNNNNNNNNNNNNNNNNNNNNNNNNNNNNNNNNNNNNNNNNNNNNNNNNNNNNNNNNNNNNNNNNNNNNNNNNNNNNNNNNNNNNNNNNNNNNNNNNNNNNNNNNNNNNNNNNNNNNNNNNNNNNNNNNNNNNNNNNNNNNNNNNNNNNNNNNNNNNNNNNNNNNNNNNNNNNNNNNNNNNNNNNNNNNNNNNNNNNNNNNNNNNNNNNNNNNNNNNNNNNNNNNNNNNNNNNNNNNNNNNNNNNNNNNNNNNNNNNNNNNNNNNNNNNNNNNNNNNNNNNNNNNNNNNNNNNNNNNNNNNNNNNNNNNNNNNNNNNNNNNNNNNNNNNNNNNNNNNNNNNNNNNNNNNNNNNNNNNNNNNNNNNNNNNNNNNNNNNNNNNNNNNNNNNNNNNNNNNNNNNNNNNNNNNNNNNNNNNNNNNNNNNNNNNNNNNNNNNNNNNNNNNNNNNNNNNNNNNNNNNNNNNNNNNNNNNNNNNNNNNNNNNNNNNNNNNNNNNNNNNNNNNNNNNNNNNNNNNNNNNNNNNNNNNNNNNNNNNNNNNNNNNNNNNNNNNNNNNNNNNNNNNNNNNNNNNNNNNNNNNNNNNNNNNNNNNNNNNNNNNNNNNNNNNNNNNNNNNNNNNNNNNNNNNNNNNNNNNNNNNNNNNNNNNNNNNNNNNNNNNNNNNNNNNNNNNNNNNNNNNNNNNNNNNNNNNNNNNNNNNNNNNNNNNNNNNNNNNNNNNNNNNNNNNNNNNNNNNNNNNNNNNNNNNNNNNNNNNNNNNNNNNNNNNNNNNNNNNNNNNNNNNNNNNNNNNNNNNNNNNNNNNNNNNNNNNNNNNNNNNNNNNNNNNNNNNNNNNNNNNNNNNNNNNNNNNNNNNNNNNNNNNNNNNNNNNNNNNNNNNNNNNNNNNNNNNNNNNNNNNNNNNNNNNNNNNNNNNNNNNNNNNNNNNNNNNNNNNNNNNNNNNNNNNNNNNNNNNNNNNNNNNNNNNNNNNNNNNNNNNNNNNNNNNNNNNNNNNNNNNNNNNNNNNNNNNNNNNNNNNNNNNNNNNNNNNNNNNNNNNNNNNNNNNNNNNNNNNNNNNNNNNNNNNNNNNNNNNNNNNNNNNNNNNNNNNNNNNNNNNNNNNNNNNNNNNNNNNNNNNNNNNNNNNNNNNNNNNNNNNNNNNNNNNNNNNNNNNNNNNNNNNNNNNNNNNNNNNNNNNNNNNNNNNNNNNNNNNNNNNNNNNNNNNNNNNACACUAUCGCCUUGGUCAUCCUAGCUUUGUUUACCUUGCAAAAUUGUUUCCCAAAUUAGUUAUCAAUAAAAAUCCAGCAUCUUAUCACUGUGAAAUUUGUCAGUUUGCAAAGCAUACUCGAACAGUAUAUCCUCAAAUCCCAUACAAACCUUCGACUGUUUUCUCUUUAGUACAUAGUGAUGUGUGGGGUCCCUCACGGAUAAAAAAUAUUUCUGGCACUCAAUGGUUUGUGACAUUCGUUGAUGAUCAUACACGGGUAACAUGGGUUUUCCUUAUGAAAGAAAAGUCAGAGGUCGGGCACAUUUUUCAAACCUUCAAUCUUAUGGUUCAAAAUCAAUUCAAUUCCAAAAUUCAAGUCCUCAAGUCAGAUAAUGCAAAGGAAUACUUUACUAGUAGUCUCAGUACCUAUCUUCAAAAUCACGGCAUUAUCCACAUAAGUUCUUGCGUUGACACGCCACAACAAAAUGGGGUGGCUGAACGCAAGAAUAGACAUCUCUUGGAGGUUGCCCGGUGCCUUAUGUUUUCCUCUAAUGUUCCAAACUAUUUCUGGGGGGAAACCAUUCUCACAGCUACCUAUUUGAUUAACCGUAUGCCAUCCAGAGUGCUUACCUUUCAAUCCCCACAUCAACUUCUCUUAAAAAAAUUCUCUCACACCUGUGCUGCCUCUUCUGAUUUACCACUCAAAGUAUUUGGUUGCACGGCCUUCGUUCAUGUGUAUCCUCAAAAUCGUAGCAAAUUUGCUCCUCGAGCCAAUAAGUGCAUUUUCCUAGGGUAUUCUCCAACCCAAAAAGGGUACAAAUGCUAUUCUCUAACCAACAAAAGAUUUUACACCACCAUGGACGUCUCUUUCUUUGAACAUGUCUUCUUCUAUCCCAAAUCUCAUGUUCAGGGGGAGAGCAUGAAUGAACAUCAAGUUUGGGAGUCUCUUCUUGAGGCUGUACCUUUUUCUCACUUAGAGUCACCAAAUCCUUCCCAAUCCGCGCCCACUGAGUUGUCCACACCCAUGCCGUCAUCAGUCCAACCAACCCAGCCCACAAAUGUUCCUUCUCCCGUGACCAUCCAGUCUCCCACGCCUAUUCAACCUAUAGCCCUAUAACUUGCUAAUGAGAACUUACAAGUAUACAUCAGGAGGAGGAAAAGACAGGACUUAGAGCACGGAUCACAGCCAACAUGUGGCCAAUAUAUUGACUCCAUUUCAAGUUUACCUGAAGAGAACAUAGGUGAGGAUAAGGCUGGAGAGGUGUCAAUUCCCAGCAUUGAUGAUUCUACUCUGCCGAUUGCAUUGAGGAAGGGUGUUAGGAGAUGUACAGAUCAUCCAAUUGGGAAUUAUGUUACUUAUGAAGGGUUAUCACCAUCUUACAGAGCAUUUGCUACUUCUCUUGAUGAUACUCAGGUUCCCAACACAAUACAAGAGGCAUUCAAAAUUUUAGAAUGGAAGAAGGCAGUACAAGAUGAGAUUGAUGCACUUGAGAAGAAUGGGACAUGGACUAUCACAAAUUUGCCGGUUGGGAAGAGGCCCGUGGGGUGCAAGUGGAUUUUCACCAUAAAAUACAAAGCAGAUGGAUCAAUCGAGAGAUUCAAGGCUCGUUUGGUAGCUAGAGGGUUUACACAAUCCUAUGGGAUAGACUAUCAGGAGACCUUUGCUCCUAUUGCAAAACUGAACACUAUCAGGAUUCUUCUCUCAUUGGCUGUCAAUCAAGAUUGAUGCUUGCAACAACUGGACAUAAAAAAUGCGUUUCUAAAUGGUGACCUAGAAGAGGAAUUCUACAUGGAAAUAUCACCUGGUUUCGAAGGAAGUAUGGCAAAGAAUCAGGUUUGCAAACUCCAAAAAUCCUUGUACGGCCUUAAACAAUCUCCCCGAGCCUAGUUUGAUAGAUUCACAAAGGCAGUCUUGAAGUUGGGCUACAAACAAGGUCAGGCCGAUCAUACUCUAUUUGUCAAGAAGUCUCAUGCCGGGAAAAUGGCCAUGUUGAUAGUCUAUGUCGAUGAUAUUAUUCUAUCUGGGAAUGAUAUGGAGGAAUUACAGAAUUUGAAGAAGUAUUUUUCAGAAGAGUUUGAAGUUAAAGACCUUGGAAAUUUGAAAUAUUUCAUUGGUAUGGAAGUGGUUAGAUCAAGGAAGGGAAUUGUAGUAUCUCAAAGAAAAUACAUACUCGACCUUCUUAAGGAGACCGGUAUGCUUCGAUGCAAACCAAUUGAUACUCCUAUGGAUAGUCAGAAGAAACUUGGUAUCGAGAAAGAGAGUACAGCGGUAGACAGGGGGAGAUAUCAGCGACUCGUCGGGCACUUGAUUUAUCUUUCACACACUCGGCCAGAUAUUGGCUUUGCAGUGAGUGCUGUAAGUCAAUUCAUGCACAACCCCACUGAGGAACACAUGGAAGCAGUCUACAGGAUUCUUAGAUAUUUAAAAAUGACACCAGGGAAAGGUCUAUUCUUCAGAAAGACAGAGAAUCGUGACACUGAAGUAUACUCAGAUGCGGAUUGGGCAGGAAACAUCAUUGACAGGCGGUCCACUUCUGGAUACUGUUCUUUUGUCUGGGGAAAUCUUAUUACCUGGAGGAGUAAGAAGCAAUCAUUUGUAGCCAGAAGUAGUGCAGAAGCUGAGUACAGAGCUCUAGCACAGGGAAUCUAUGAAGGGAUUUGGAUAAAAAGGGUUCUUAGUGAACUGGGACAAACGAGUUCAUCUCCGAUUCUGAUGAUGUGUGAUAAUCAGGCAGCUAUAAGCAUAGCAAAGAAUCCCGUGCAUCAUGACAGGACCAAGGACGUUGAGAUUGACAGACACUUCAUCACAGAGAAGGUGACUAGUGAGACGGUUAAAUUGAACUACGUUCCUACCAAGCACCAAACCGCAGACAUCCUCACCAAAGCUUUACCUAGGCCUAACUUCGAAGACUUAACUUGCAAGCUGGGAUUAUAUGAUAUAUAUUCUCCAGCUUGAGGGGGAGUGUUGAAAUUCGGCAUUUAAAGUUAGGGUUUUAAUUUAGGAAAGUAUUUUAGGAAUAAAAAAGGAGAGAUCAUUUAGGAUAUUUCCUUAGGAUUCAGUUUCCUAUUUUUUAGGAGAGAAUCAAGCUAAAUAAAUAUUUUCUUAUUUAGUCAUUUGUGUAUAUAUAUGUGUAUGGUGUGUACCGAAAAAACGAAUAAAGGAGUUUAGAAAUUCUUCAGAUAGUUUAACUAUAGUCGAAUUAUAAUGCCAGUAGGACAUCGUAAGUAUAUAAUUUGCGUAUUAUUAAAGUAAUGACGAAGAAGAAUGAUUCAUUUUAUUUCUAAAUUAAUCAAUACACAAUAUAUAUAUAUAGCACUCCCUACACUAAAAGGGAAAUAAUUACCUAGUUGUACGAAUCUUAAAAUUCAAGGAUCAACUUCUAAGAAUUAGGGGUCAAAUUGUUCAAAUUUACAAUAAAGGGAAACAAUCACAACAUAAAAAAUUAGCCUGAAUUAAAUAAUAGAUAUACGGCUCAUUCCCAACUUUGGUUUAUGUUGACUUUCCAAUGCUCCCCCUAAAGCUAGAGAACAGAAAUUAUCCAUUCCCAGCUUGCCAGUGAUUGCUUGAAAUGAGUGACUAGCUAGUCCCUUGGUUACGAUAUACAAGUUGCCCUCUUGUUAAAACACAUGGAAUGCAAAUCAAUGCACCAUCCAGUUUCUCUUUUAUGAAAUGCUUGUCAAUCUCCACUAGUACGAUCAGGAUACAAACUAGGAAACCAAUAGCUAUAUAAUAAGACAGCUAUACAAAAUAUUUUCUACAGAAACUUACCAUAUAUAUGAAGAGUCAUUCAAGCAAAAUUGAAAUCAAUAGAGCUGGUGCUCAUCCCUUUGCUCUAUUGAGGCAGCAACUAAAGUUAAUAAGGUUGGAUUUUCCACUUAAAAAUUAAUAUCUUCCUAAAACAUGUUUACUACGGACAUAUGUGCAAUAUAUUGCAACUGAUCAAGCUGAAGGCACAAUCUGUUUGAACAAGUUAUGGUGUAUGAAAUAUGGAAGAAAGAAUUUUUUUUAUACAAGAUAAGUGAAACUUGAUAAAGAGAUUUAUAAUAAAAUCAAAAACAAAAAAGAAGCAACGAACAUAUGGAUAAAAGAUUUCUAUUUGUGAAACUUGAAUUUCUAUUUAUUCUUCGACAUGAAUUCCUUCUCAGGGGUUUCCGUUAUCAUCUGUAGUGAUGCCUUUCUAACCAGCAAUACAGUUUGCAUGCAUUUGAGCUAACAAAGAGCCAUACUGUCACUGAUGUUAUUGUUCUUCCUAAAGCUGCAUGCCAUAUAUUUUCAAAUUUCAUACUCAAAUCAUGAAGUAAAGCCAACAAACCCAAAAAAAUACCCAACAGCAACACAUAUUUUUGGGAGAAAACAUAUAUAUAUUAAAAUGAACUCUCACCACGCCCACGCAACAAACGCCUAAUAGCUUCCAAUGAACCCCCCAAACAUAACGCUGUAGGAAAUGCCUUUUUGCAAUCCUACAAAAGGGAAAACACAUGGGAGAGAUACCCAAAAUAUGCAAAACAAAUUCAAAAUAUUAUCAUACUAAACUUUUAGAAGGAACAUUAGCUUUUCAUUAUUGUAUGAAGAACUGCAACUCUUGACACAAUUUUGUGAUUGUUCUUUACCAAUUUUACACAUGCUGGACUCCUUUCAUCAGGCCAACAAGUGAUUAAGAAGAUAGUAUAUAAUAUUUAAACUUUACAUUAGUACAUAUUAUUUAAUGUACAUAAGCAUUUAGAAAAACCUAAACAUGACCUGUGACCAAUGUUUUUAUAUUAGAUCAAAUAAGUAGAUUAACAAGACUCUAGAUUACCUGCAGCCUUAAUA
rnacentral:lncRNA from 1 species